GUCCAGAUGGCGGCAGUUUUGAUGCUUACUUGUGAAAAUGGUGUGAUAUGUUUGAUGAUAAUACUUUCUAGUAUGUGUUUUCUUGACCUGUCAGUCUUCUGAUGCGUAGACACAGAGCAGAACUUCUAUGGCACGGAAUGCAAGAGAAGAACAGACUUGUUGUGGAUGCUAAAUUCUGUGCUUGUUUGUUUUGCUGUCCGUCUCAUUCUGUCAUUCGCCUUAAAACUUUUGCCCAUAAGCACUCUGGGCGGUUGGCCUUUUAGAAAUUUUAUUAUAUAAUUGGGGCCAUCCGAUCUCUCUUUCCCCUAUCAACCGUGCGAGAAUCGCUGGCCGCUGCCUCGGUAGACUUACGCCUUCCACGCCAGCGACGUUGACGUACGGACUCGAGGAGAAGCACAACGGCCACCCUUCCCGGCCAUGUUCGUCGUGAUCGCUGAUGGCCGCUGUCUGACAUGCAAACAACGUUGCACAUCUCUGAGUCUGGCUGCUGCCACUUCGAACAUCCACAGCUGGAUCUCUCAAACCAUCUUUCAUAUGCUUGCGGACGCGCCCCGAUCAGUGGCCGGAUAGGAGAGAAGGAAAAAAAUGACCCAACUAGACCCCCCAUAUCUUUCAUCUUUCAUAUGCUUGCGGACGCGCCCUGAUCAAUGACCGAAUAGGAGAGAGAGGGAAAAAAGUAACCCAACUGGACCCCUCAUAUCUUUCCUAUAUGUCUGGUCUGUCCGCGAACCCGUGUAUCUAUCUCAAAUAUGGGGGGAUAUGAGGGCUCGCGGACAAGCCGGGGCGCGCCCGAUCAAUCCGUCACAUAAGACGCGGCCUCACCCUCGACCACCUUUUCUCUUCCUUUAAUCAUUCUUUUCUUUCUCCAUCUUUAUCUACCUCAAUCAUGGGCAAGUGACCGGACAGAUGAGGAAGAAAAUGAGGACUGCGCGGAUGAAUAAAUAGGGGGAGAACGUUCAUCAUCCGACUGAUCUUUCUCUCUCAUAAGCCUCCUUCUCCACGCGCCACGUACCCACGUCAGGCUGCCCACCGCUUCGCCCCAGCCUUAUCCUAUCUCUAACGAAGCUCCUCCACUCAUUUCUUCAUUUUUUUCUCCCUCUUACAACUCAUCGCCAGAGGAGAUUAGCCAUGGUGAGCACCACCACCAGCAGCUAGAAAAUCAGAAGAGUUUGACGCCGGCCGUAGGCACUAGCGUCGGAGCUCCUCCCUUGCAUUGCUGCAGGCGGCAUAGCUGCAAAGCAGCGUCCAUGGAGCGAAGCCAUGGCGAGCACCACCACAGCAGCGGGGGAACUGGGAGGUGCUGCUGGCAAUCGAAACGGCGCUCGUCGACGAACGCCGGUGCUGCUUUCAUCCAUGGCCGCCGAGAUGGGACACAGCAACUUGUCCACGGCCGUUGCGCUACGUUGCGCUAGGUUGCAAUCUUGUCUGCAUUGCGAUGCAAUCUGGUGUGCCGAUGGAGCGCUCGGCGUCGGCGGCGGAGCUGCAAUGGAGCGCUCGGAGCCGGCGGCGGAGCUGCAAUGGAAGUGCAAGUCGCCGGCGGCGGAGCUGCAAUGGAGCGCUCGGAGCCGGUGGCGGAGCUGCAAGUCGCCGGCUAUGGAGUUGCAAUGGAGCGCUCGUCGGCGGCUCCCCCGUACUGCAUCGCAGCGCUUGCCGACGGCUCAAUGUAGCAUCAUCGGUGGCUCAAUGCAGCGUCGUCCGUGGCUGAUGCAGCUUUGCCGGCAACUCUUGGGGGAGCCCGUGUCGCAAGUCGCAACUGCACGCUUGGAGUCUUCGUUGUUGCCACGACCGGCGACAGUUACGCGUUUGCAAGGCGAGGAACGGCUGGGGCAAGCUUGGUGCUGCAAGCGAGCGGCUGCGAGCUAGUUCAGGGCUGCGACCCAGUGUGUGGGGAUUUUUGGCAAGGCUGCGACACAAGGAAGACGAGGCCACGCUCGGCGUCGUAUUGCGUGAGAGCGACACGGUCAAGUACAAGUUGACUAAUCGUACGUCUGUGAGAGCUUUGAUCGGACGGCUGGGACCCGAUUGAUUUCUCAUGAAAUCAGUCGAAUGAUUUUUAGCAGCCGUCAUAAAUAGGGGUUUAAAAUAAACACGCCCGGUCACUGACCGGGCACGGCCGCAGACAUUUGAGGGAUCGAAUUAGAGGUACGUGGCUGAAGAUGCUCUUGCACCUCCAUGCAUGCAGCCCAAAAUGGUACACGGCCGCAUGAAGCACAAUUGUGCUUAAGUGUUUUUUUCUUCAAAAGUGAAAUACGGUAGUGCUUCGGUUUGGAGCGCAAUUGUGUUUUUGUGCUUUUCACAAAAGUGAAGCACAAAUGUGCUUUCGUGUGAAAGCAUAACUGCUUUUCCCGGUAAGUGAAUAACAAAUGUGCUUCCCCGUGAAACAUACUUGUGCUUUUAUGGUUAUUUUCUUUUUCUUUUUACGGUUACCGUUUUUUCAGUAUUUCGUCUUUUGUCUCUAUUUUUUGUUUGGUUUUUGGGAUUGGGCCAAAAAAAUGUUCGUCGAAACCUGUCAAAGUUCGAGGAUCUCAACGUGAGAAAUGCAACGGUAAAACGAUUCAUGAUUUGAACGGAUGGUUCAAGAGAUAAAUUAUUUUGAUGAAACAACUCUACAAAGAAAAGCACAAACAAAUCCACAUGCCUCCCGUGUAUGUGAAGAAAUCUCACCAAAAAAUUCAUAGGUUGUGACAAGAAUCGCACAUAGAUUACGCCACUUGUCACCACAAGAGAAGAUGGGACUGUCCCUUGCAAAAAGUACCCCUUAAGGUUGUAGAGCACAGGGACGAUGCCAUCAUAAGGGCAUGUAUGAUCGACCGCCUCGAGUAGUCGCGUAAUGUGAUCCCCAAGUGGCCAAGUCCAACCAUGAUCCGUUUUGGAGUAGACAUGUCUACCUGGAUAUGGAACAAGAAAACUGGGAACCUCCUAUAUGACGCAUUUUGCCUCGUAUAGGAGCUCGACGCAGACGGGCGACGCUCGACUUGGCCAGCCCACCGACACGAAAGCCACUUGUGUUUCCUAGUGCGCAACCUAAGAAAUCCUAGAAAACAAUAGAGCACGUGAGGAUUGGAUCCCACGAUCUCGCUCACACCAUACUCGCGACUGCGACCAGUUAGCCACUCCACCACACAGUCGCUGCUGAACAUGAAGCGCGAAACUCUAUAGCACACACAUCAGGGUUGAUAUAUGGAAAACAUUUUAGAAACAUUUCUUGAAAAUUGUGAACAAUUUUUAAAUGCCGCAAAUAUUUUUUGAUAUUCCAAAUUUGUUUUCUGAAAAAAUGUGAACAACUUUUGUAAUAUAGAAUUAGAAAACACGGACAUUUUUUGCACAACCCAAACAGUUUAAUGAAGUUGUGAACAAAUUUUGAAAAAAAGAACAUUUUUUGAAUUUCCUGAUUUUUUUUGAAAACACAAACAUAGAAAAAUUCGAAAAUGAGAACAUUUUUGAAAUACCUGAUUUUUUAAAUUGCGAUUUUAAUAAAAGAGAACAUUUUUUGAAACACGGACAUUUUUCGAAAUUGUGAACAAAAUAUGAAAAUAAAAACAUUUUUUGAAAUUCUUGAAAAUUUGUUGAAAUUGGCAACAAAUUUUAAAAAUGAGAAAAUAUUUUGAAAUUCCAAAUAAUUAUUACAAAUUUUCAAACAAAAGAAACAUUUAAAAGGAAAUAGAAAAUAGGAAAUAAAAAAGAAAUAAAAAAGAAAAUGAGAGAGAAGCAGAACAAGAAAAAAAGAAAAAGAAAAUGAGAGAGAAGGUUCUAGAAGGUUCCCAAAACCGAUAAAAACCGCUAGGAACCCUCUAGAAGAUUCCCAAAACUAUAACGUUGUACAUAUUACAGAUUGGCUGGCCCAAUCGCUCGCUCGGACGCUUCCUAUGUGCGAUUGGUCGGUAGUUUGAUGCAAAAUGCAUUAAACAUGGAUUUCCGGAAAACUUAUCGUGGUCUAGACUUAAGUAACAAAAAAGGGUAGAAGUAGCCCAGUUGUAGCCCAAAUUUGAUAUCUAUAAUUGUCUGAGUGCCGACCGUGUAGGUAAUCCCUAUUUUGCGCUUCAGGCGCCAGUUAUAGGCCAUUUUGCUUUUUUUUGAGGUAAACAGCUAAGUUUUAUUCAUCAAUCCAUAUGUCUACAAGUACUCCCUCCGUUCCUUUUAUGUAAGGUGUAUUAUUUCCGGCACGGUGACCAAGACACAGAAAUAUAUGCAUGUUAGGACGAAAUUACCCUUGACAAAUUUAUUUGUUAGUGCUAAGUAAAUCAGUUAGUCAAGGAAAUUAAAGUAUGAGAUACAUGCAAUUGACAGAGAGAUACUUUCCUUCUUUUGUUACAAGGAGAGAUACAGACAAUCAGGAGAGAGAUACUUUCCCUUUUUCUGGAGGGCUAACAAGAGAAUUAUGUGGAAUUAGAAAAAAUGCACCUUACAUUCUACAAUUUUAUCAAAAAACAAAUACACCUUAUAUAAAGAAACGGAGGGAGUAUUACAUAAGGAUCAUGUGGUUGCCCCAACCAAAUGUGGCGGCCUUGAUCCAACUUAAGAGCAUGCGUAGCUAGUUUAUGUGGCUCAACAUUUGAGCUCCUAGAUUAAAAUUUAAAAACACAAGAAAUGAAGAGAUAUUUCCACUCCAAAAUCUCCUUGACUACUCCACCAUAGUUUCCACCCUACACUUCCUUGAUAUGCUUAACAACUGUUUCGCAAUCCGACACGAUCACUAAGUUUGUAGCCCAAGAUCUUCUGCUAGUUAUAGUCCCUCCCGGCAUGCUAUAGCUCAAGACUGGCUGGGUCCGUCAGGCCCCGUAUGACAAAAACAAAAGAACCCAAAUAUGCACCUGAGCCAUUUCUACACACCGCGGUCGCUGUCCCGACACCACGAGAGACGGCGGCAUCAACAUUGAUCUUCAAAUGACCCUGAACAGCCGGAAUCCAUCUCCUUGGUGCUGCUACUGCUGUAUUACAUACCCAGUUCCCACUAGAGGGGUGAAUCUCUCCCAGCUCCAUAAUGAAGUGGGUAAUGAACAUAUAAGUGGACAGAGGGCUCUGAUCAAUUCCCUCAUGAAUCAGUCUGUGCCGCGCCCACCAUAUAGGCCAGGUAGUGACUGUUAACUUAAUAAAUAUCUCAUGCGAGAGCUGCUCAAACAGAGUAAACAACUAGUCCUCGCGUUCUGUUCAUUAUUUUCCAUCAACUCUUCGAUCAGCUCCUUGUCAACUAAUGACCACACACAACGAGCAGCCGUACAAUCCAGUAGGUUGUGCCUCCAAGAGUCCAGCAUGCCACAAAUAGCGCAAGUACAUGUUGCCGACAUAUUCUGGUGCAUUCUCAUGUCUUCCGUCGGUAUGGAAUGAUGCACUAGUCUCCAUAAAAAUACUCAGAGUUUCGUCUCCAUCAAAAUACUCAGAGUUUCGUUGGAACGUAAGUUUUCCAUAGUUUGACCCAACUCUUAUCCUCUUCCUUCCUACUCUAGGGCCCCGGGCGCUGUUCUAACAAGUCUUCACGCCGGCACUUUGUUUCAACUAUCAUACGAUAAGCAGACCUAAUAGAAAACUUCCCAGAUUUUUCAUGCAUCCAUCACCAGUAAUCAUCCACAACUCAAGCAAAUAGGGAUUUGCAGUAUCUCAGCCGCAUCACAAGGCAGAAAAACAUGGUUUACGAGCUCCAUAUUUCAUCGGGCGUUCACUGUAUCAAUUAAUUUAGAGACAAGUUGCGGUGGAUCCAGCACUCUAGACACCAUCGGCCUCAUGAACUCCGGUCUUGGGAUCCAGUCAGUGUUCCUGAUUUUCAUGGAGGAACCAUCACCCAGUGGCGGAGCUUGGGACACAUCUUAGGAGGGGCAAAUGGGCUGGGGGGAGGGGGGGCAACCAACAUCUGGUUUAGGCUAGAUUUCUAUGAAUCUGUGGGCAGUUUACUCAUGAUAAUAUGAACAAAUCUCCUGGGCAGGGGGGGCGAUGGCCCAGGUUGAUCUUCACUAAGCUCCGCCACUGCCAUCACCUAUGCAUCUAACCAAGCCCUAUUUCAUGAUAUCCCUACCCUCCAAUAUUGAUCUCCAAACCUGGGAAGGGUGAUUUGAUUUCCCAAGUUGGCCUCAAGGAUGGAGCAUGAGGGAAAAAUACACAAUCUUCAGUAUGCGAGCACCGAGAAUGUUGAGGGAAACUAGAAUCCUCCAAGAUUGUUGACCAAGUUGAACAAUUCAAAAUCCCUGAAACCAAGGCCACCCAUGUACCUUGGCAUAGUCAUCUUGUCCCAUGAAACCCAAUAGGGCUUUCUCUUCCCCUGUUUGCUUCCCCACCAAAAGGCCCUAAUAGCUGAAGUUUAUUUUUCACACAACCCACGUGGGAUCUUGAAACACGACAUCGAGAAGACAAGAAUAGCUUGUGCCACUGAUUUGAUUAAAACAUCUUUACCUGCUGCUGAAAGUGUUUUCUCCAUCCACCCUCUAAUCUGUUCCACAGCCGGUCAGCAGAUACUUGAAGGCACCAUUUUUGGAUGAUCCUACAUCCCCAAAUAUUUCUCACUUAGUUGCUCAUUGGGAAAUUGUAAAAUAAUCUUCACCUAUGCUCUUACCACUUUUGGACACCCUUUACUAAAGAAAAUCGAUGAUUUGUCUUUAUUUACUCUCUGUCCAGAUGCUCUAGCAUAGGCAAAAUGGACUCCGCCGACGAGUUCUUUUUCCGUAAAUUCCUUUGCGACUCCGACGAUUCAUCGUCCGAUGAUGAUGAGGAGAUCUUGGUGUUGGGGAACGUUGCAUGAAAAACAAAAAAUUUCUAUGCACACACAAGAUCUAUCCAUGGAGAUGUAUAGCUACGAGAGGGGAGAGUAUCUUCAUACCCUUGAAGAUCGCUAAGCGGAAGCAUUUAUCAACGCGGUUGAUGUAGUCGUAUACCUUCACGAUUCGUCCUGAUCAAGUACUGAAUGUACGGCACCUCCGUAUUCAGCACAUGUUCAGCUCGAUAAUGUCCUCGCCUUCUUGAUCCAGCAAGAGGGGCGAAGUAGUAGAUGAGUUCCGGCAGCAUGACGGCGUGGUGAUGGUGUUGGUGAAGAACAAUCCCGCAGGGCUUUGCCAAGCACAACGGAAACUAGACAGAGGAUAAACUAGAGUGACGGGGUUGCCAGCACACGGCUUAGUGAAUUUCGAUGUGUCCCGUGUGCUAGCCCCGCCUCUCUAUUUAUAUGUUGAGCCCUUGGUUAAAACUUGGAGUAAAAGCCUUCUCGAAGUCGGUUUUGCCCGAUAGGCAAGAGUCCUUCUCGGACUCGAGGACCAGACGCCACAGUCCUUGGCCUCUGGCCCAGACGCCAUGGGCCUCGACAUCUUGCCCAGGGCCAGACGCCAGGGUCUCCGGGAUUUGGUCUCUGACCUCCGCAAAACUUCCUUUUGCACCGACCUAAAGCCCCCUGGGCCUUACCCGUUGGCCUAACCAUAUCAUCAUAUAUAUCAAUCUUUACCUCCGGACCAUUCCGGAGCUCCUCGUCAUUUCUGUGAUCUCAUCCGGGACUCCGAACAACAUCCGGUCCACAACAUACAUAACUCAUAUAAUAUUAUAUCAUCAACGAACGUUAAGUGUGCAGACCCUAUGGGUUCGAGAAUGAUGUAGACAUGACCGAGACGCUUCUCUAGUCAAUAACCAAUAGUGGGACCUGGUGGAUGACCAUAUUGGUUCCUACGGGUUCGGUACUAGAUCGGUUGGAUCGUGAAGACGUUCGACUACAUCAACCACGUUAACCUAACGCUUCCGCUUUUGGUCUACGAGGGUACGUGGACACACUCUCCCCUCUCGUUGCUAUGCAUCUCCUAGAUAGAUCUUGCGUGAGCGCAGAUUUUUUUUUUGAAAUUGCAUGCUACGUUCCCCAACAAUUUGUGCGCUUUACCAAGACCAAUGUCGUGAAACACACCAUGGUAUAUUUUGUAUCUUUUCUCUUUUUUCCUUCAUAGCACUAUAUGGCAAGAUGUCUAACAUUGUGUGCUCUAUUUUGUUUCUAAUCACGGGGAUCAUAGAAAUUUUCUAUGCGACGUGGUUUAUUUGCAAGCUUUAGAUGUCUUGAGCAAGAAUCUAUUAGAUUAAGAUGGUUGCAAAACGGAAUUAAAAAGUAUAUGUGUGAAGCAAUUAUUGUUGAACUAAUAAAAAUACAUAUGCCCAUGUUCCAACACAUGGGUAAUUAACUAGUCUACUAUAGACAAACAUACAUUUAGCAAUCAACACCUUUCUUCUACCAGAUAUGUGUCAACACAUGCCAUUGCCUCCGGGAUUACCUCCAUGCCGCCGCCUUGGUUACCUUCCCCUCUCCAUUCCAACAGCCUUGUCGGUGAUUAGAUAAGUGGGGCAAUGUCCCUUCGUAAUUCUUAGUUAUAGUGAUUCCUUAUAUUUUUACCUUAGGUUUUGGUUUCACCACGGCAUCGAUGAGGUGGCGAUCACAUGGAUGGUUGGAAGAAGGUCUCUUUGGCAUGUCUCUACCUUGAAGACAUAUGAUCUGAUGCUUAUGAAGGGCCAGUGAGGAUAGGUGAUGCGAGAUAUCUUGGCUCCCUUUGGGUCUGGCACUUGAUGUGUGGAUAAAAGAGAGUGGUUGGCUAGCUUUUGGUGCAGUGACUUUGACUUCUUCUUUCAGUUCUAUCUAUGGCAAUCUGAUUUCUUCCACCCUGUAGAUUGGUGGAGUAGGAUUGAAUGUCUGCGCUGUUCAAUGGGUGACUAUUGCAUUCAACGGUUCAAGAAUGCACUAGAUGAUGCUCCUUCAACGGUUACUAUAUUUCUUUGCUAUCAAUGGGUGACACUUGCAUUCUUGAAAGGCUUAUGUGAUGAGGGUGUCCGCAACUCUUCCUUUUCCGUACAAUCUUCUCAGUGCAUUCUUCAAGCUCAAGUAUAUGACAAACUGUCGAAGGAAGAUGUCAAGAAAGGCAUUGAAUAUGAUAUUAUUUUUAGAGGUCGUUUUAUGCCACGUUACCCCUUUUGUACUAACUAUUGUAUUCACUAAUAAAUAUUAUCUGUAAGAUGCCCUUGGGUAUCAUCUCUAAAAAAAUAUAGACACUUCUAUCAAGAUAUUUGUUGGAUACUUCUCUAUAGUUCAAACACUUUGUCAUUAUGUUGCAGGACACAAAAUGCAGUAGGACGUAUACAUGUCUUAAGCCUUAUAUUUACUAUUUAUUAACCAGGAUAUGUUCUUUCUGAUUGUUCAUCCCCACCUCUCACGUAUAUUUUACUGCUAAGGAUAUUCUAAAAAAUGACAAACUAACUUGAAUUCAAGAUAACUAAUCUACAAUAAACAAAACUUAACCACGCCUGUCAAAUCUCUAAAAAAUUAUAAUAAAUAUAUAGAGGCCUGUAAUUUCAUAUUUAUCUUUAGUUUUCUGCAUGCCUAGAAAGAGCCAAUCUAAAAUAUUUUCCUAAAUGCAAAUUUAUCAAGAUGAGAACAAUUCAUGUUAUUUCUAUUGUAAAAUGCAAUUCAGAAUCAGACUAAACGGUUGGAAAUAUUAAACUUAUGUGGUUAAUUUUGUUAGGUGUAAUAAAAAACUGUAUUUACAAAAUAAUCAUAAAACUUCUUCCUGGAAAUACCAAGGGUUCAUCAGUCCAAUCAGACCAGUUUAUGUAUUCAAUGUAAGACCCACCAUGAGAUGCAAGUCUGUCUCUUCAAGCUCUUAGCUGAUGCAUAAGAAAUCGGGGCAGCAAAAAAGUUCUGUCGAAAGGUUUGAUGAUUGGGCAGGAACAAAUUCGUUUGAAUCAACGAGCUACUGGUUAUGGGCAGCAAGUUAGUAUUAUUCUUGCUCAAUAUAAUGCAUGCAUUUUCAUUUUUUGUGUAGGUUGCUAUUUGUGAUUCACCUCAAUGUACUUGGUUUUUUGAUAGUUCAUUUCUCAUACGACAUGAACUUCUGGUUGUUCUUACUGAAAGUGUAAUUCAAUAUGACCUAAGUUAUACAAUAUGAUUUUUUUCUUCAAUUGAAAAUAAUAAUUUCCGGAUUUUACAUUCUUGCAAGGGUAGAAGAGGUUGCAGACAAACCAAUUUAUAUGUGGACACUUCAUAUUGUCAGUGGGCAUACUCUUGGUCAUUUAUGUGCUGCAAUGGUGCCUCUUUUUUUUAUUCUCAUGUUAGCGAAAAGGACAAGGCCAAUUUAACCAGAAAGGUAUGAACUGAUAAUUCCAUAGACUCAUGUGUAAAGUGGAAUUUGAUUCAACCGUGCAUGAUUUUUCUUACCAAACUUAAUGUGGUGAGUACCAGUCCAACAAAUACUUUCCUCGUUCCUUUCCAAAUAUUUGUGUUUCUUCAUCCAGUCUAGUUCUGCUAACAAUUUCACCACAUUAAGGUUGGAUUUGCUCAUGUGACAUGGUUGUUUGUUUGGUUGUGUGGUGAAGGGCAUGUGCUUGGAGAUGGGGAAGUGUCUCAUCCAUGAUCCACACAAUAUAUUUGAUGCAUUUAUUGGAUACAUUUAUUUAACAAUCAUUGAAAAAAUUGCGAACGCCACUGCGUUGCAUCAUUAUGCCAUACAUUAUUUUAUUGCAUUCAUCUGCUUAUGCAUUUUGGCCACCACUAGAGUUUCCAUUGUUUUAUAAGUAUAUUGUAAUUUUUAUGCUGACCAAUAUGUCCAAAUGCUCUUAUAUAUCAACUACUCAACCAUAUGCAGUGCGUGUUUAUGUCUUGUAGGGGUAAAAUCAACAACAAAAACAACAACAACAACGACGACGAUAACAAAGCCUUUAGUCCCAAACAAGUUGGGGUAGGCUAUGCUGAAACCCAUAACAUCUCACAACGAACUCAUGGAUCUGGCACAUGGAUAGCUAGCUUUUACGCACCUCUGUUCAUGGUUAGUUCUUUGGUGAUACUCCAGUCAUUCAGAUCUCACUUUACGGACUCCUCCUAUGUCAAGUUUGGUCUACACCGACCUCUCUUGACAUUAUACUCCUUAAUGACCCUCUCUUUGGAUGGUUGAGCUACCCCCGGGCUUCCACCACUUCGUUCUAGUGACUUUGGCACGCUUAUCCUGUUGGGACAUGAAUCCGAAAGAGAAAGUCAUUCACCACAAGCUUAUGCUGAGGGACAACACUCUCUCCAGGUAUCACCUUACAAUCAAGACAAGCACGCCAGUCUUCUCUUCUCAAGAGGAUGAAAUCAAUCUCACUAGAGUGUUGACCACUACUAAGAGUCACUAGAUGUGAUUCGUGUUAAAGUGGAUGUUAGCUAUGAUCAUCGUAGGCUAGAGGAAAUCUUAAGACAUCUUCUCCUUCUUGAUUCCUGAUGCGAUAGCCAAAGCCCCGAUGCAUCGCUUCAAAACCUAUGUUAGAUGUAUCCACGUGGCCAUUGAGGUAUCCUCCUAUGAAGAGCUUCUUGCCAAUAGGUACUCCUAACCAUGUUCUCCAUGCCUUCCUAGAACUCCUUGGUGUUCUCAUUGUGGCCUACUUGCGGGGCAUACACGUUGAUAACAUUUAGAACUAAGUCCCCAGCUUGACCAGGACAAUCUGGUCCCCACGCCUCCUGACGUCUACCACUCCACACUUGAGGCUCUUGUUGAUCAAGAUGUCUAUUCCAUUCCUGUUUGUAGUUGUCCCCGUGUACCAUAGCUUGAAGCCGGUAUCUCCACCUCCUUUGCUUUCUAUCCUCUCCAUUUGGUUUCUUGGACUCAAAAUGAUAUCAACACCUCUCCUCACCGCUGUAUGAACUAGCCCCUGAAGUUUACCUGUCAGGGUUCCUAUUUUCCAGCUACCUAAACGAGUCCUCCUAGGCUCGGCUAGCUUCCUUAUUCUUCACAGUCGUCGAGUCAAAUGCGAAGACCCUUCAUUUUUCAUUACACGCGGGCGUCGAUGUAGCGCACCACUAAGGAUGCGAUGUGACGACCUGAUCCUUGCUCACUUGUCACCGUAUCCAGAUCAAGAUACUACGCGCCACCUGGUGGGUGACGGCCCGGCCCUUGCCCAUUUGACACAACACCAGGGUUCUGAUAUGGCGCAUCGCUGAGAGGGUUACGCCCCAAAGAUUUUAUUCUAGGUUCAUCUCCAUUAAGAGUGGCUGAGUUCUUGAUGUUGGCUCGCCAAGCCUAUCACAACUCUCGUUUACUCGGGCUUGGGACCGGCUAUGUUGAGACAACAUAGGCAGAGUUGUCUUGUAGGGUACACACAAAGAGUAUAAUUUUGAUUACAUGAUCUGACAAUUUCCCUCGUUUCAGACACAUGAUUCUAGUGCAUCAUCAAUUAAUGCUUGCUUUCAUGGUCUGCUUAUUGGUGCCCAAGAUGAUCUGCCUAUGGAUGCCCAAGUUACAAGUAUGAUAAUCUUCUGAUCCAUGUCCAAGCAAAUAAGAGUCACUCCACAUAUUGACCAUGUUGCUGCUUUGUCUAGAGGCCUGACACUACAUAAUUACUAACCUCCCUUGACAAUUGACUCAUUCCAUACCAUACUAUGUGCAUUAUGUUAUUAUGGAGGUAAUUAUACAAUGAUAACUUUACUACCAUGUCAUGCUUUCUCCACAAUUUUAGAAAGUAAAAUCUGUCUCUAGCAUGCAUGUGAUUCUUGCAUUGAUAUUUAUUUAUUUGGAUAACCUAAUUAACUUCUUCCACACUCGUGAAAAUUAGAUAAGUUCUUUUUCAUGUGUGACUUAUUGACUGUGUUGUUGCUCUAAAUCAGGUUAGUGCCAAAAUGUAUGAAAUCAACAUUUUGAUGUGGGAGUUUAGUGCUCGUCAUGUGGCUAAUCAGGCAAAGACCUCAGAGGAGCGAGGAAUGUUAGAAACCCCAAUUUGUGCUCCGCAAAUAGUCCCGCGUAUUCGUGGCCUUUAUGGGAUGGACAUUCUUACAAAGUGAACGAUCGGAUGAGUCCAUAUUUGGAUUAUGGGGCACGUCCGCUGUUGGCAAGACACGGCUUCUUUCGCUUAUCGCUGAUAGCUAUGCUGAUUCAUUUCAUCACGUCAUAUUUCUUGAUGGUGGCAGUUGCCUGAGAGUCAUGCAAAAUCAUUUCGCAUAUUUUUUGAAAUUGGAUUGGGAGACAAUCUCAUUGUUAGAGGAGCAUUACCGAGCUAAAAUCAUUAUGGAGUACCUAAGAGCAUGUCAGUUUUUUGGUUCUGUUAGACGAUGUGCAAGAUGAAGUCUACCCAGAUUUAACAGCUCUUGGUUUGCCGAUGGCUGUUGGGCAUCGGCAAAAAGUUGUUCUUACGGCGAGGAGUCAGGUAGUAUGUGCUCGCAUGGAAUGCACCAUAUCAAACACUCUGGAGAUGAAGUGUCUUGGGGAUGAAGAUGCUUGGAGUCUUUUCGAGUAUAAUGCGGGAGUAAAAAUCACAGAAGCUAAUACUGAAAUUUAUGAAUAUGCAAAACAAGUAUUAUAUAUUUCUACAUAAUAACUUUUCAGAUAUACGUUUAACCUACAAAUAAAAACUGUGCACUAUAAUUUAUAGUUUAUAUUGGUUAUUAGAUGGUUUCAGCAUGUGGAGGGUUGCCUAGAGCCAUAUGUGCUAUUGGCCUGGGCAUUCGGUUACACCGAACCGAUCGGUUCGGUGCCUCGGUCUAUUUUUAAUUUCGGUUUCCAAAUUUUAUGGACCGAUCGGUCUUUUGAGAAUUCACUAACCGAGGCUUUCGGUCCAGCGAGAAUUCGGCUCGGUCCUCGGUUAUAACCGAAGGGGACUUGUUUUCUACGGAAACACUAACGCCCACAUGUGUGGGCGUUCUCCAACUCGCCCACACAUCUAGAUGGUCGUUGAUUGUCUUUUGCACGAAUCUUGACACGAAAAGGUGGAUUUGAUGUGCCACAUAGGACGGGGCUAGUGUGUGGGCGUUGGAGAGUUUGCCCACACGCCCCGCAUCACGCUGUUGCCAGCUGCGAUGUGUGGGUGAACUAGUUUCUGCCCACACAGCCACCACCUAGUCCAUGCGCGUGUGGGCGAACUGAUUUUCACCCACACAACAAUCCUACAUUAUGGAUGGCAACUGCAGUUACGUGAACAUGGCAACUAGGUAAACAAACAUGGUAACUGUGAUUCUUUUGCUAGACGGCAACUGCAGUUGCGCGUGUGUGGCAAACAGAUAAACACACAUGGCAACUGCGAUUAACUGUGCAUGGCAACUAUGGUUGGACCACACGUGGCAACUAGGUAAACACACAUGGCAACUACUGUUUGAGCAUGUGUGGCAAGUAGUUAAUCACACACGGCAACUACGAUUUUAAUUACACGCGGCAACUACCAUAAAUUAGACAUGGCAACUAUAAUUGAUCAAAACAAAUAGAGUUGCCAUGCUUUUACAACUACACUUGCCAUCCCGGAUAACUACAUCUGCCAACCAGGAUGGCAACUAAAUCGUCAUCCCGCGGGUACCUAACGUUGCUGCGCUAGGACGUGUGGGCAUUUUUGCUUCGUGCCACACGCGUGGGGUGGAGAUGAGUAGUACUUGUUGGGCGUGUGGCACGAAGUAGCCGCGCCCACACGUGUGUGCAAUUCUAAUGUCCGCCCACACACAACCCGUGUGGGCUGCCUCCUGCUCACACCACACAUGGUGUGUGGCCAGACCCUUUAACGCCCACACGUGUGGGCGUUAUCGACGUCCUUUUUCUAACUUGAAGAGAGAACAUACUGGAUUGGAAGGAAUAAAUCGGAAGGCAAAUUCUAAGCGAGAAACAAGUUCGGAAAAGGAAUCGAUCCAAACAUGCAUUGCGCUGCCUAAUAUGGCUCAAUCAGGCCGCUCGUGGCAACCUUUGCAUAGCAUACAUGAAUGGUACAAGGAAAGACAUACAAUAGGAUACUAGAUAGGGAUCGCGCCGUGGCGCGAGGGUGCUGGUCAAAAUGUUUGUAUGCACAUAAUAAGAAGCUACUUAACAAUGCAUGAACAUAGAAAGCAUUUUUCACGAUAGGUUAGCACCAAAUAUCUUAGGCAUAGAAGAUACGACAACACGUCGCUUAAAGACAAUUUACAACUAUGCAUAGAUAACUUUAAGUUUUAGGCAUAACGUAGACGUUUAGGCAUAGAAGAUACGACAACACGUCGCUUACAGACAUUUUAGGCAUAGAAGAUACGGUAACACGUCUCUUACAGACAAUUUACAACAUGGGUCUUGCCGUCCUCAUGAACAACGCGUUCAUACUGAGCCGGUGAUAGUCCAAGGUGUGCCAGGAGCAUGCCAAGAAUUGCCGUGUGUGGGAUCCUAAGCACUCGCUUGGUGUCCUGCAGUUCCCAAUAAUAUAAAACAUAAGGCCUUGGGGAAUUGCCCAAAACAAUUGCGGAUAAAAGCAACCAUAGUGAUAAAAAAGAUAUGCCAAGCCUAUCCUUUAAUCAGGAUUUUGUUUAGGAUGUGCCAAGCAUUUAAAAAAACAGACUAUGAAUCAGGAUUUUGUUGCAAACAUACUGAAUGAUGGAAUGAGAAGAGGAAUAUAUUCAUGAAAUAAAGCAAGAGAGAUAAAGUUGAAAGGAAAGAAGUGCAGAGCUUGCAGGUGAAAAACAUCAUAUAAAAUGUAUAAUCACCAAUCAGGCAAUUUCAAGAUAUCAUGACUUAUUGCUGUGAUUAAAACAAAGCUUGUUGAUGAAUGAUUGGAAUCAGCUAUUCACUGAAUAAAUAUAUUCAUGGCGUAGUUUCAGUUUUGUGCCAUGAAGAGAGGCCGUCGAGUGUGAUAUCUAGAACAGAGAUGACCAUAUAUAUCAAGAAUGGUGAGGUAUGAAGAAAACAAACUCUCUAAGGAACACAUGCAGGUAGGUAUUUUUUUCUUGGAUUCUAUUGCUUCUACCUGAAUCUCAAGGUAUACAGUGACAUCCACGAUUAGCGGAAUUAAGCAACAACGACAUGCUCUCUGAUUUCAAUGUAACAUGUUUCAAUUCCUCUAUAACCCCUGUGUUUUAUCAAAACAAGCGCACAAACAAGAUAAUCAUCGAAACAAUAUUAUGUUCUCAACAAGGCUAUGUGCAUUCUUCUCAAGUCUGAGAUAUGCACGUACUGUGGUCUUAGAUCAAUUGAUAAUCACCAGAACUAACUACAGUACAUAGUUUGUGAAUCAAAAGUGAGAAAAUACCAGGAAGAUGAUUUGUGUAGUUGCAAGAGCUCAGGGGAAAGGAGAGUAGGCGGACCUGCUUGCUGGAGCUCCUUGACUGGCCAGUUGAACGUGCAGCCACAGUCGAGAGAGUGCUACUACCUUACAUGAGAGCAUGUUAAAUGGAAAAAACUCAAAUCCCUAACAAGAACAUUUUUUGAAAGAUCCAUAAAAUCCAGAUCGGGAUAGCGGGACUAACACGAACUCAUCCUUCACGCGAGCACCGCCACUCGAUGGAGAUGGUCGGUACCCCACGCCACUCCACGCAUCAUCAUAUUCCUCCUUCACGCGAGCACCGCUGCUCGGCAGCCUCCACAUCUGCCGGCUCGGCUCCCUCGGCGGCCGCUGUGCCCCACGCCGACAUAAGCGCCCAUCCAAAGGGAAAUAAAGAAGUAGACAACAAAACAAAGAGCGAUGUUAAUAUAACCACAUCAUUCAAUUCACGUGUCAAGAUACAAUAGGAAGUCUUUCCACCAAGCGGCUUGAUACAUACAAUUAAACUCAGGAAAAUAAUUUUCACCACUCAUAGAUAAUAAGCAGCUGUAAGGGGGCACACAGACAACCGCAUACCAGUAUACAUGCAAAUAACUUCAAAUAAACGUAUGCCACAGGAAAAGUAAACUCCAACAUAUUACCAAAGAGACAAUAAAAGCUCUGAGCCGAAAAAUCUAAGAAAUGCUCAAAUCAGUUUACUUAAUAGUUACGAAAUUAAUUAUUCUCGGUCAGGUGGUUCUGGUAUACUUAAGAAAACACUUGUAGACUUCAAGUACAGAUAAAUACUCAAGCUACAUGGAACUAUAGUCAACAACAUAGUUCUAUAAUAACAAGUGAUUCCAAUUAAACACAAGUGCUCAGAACCAUGGAACUGGAGCUUUAUAAAAUCAUGCUACUAAUUAUCUUAGAGACCAAUUAAACUCAUAUGCGGACCAUGGUCAACUGUGGGUUUAUACACUCGUCAGAAAUAUUGGCCACGAAAAACAUAACAGCAUUAAUACAGUCAACACAUACCUCAAGUACUGAAGGACUGAGGCACUGAUCAUCUGUUUGACUCAUUUUCACUUCUGCAUACGCUACUUUUAUAAAGUGAUCGAGCAGGGGUGCAGCAUCGUCGAGCAGGGGCGGCGGCGACAGCCAGACCACCUUGAGCACCACGGUCCGGAAGCCAAGAGGAUGAGCAGACGAAAAUCAGAAUGGAUUAACCAGGAAACCCUAGACAAAUCCCAAAAAAACAACAAAUCCCUUGAUGAGCACAUACACAUCACAAAGGGAAAGACAAACAAGGGAGCAAAUAAUCACCUCAGCCAUCUUAGAAGCCCACUCGGUGUGCUCCCUCUCUGGCCGACCCGCAAGACAGCCCCAACGCCACGCCACCGUCCCAACCGUGAAACAGCCAGAGAAGCAAGGAAGAUGGUAAGAAACAAGCGAAAUAAAAGGUAGUGGGAUCCAAUACAAACAUUAACCAUCCUAAAGACGUUGUUAUUAGAAACAUGACACUGUGGUUUCUGAUGGUUUAUCAUCAAAUUAAAACAAGACAUUGAACCGACGACUUGCUUACUCUUAACCAGAUGAAAUCAAGGACCAACAACAAACAAUAAAAGUCAAGAACAACUUAUAUGCAAUAAAGGUAUGAGAGGGAAGAAAUAUUCACAUAAGACGGCUAUAAACACUGGAGCAUAAAUAAGCAACACCUUUAAAUACAAAUAAAAGGGUUCCGGGUUCAAUGCAUAGUGGGCUCAGAUUUGCCUUUCCUCGAUCAUAUAAUCUACCCCCGCCAUCUCUUGUCACCAGAUUAAUUUGUUUAUACAGUGGAGCUGCCCUUGUUAUCACUCAACAAGAAUGACCAUCCAAGGACAGAACAAUAAGUAUCACAUGAUCAAAAAGUAUUCUAGAGACAAGAGGGAGGACCCAACUUGAUACCCACAGGUGCCUUGAUUGCUCAAAGGAACACUUAUUUCAGCCACAGCGAAUCAUCAUCGCCCUAGCAAGGAUGGCUUCCAACUGGUGGCGCACGUGCGAAUAAAAAGGGUUCAGGGUUCAAUGCAUAUGGGCUCAGAUUUUCCUUUCCUCGAUCAUAUAAUCUACCCCCAUCAUCUCUUAUCACCAGAUCAAUCUGUUUAUACAGUGGAGCUGCCCUGAUUAUCACUCAAUAAGAAUGACCAUCCAAAGGACAGAACAAUAAGUAUCAGAGGAUCAAAAAGGAUUCUGGAGACAAGAGGGAGGACCGAACUUGAUACCCACGGCUAAUCAUCAUCGCCCUAGCAAGAAUGGCUUCCGACCGAUGGGGCACGUGAUUCAAACGCGGUGGCACGAGAUAUCUCAUUUUGGGAGUAACUAUACAUUCCCGCGGUAACUUUUUUUAUCCGAUGGACGAGGUCGUUACAGGGAUCGAUCCGACGGCCCAAGAUCCAUCAAGCAACCAGAUCCGACGGCCAGGAAUCCCAAAUCGCUGAGGAGCAGCCUGAGGAGCUUCUAUUCUUAUUUCUGGAUGGACUUAUUUCUGGAUUUCUGGAUGGAUCACCGGAUCGAUAUGUUCUUACGAGGGUUUAACUGCCAUGCUUAUCACUCAUUAGAAAUGACCAUCCAAGGUCAGAGCCACUAAAAUAAGAACGUGAUCAAAACAGCUCAAAGAAACAAGGGAGGAUCCAAAUUAAUACCCACAAGUGCCUCGACUACUUGAGAGCAUGCCUAUCUCAGCCAUAACUGAUCAUCAUAGCCCUGGCCAUGUCCCAUAUAGUCGUCGAAGCAAAGCAGGGGAAGAUGGAGCUCACAGAGGGAGGUUGUAGCCGAGGCAGUACUCAGAGGGCACCAGGGUUGCGCCUAAACGCCAUCCAACUAGUGAGGAACCACGUCGGAGUUGCGCCUUGCACCAUCCCGCCGACGAGCACGAAAGCCAUGGGCACCGAAGUGGCCAAGGAGGCGAGGAGGUGAUGUAUAGCACAUCUAGGAGCACCAUCAGAGACGACCGGGGCAACGAGCAGGCAGGGAGAGAGGCGAGGCGGCAGGGAGAGGAAAGGGCACGAUGUGAGUGCAGGCCUGCAGGGAGCGGAACAUUAGCUAUUUUUUCUUUCGCAGUAUAUAGGAAGUAUCAAACAUAUCAUAUAAGUGCAAUCAUCUUUGAUAAUAUAAGAGAGCAUAAAAAUCACAGAGCUUGUUUAAGAUAUUUUGUCACAUCAAGUAGUUUAGAUAAGAAAAGCCUAACCCAGAGUUACAAAUAAUUGGAGCGAGUGAUAGAUUUAUUAUUCUGAUAAUUUGGUAGUGACUAUACAUAAAUAAUUCAUUCGCCAACAGUAAAAAAUAUGCGAUGCAUUAUUUACACAAAACAAUAUUUUUUUGUAUAGGGUCAGAAAGAUAUUUCAGCAUUCAAAUCAAUAAGGCUGAAAUAAUCUAAGAGUAUUAUCACUAUAGAGCAACAAUUUAUGAACUCGCUGUCAGUCAAAAGUAUUAUCACUACAGAGGAACAAUGAUUUACAGAGAAGGGGAUGAGUAAGGUUUGUUUGCUCAGGACUGUGCAUCAACUAAUCACCUAAAGUAAUUUCAAUAAAUAAAAAUUUACAUAUCGACCAAGAUAAACGUCAUGGUUAAAAAAUACGUUGAUAAUAUAUACAUCAAUGACAUCUCAAAGCUCAUUUCACAACAAGACUAUUGUAAACUUGAUAUAAAUAUAUAAUGGCCCCAUAAAGAUCCCCAUCUGUAGAAACCAAGUGAAAAAUCGUUUGGAAUAUGGUGUUUAGAUAUCACUGCCCAUAAAUAUAUAAUGUCGCAUGAAAAAUGGUGUUUGUUCUAAAUGGUCACUGAAAAUACUUGUUCUUGCGCUGCAAACAUACACAGAUAAAGGGCAAGCCAACAACCGUAGGUAUUCAGUAGGCCUAUACACAUACACCUAUUUUCCUCUAUUCUAGAAUCAAGAUGCACUUUCAUGUAUUGUUAGAUUAUUUCUCAUCGUAAAGAGGAUCGAGCCAAAGCUUGAUUAUAAGUAUGUAAGCAAACAAUAUGGACAGAAGGAACAAACAUUGGGUGUCAAAUGCAAACAGUAAGCUUCAGAGAAUUUACAUCUCCUAAAAUCAUUCAAGGGAUAGUAGCCUUUUGACUACAUGGUAGGUUGGUAGGUAGAAAUACGUUCAUAUACAUUGACAUCAACAUUUUUAACCUGGGAAUAGAUAAAAAAACGGCAAAGACGCAUCUCAUAUAAUCAAAGUAAACAUGGUAGAUCCAAAGCAAUGUAUCUAAGACUUAAAUUAAGGGGAAAAUGCAAACUAAUUAAAGAUUGAAGCCAUCAAUUUCACCCCCACAAUUUGCAAAUUGUAAUGUUCUCAGAUGAACUAACUGAAUAUAUUUACAUAAGGCAAGAGAAAUCAUCAUCACUGAUAUUCCCUACAGACCUAGGUCUCUGCCAAGAAUCACACAAGUUCCUUGAUGCUCCAAAAACCAAGCGAUGUUCGAGCAAGGGAAACACGAAAAGGCGCGAGGAGAGCUCCGUCGGGAGGGAGAGGGGUAGGGUUCGUACCUUGACUACAUGAGUUCACUGUAACUUCACCUCCGGAUCCAGGCGAGGUACUCUGUAAUUUAGAAACAGAGAUUCACUACGGUGGGUCAACUACGGCACAAUCGCUGGUGAGAACAUCAGAAGAACUUAUUUUCAAACUGAAUUAAGGAAAAACAAUUGUUGCAAGUAAAUUUACCCUCUAAUUACUGAUAAAGCGCAACAACAUUCAGCUAAUGAGACAUGAGAAGGAACUUUUCAUACUGUAAUAAGGAAAACUGGGCAACAUCAAAUAUCAUCUCAUUGAUUCUGCUAUAUAACAUAUAUUCACAUAAACCAUAAGAUAUGAUUGGAACUGCAAUCUCUAAACCAAAACGGCAACAAUAGAAUCAAAGUCCACUGUAUUACUAUCUAGAAAUUGAAGAGGACUACAGAAGUAUUUUUAGUGUACAUCAAGCUUACCAGGAAAAAAAAGCAUAGCUCUUGAACUGCACAUACAUGCUUCACUAACAAAUCUUGGCCUAGCCAAAACAAAUUCACCACACCUGUACAUGAACAUUCAGGGAAAGAAAUGAAACACCACACGUGAAAAUGCAUCCUGAUAACUAAUUAACUACUCAGCAAAUCAAAUGGUAUGUUUGAAUGCCUCUUUGAUCCUAUGAAACUGUAUACAAAAGAUAAGUAAUUAUCUACUCGCCAAAUCCAGUAGUAUAUUUGAGUGACUCUUCUUAUCCUUUCUCUGAAACUAAUACAAAAGAGAGCUAAUUAGCCACCCGCAAAUCGAGUGUGAUAUUUGAACGCCUCUUCUGAUCAUUUCUCUUAAACAGUUUAGUUUACACCAACUUUAGUACUGAGCAGAAUAUGUAUGUAAAUAAACCAGAGGAGACUGGAAUUUACAUUCCUAAUUAACAAAAUCAGCUAUGUUACUAAAGGGCAGUGGCAAAGGAUAACCAUAUGCAGUUAAGCCUUGCUUAUCACCCAAUUUCAGAACCAGUCAGCCUUCUAUAAGUAUUAUCAUGCGUGCAAUCUGACACGAAGGCCAAAACAACACUAUCCAUCUUCACAAAAAUCCAUUAUACGCUUCGGUACAUCUGAGAGUUAAGGAUCUUCAUUUUUAUUUAGAUGAAAUUACUUGGUAGCUAACAAACAUACCUCGAGGGAUGUGCACACAUGAGAGAUCGCCGGUGCCCUUUCUAGCUUCGGCGGCAGACAUCCUCCCUUUGCUCUCCUUCCAAUAGAUAUUAGAGUACAUUAAACCAAAAACCAAAAGGGAACAAGGGAGUGGAAGACCAGGAAUUAAUCGGACCACAAGAAAUCUAAGGGAAAAAACUAAAAGAAGGCCAAACAAUACUUGUGCAGGACCAAAUGACGCAUCACAUAGCAAUGAAACUGGAGGUUAGAAAACUACUCAGACUUUCAUGCCAUCAUGGAUUCAAUCUGAUCUAAAUGUAACCAAAUAAUGCAUCGGAACCAUAUUGACUACUAAAAGGGCAAGCACAAGCUUGCCAAAUUUACCACAAAUGUAGCAUUGCAAUCAAAUGGGUCCAAUCUUGAUGAAAGCAAAAAUGUAUCAUAUAGCACGCACGCACACGAACAGUCACAUUAUCCUCAUCUUGCUGAAAGCAAAAAAUGUAUCAUGUACUGUAAAUUCAUACCUUGACCUGCAAAGGGUAUGGUCCAGUUUCAAUCAUGUUGGCCUUUAGAUAAGUUUUUGAACAACAAUUUCACCACCUGAACAAAAAGCAGAGGAAAGCUAGUAAAUACUUCCAACAUGUUCACCUCAGUAUAGUGGUCCUACUUAUCCAACGACCCAUAUAUCUCAAAUAGAACAGCUUAAUAUCUCAAACAACAGUGAACGUCCAGCAUGUUCUCCAAAGUUACAUAAUAUAACAUGUUCAAAGGCUGUCAAGAUCAAAAAAUAGCGAGGGGAUUUUGUAGUCACAUGGCAAAGGUAAUAAAAUUUCUUCUAAUUUAAAUCUCAGACAUCUCAAUGAAAUAAAUAAUUUGAUACAUAAUUGAAACUGAACCCUAAUCUUUUGUUGUUGAGUUGUCUUUUCGUGACUAUCAACACUUUCAGUUUUAGCGUAUGAGAUGUGUCUCUGCGUCCUCCUCCUCCCCAAGAAGUUAGGUAUUAAUUUUGAAAAUUGACAUUUGAGUGGUUUGGCGACAUGGCAUAGUAUCGGGAGGUUUCUGUGAGGAGCGAGGUGAGACGGCCACUGCCGCUGAAGGAGUGGGGAUGAUGCCAGAAUUUGACAAAAUACCAAAUUUGCAAUUCACAUGUAUCGAUUAUCAUCAGACUGUGAGACAGAGGACACCGCAUAACCAAGCUACGGCAAACAUGUAGAAGGGGAACCAUAAGUGAAAAACGAUGAAAGGAAAAAACGUAAUGGUAAAAGGCAUAUAGUAUCUUCAUAUAUGAAAAAUUAUGAAAGGAAAAAAAUGUAAUGGUAUUCUAUGGGGAUGUGUUGUAGCUUGCACCUUGAGAUAAAACUGUUUCUGUCAGCAGCAUGACUGCAUCUUGCAAGAACAUGUAGUCUCUCUUCUCUGUUUUGUCUUCUAUGUUAUGUGAACACAUAAACAGAACAAAUAUUAGACGAAAUAUGAAUUGUCUGGUUGCCUAAGAAAGUGCAUCAGAUUAAACUGUAGUAUAAUAAAUGUUCGCUUAAUGCAUUCAUCAACGGCUAGGGAGACCAAAUCAUAAUAAUCUAGGCAUACCACACCAAACAACAGAGGCCAAUGAACAUGCCAUUCUUCCUAUUCUCUUUCAGAAGCAUCAAUCCAACAGAAAACAAACCGAACCCUUUGUUUUUUCACAUGUCACUCGACAAAGAACAUCAUUUUCGAGCAAGCAAACAUGAAGGUGCCAAGUAAAAACACAAGACUAAACAGACACGAGCCAAGUGGACCAAUCCAAAUGCACCAGGCCAAUCCAAAAGGCACAUGUCCUGCUCCAUUCACCUCUUCCUGAAAGCUCACUACAAUCCUAGAGAAAGAUCCCAAUGAAGGAAAAGGUUUUCGGCCAGUUCAAGGGAUUGACUACGAUGAGACCUUCUCACCCGUAGCGAUGCUUAAGUCCGUCCGAAUCAUGUUAGCAAUUGCCGCAUUUUAUGAUUAUGAAAUUUGGCAGAUGGAUGUCAAAACUGCAUUCCUGAAUGGAUUUCUGAAAGAAGAGUUGUAUAUGAUGCAACCGGAAGGUUUUGUCGAUCCAAAAGGAGCUAACAAAGUGUGCAAGCUCCAGCGAUCCAUUUAUGGACUGGUGCAAGCCUCUCGGAGUUGGAAUAAACGUUUUGAUAGUGUGAUCAAAGCAUUUGGUUUUAUACAGACUUUCGGAGAAGCCUGUAUUUACAAGAAAGUGAGUGGGAGCUCUGUAGCAUUUCUGAUAUUAUAUGUGGAUGACAUAUUGCUGAUUGGAAAUGAUAUAGAAUUUCUGGAUAGCAUAAAGGGAUACUUGAAUAAAAGUUUUUCAAUGAAAGACCUCGGUGAAGCUGCUUACAUAUUAGGCAUUAAGAUCUAUAGAGAUAGAUCAAGACGCUUAAUUGGACUUUCACAAAGCACAUACCUUGACAAGAUUUUGAAGAAAUUCAAAAUGGAUCAAGCAAAGAAAGGAUUCUUGCCUGUAUUACAAGGUGUGAAGUUGAGUAAGACUCAAUGCCCGACCACUGCAGAAGAUAGAGAGAAUAUGAAAGAUGUUCCCUAUGCAUCAGCCAUAGGCUCUAUCAUGUAUGCAAUGCUGUGUACCAGACCUGAUGUGUGCCUUGCUAUAAGUUUAGCAGGGAGGUACCAAAGUAAUCCAGGAGUGGAUCACUGGACAGCGGUCAAGAACAUCCUGAAAUACCUGAAAAGGACUAAGGAUAUGUUUCUCGUAUAUGGAGGUGACAAAGAGCUCACCGUAAAAGGUUACGUUGAUGCAAGCUUUGACACUGAUCCGGACGAUUCUAAAUCGCAAACCGGAUACGUGUUUACAUUAAACGGUGGAGCUGUCAGUUGGUGCAGUUCUAAACAAAGCGUCAUAGCGGGAUCUACAUGUGAAGCGGAGUACAUACCUGCUUCGGAAGCAGCGAACGAAGGAGUCUGGAUGAAGGAGUUCAUAUCCGAUCUAGGUGUCAUACCUAAUGCAUCGGGUCCAAUGAAAAUCUUUUGUGACAAUACUGGUGCAAUUGCCUUGGCAAAGGAAUCCAGAUUUCACAAAAGGACCAAACACAUCAAGAGACGCUUCAACUCCAUCCGGGAUCUAGUCCAAGUGGGAGACAUAGAGAUUUGCAAGAUACAUACGGAUCAGAAUGUUGCAGACCCGUUGACUAAGCCUCUUCCACGAGCAAAACAUGAUCAGCACCAAAGUUCCAUGGGUGUUAGAAUCAUUACAGUGUAAUCUAGAUUAUUGACUCUAGUGCAAGUGGGAGACUGAAGGAAAUAUGCCCUAGAGGCAAUAAUAAAGUUAUUAUUUAUUUCCUUAUAAUCAUGAUAAAUGUUUAUUAUUCAUGCUAGAAUUGUAUUAACGAGAAACAUAAUACAUGUGUGAAUACAUAGACAAAGAAAGUGUCACUAGUAUGCCUCUACUUGACUAGCUCGUUAAUCAAAGAUGGUUAUGUUUCCUGACCAUAAACAAUGAGUUGUUAUUUGAGUAACGAGGUCACAUCAUUAGUUGAAUGAUCUGAUUGACAUGACCCAUUCCAUUAGCUUAGCACCUGAUCGUUUAGUAUGUUGCUAUUGCUUUCUUCAUGACUUAUACAUGUUCCUAUGACUAUGAGAUUAUGCAACUCCCGUUUGCCGGAGGAACACUUUGGGUGCUACCAAACGUCACAACGUACCUGGGUGAUUAUAAAGGAGCAUUACAGGUGUCUCCAAAGGUAGAUGUUGGGUUGGCGUAUUUCGAGAUUAGGAUUUGUCACUCCGAUUGUCGGAGAGGUAUCUCUGGGCCCUCUCGGUAAUGCACAUCACAUAAGCCUUGCAAGCACUGCAACUAAUAUGUUAGUUGUGAGAUGAUGUAUUACGGAACGAGUAAAGAGACUUGCCGGUAACGAGAUUGAACUAGGUAUUGGAUACUGACGAUCGAAUCUCGGGCAAGUAACAUACCGAUGACAAAGGGAACAACGUAUGUCGUUAUGCGGUCUGACCGAUAAAGAUCUUCGUAGAAUAUGUAGGAGCCAAUAUGGGCAUCCAGGUCCCGCUAUUGGUUAUUGACCAGAGACGUGUCUCGGUCAUGUCUACAUUUGUUCUCGAACCCGUAGGGUCCGCACGCUUAAGGUUACGAUGACAGUUACAUUAUGAUUUUAUGCAUUUUGAUGUACCGAAGGUUGUUCGGAGUCCCGGAUGUGAUCACGGACAUGACGAGGAGUCUCGAAAUGGUCGAGACGUAAAGAUUGAUAUAUUGGAAGCCUAUGUUUGGACGUCGGAAGUGUUCCGGGUGAAAUCGGGAUUUUACCGGGUUACCGGGAGGGUUACCGGAACCCCCCGGGAGCUAUAUGGGCCAUAGUGGGCCUUAGUGGAAAAGAUAAGGGGCUGCCCUGGAUGGGCUGCGCGCCUCCCCCCUCCCCUAGUCCUAUUAGGACUAGGAGAGGUGGCCGGCCCCCUCCUCCUCUUUUCCCCCUCCGGGGAAUCCUAAUAGGAAUAGGAUUGGAGGGGAGUCCUACUCCCGGUAGGAGUAGGACUCCUCCUGCGCCUCCCUCCUUGGCCGGCGCCUCCUCCCCCCCUUGGCUCCUUUAUAUACUGAGGUAGAGGCACCCCAAAAGACACAAGUUGAUCCACGUGAUCUAUUCCUUAGCCGUGUGCGGUGCCCCCUGCCACCAUAUACCUCGAUAAUACUGUAGCGGAGUUUAGGCGAAGCCCUGCUGCUGUAGUUCAUCAAGAUCGUCACCACGCCAUCGUGCUGACGAAACUCUUCCCCGACACUUUGCUGGAUCGGAGUCCGGGGAUCGUCAUCGAGCUGAACGUGUGCUCGAACUCGGAGGUGCCGUAGUUUCGGUGCUUGAUCGGUUGGAUCGUGAAGACGUACGACUACUUCCUCUACGUCAUGUCAUCGCUUCCGCAGUCGGUCUGCGUUGGGUACGUAGACAACACUCUCCCCUCGUUGCUAUGCAUCACAUGAUCUUGCGUGUGCGUAGGAAAAUUUUUGAAAUUACUACGAAACCCAACAGUGGUAUCAGAGCCUAGGUUACUUAUGUUGAUGUUAUAUGCACGAGUAGAACACAAGUGAGUUGUGGACGAUACAAGUCAUACUGCCUACCAGCAUGUCAUACUUUGGUUCGGCGGUAUUGUUGGACGAGACGACCCGGACCAACCUUACGCGUACGCUUACGCGAGACCGGUUCCCUCGACGUGCUUUGCACAUAGAUGGCUUGCGGGCGACUGUCUCUCCAAUUUUAGUUGAACCGAGUAUGGCUACGCCCGGUCCUUGAGAAGGUUAAAACGGAGUCUAUUUGACAAACUAUCGUUGUGGUUUUGAUGCGUAGGUGAGACUGGUUCUUACUUAAGCCCGUAGCAGCCACGUAAAACAUGCAACAACAAAGUAGAGGACGUCUAACUUGUUUUUGCAGGGCAUGUUGUGAUGUGAUAUGGUCAAGGCAUGAUGCUGAAUUUUAUUGUAUGAGAUGAUCAUGUUUUGUAACCGAGUUAUCGGCAACUGGCAGGAGCCAUAUGGUUGUCGCUUUAUUGUAUGCAAUGCAAUCGCGAUGUAAUUACUAAACGGUAGUGAUAGUCGUGGAAGCAUAAGAUUGGCGAGACGACAACGAUGCUACGAUGGAGAUCAAGGUGUCGCGCCGGUGACGAUGGUGAUCAUGACGGUGCUUCGGAGAUGGAGAUCACAAGCACAAGAUGAUGAUGGCCAUAUCAUAUCACUUAUAUUGAUUGCAUGUGAUGUUUAUCCUUUUAUGCAUCUUAUCUUGCUUUGAUUGACGGUAGCAUUAUAAGAUGAUCUCUCACUAAAUUAUCAAGAAGUGUUCUCCCUGAGUAUGCACCGUUGCCAAAGUUCGUCGUGCCCAGACACCACGUGAUGAUCGGGUGUGAUAAGCUCUACGUCCAUCUACAACGGGUGCAAGCCAGUUUUGCACACGCAGAAUACUCGGGUUAAACUUGACGAGCCUAGCAUAUGCAGAUAUGGCCUCGGAACACGGAGACCGAAAGGUCGAGCGUGAAUCAUAUAGUAGAUAUGAUCAACAUAACGAUGUUCACCAUUGAAAACUACUCCAUCUCACGUGAUGAUCGGUCAUGGUUUAGUCGAUUUGGAUCACGUAAUCACUUAGAGGAUUAGAGGGACGUCUAUCUAAGUGGGAGUUCUUAAGUAAUAUGAUUAAUUGAACUUAAAUUUAUCAUGAACUUAGUACCUGAUAGUAUCUUGCUUGUUUAUGUUGAUUGUAGAUAGAUGGCUCGUGCUGUUGUUCCGUUGAAUUUUAAUGCGUUCCUUGAGAAAGCAAAGUUGAAAGAUGAUGGUAGCAGUUACACGAACUGGGUCCGUAACUUGAGGAUUAUCCUCAUUGCUGCACAGAAGAAUUACGUCCUGGAAGCACCGCUGGGUGCCAGGCCUGCUGCUGGAGCAACACCAGAUGUUAUGAACGUCUGGCAGAGCAAAGCUGAUGACUACUCGAUAGUUCAGUGUGCCAUGCUUUACGGCUUAGAAUCGGGACUUCAACAACGUUUUGAACGUCAUGGAGCAUAUGAGAUGUUCCAGGAGUUGAAGUUAACAUUUCAAGCAAAAUGCCCGAACUGAGAGAUAUGAAGUCUCCAAUAAGUUCUAUAGCUGCAAGAUGGAGGAGAACAGUUCUGUCAGUGAGGAUAUACUCAAAAUGUCUGGGUAUAAUAAUCACUUGAUUCAAUUGGGAGUUAAUCUUCCAGAUGAUUACGUCAUUGACAGAAUUCUCCAAUCACUGCCACCAAGCUAUAAGAGCUUCGUGAUGAACUAUAAUAUGCAAGGGAUGAACAAGACUAUUCCCGAGCUCUUCGCAAUGCUGAAAGCUGCGGAGGUAGAAAUCAAGAAGGAGCAUCAAGUGUUGAUGGUUAACAAGACCACUAGUUUCAAGAAAAAGGGCAAAGGAAAGAAGAAAGGGAACUUCAAGAAGAACGGCAAGCAAGUUGCUGCUCAAGAGAAGAAACCCAAGUCUGGACCUAAGCCUGAAACUGAGUGCUUCUACUGCAAGCAGACUGGUCACUGGAAGCGGAACUGCCCCAAGUAUUUGGCAGAUAAGAAGGAUGGCAAGGUGAACAAAGGUAUAUGUGAUAUACAUGUUAUUGAUGUGUACCUUACUAGAGCUCGCAGUAGCACCUGGGUAUUUGAUACUGGUUCUGUUGCUAAUAUUUGCAACUCGAAACAAGGACUACGAAAUAAGCGGGCACUGGCAAAGGACGAGGUGACGAUGCGUGUGGGAAAUGGUUCCAAAGUUGAUGUGAUUGCGGUCGGCACGCUACCUCUACAUCUACCUUCGGGAUUAAUAUUAGACCUAAAUAAUUGUUAUUUGGUGCCAGCGUUGAGCAUGAACAUUAUAUCUGGAUCUUGUUUAAUGCGAGAUGGUUAUUCAUUUAAAUCAGAGAAUAAUGGUUGUUCUAUUUAUAUGAGUAAUAUCUUUUAUGGUCAUGCACCCUUGAAGAGUGGUCUAUUCUUAUUGAAUCUCGAUAGUAGUAAUACACAUAUUCAUAAUGUUGAAGCCAAAAGAUGCAGAGUUGAUAAUGAAAGUGAAACUUAUUUGUGGCACUGUCGUUUAGGUCAUAUCGGUAUAAAGCGCAUGAAGAAACUCCAUACUGAUGGGCUUUUGGAACCACUUGAUUAUGAAUCACUUGGUACUUGCGAACCGUGCCUCAUGGGCAAGAUGACUAAAACACCGUUCUCCGGUACUAUGGAGAGAGCAACAGAUUUGUUGGAAAUCAUACAUACCGAUGUAUGUGGCCCGAUGAAUAUUGAGGCUCGUGGCGGAUAUCGUUAUUUUCUCACCUUCACAGAUGAUUUAAGCAGAUAUGGGUAUAUCUACUUAAUGAAACAUAAGUCUGAAACAUUUGAAAAGUUCAAAGAAUUUCAGAGUGAAGUUGAAAAUCAUCGUAACAAGAAAAUAAAGUUUCUACGAUCUGAUCGUGGAGGAGAAUAUUUGAGUUACGAGUUUGGUGUACAUUUGAAAAACUGUGGAAUAGUUACGCAACUCACGCCACCCGGAACACCACAGCGUAAUGGUGUGUCCGAACGUCGUAAUCGUACUUUACUAGAUAUGGUGCGAUCUAUGAUGUCUCUUACUGAUUUACCGCUAUCAUUUUGGGGAUAUGCUUUAGAGACGGCCGCAUUCACGUUAAAUAGGGCACCAUCAAAAUCCGUUGAGACGACGCCUUAUGAACUGUGGUUUGGCAAGAAACCAAAGUUGUCGUUUCUUAAAGUUUGGGGCUGCGAUGCUUAUGUGAAAAAGCUUCAACCUGAUAAGCUCAAACCCAAAUCGGAGAAAUGUGUCUUCAUAGGAUACCCAAAGGAGACUAUUGGGUACACCUUCUAUCACAAAUCCGAAGGCAAGGCAUUCGUUGCUAAGAAUGGAUCUUUUCUAGAGAAGGAGUUUCUCUCGAAAGAAGUGAGCGGGAGGAAAGUAGAACUUGACGAGGUAACUGUACCUGCUCCCUUACUGGAAAGUAGUUCAUCACAGAAAACUGUUUCAGUGACACCUACACCAGUUAGUGAGGAAGCCAAUGAUAAUGAUCAUGAAACUUCAGAUCAAGAUACUGCUGAACCUCAUAGAUCAACCAGAGUAAGAUCCGCACCAGAGUGGUACGGUAAUCCUAUUCUGGAAGUCAUGAUACUAGAUCAUGAUGAACCUACGAACUAUGAAGAAGCGAUGGUGAGCCCAGAUUCCGCAAAGUGGCUUGAAGCCAUGAAAUCUGAGAUGAGAUCCAUGUAUGAGAACAAAGUAUGGACUUUGGUUGACUUGCCCGAUGAUCGGCAAGCAAUUGAGAAUAAAUGGAUCUUUAAGAAGAAGACUGACGCUGAUGGUAAUGUUACUGUCUACAAAGCUCGACUUGUCGCAAAAGGUUUUCGGCAAGUUCAAGGGAUUGACUACGAUGAGACCUUCUCACCCGUAGCGAUGCUUAAGUCCGUCCGAAUCAUGUUAGCAAUUGCCGCAUUUUAUGAUUAUGAAAUUUGGCAGAUGGAUGUCAAAACUGCAUUCCUGAAUGGAUUUCUGGAAGAAGAGUUGUAUAUGAUGCAACCGGAAGGUUUUGUCGAUCCAAAAGGAGCUAACAAAGUGUGCAAGCUCCAGCGAUCCAUUUAUGGACUGGUGCAAGCCUCUCGGAGUUGGAAUAAACGUUUUGAUAGUGUGAUCAAAGCAUUUGGUUUUAUACAGACUUUCGGAGAAGCCUGUAUUUACAAGAAAGUGAGUGGGAGCUCUGUAGCAUUUCUGAUAUUAUAUGUGGAUGACAUAUUGCUGAUUGGAAAUGAUAUAGAAUUUCUGGAUAGCAUAAAGGGAUACUUGAAUAAAAGUUUUUCAAUGAAAGACCUCGGUGAAGCUGCUUACAUAUUAGGCAUUAAGAUCUAUAGAGAUAGAUCAAGACGCUUAAUUGGACUUUCACAAAGCACAUACCUUGACAAGAUUUUGAAGAAAUUCAAAAUGGAUCAAGCAAAGAAAGGAUUCUUGCCUGUAUUACAAGGUGUGAAGUUGAGUAAGACUCAAUGCCCGACCACUGCAGAAGAUAGAGAGAAUAUGAAAGAUGUUCCCUAUGCAUCAGCCAUAGGCUCUAUCAUGUAUGCAAUGCUGUGUACCAGACCUGAUGUGUGCCUUGCUAUAAGUUUAGCAGGGAGGUACCAAAGUAAUCCAGGAGUGGAUCACUGGACAGCGGUCAAGAACAUCCUGAAAUACCUGAAAAGGACUAAGGAUAUGUUUCUCGUAUAUGGAGGUGACAAAGAGCUCACCGUAAAAGGUUACGUUGAUGCAAGCUUUGACACUGAUCCGGAUGAUUCUAAAUCGCAAACCGGAUACGUGUUUACAUUAAACGGUGGAGCUGUCAGUUGGUGCAGUUCUAAACAAAGCGUCGUAGCGGGAUCUACAUGUGAAGCGGAGUACAUACCUGCUUCGGAAGCAGCGAACGAAGGAGUCUGGAUGAAGGAGUUCAUAUCCGAUCUAGGUGUCAUACCUAAUGCAUCGAGUCCAAUGAAAAUCUUUUGUGACAAUACUGGUGCAAUUGCCUUGGCAAAGGAAUCUAGAUUUCACAAAAGGACCAAACACAUCAAGAGACGCUUCAACUCCAUCCGGGAUCUAGUCCAAGUGGGAGACAUAGAGAUUUGCAAGAUACAUACGGAUCUGAAUGUUGCAGACCCGUUGACUAAGCCUCUUCCACGAGCAAAACAUGAUCAGCACCAAAGUUCCAUGGGUGUUAGAAUCAUUACAGUGUAAUCUAGAUUAUUGACUCUAGUGCAAGUGGGAGACUGAAGGAAAUAUGCCCUAGAGGCAAUAAUAAAGUUAUUAUUUAUUUCCUUAUAAUCAUGAUAAAUGUUUAUUACUCAUGCUAGAAUUGUAUUAACCGAAAACAUAAUACAUGUGUGAAUACAUAGACAAAGAAAGUGUCACUAGUAUGCCUCUACUUGACUAGCUCAUUAAUCAAAGAUGGUUAUGUUUCCUGACCAUAAACAAUGAGUUGUUAUUUGAGUAACGAGGUCACAUCAUUAGUUGAAUGAUCUGAUUGACAUGACCCAUUCCAUUAGCUUAGCACCUGAUCGUUUAGUAUGUUGCUAUUGCUUUCUUCAUGACUUAUACAUGUUCCUAUGACUAUGAGAUUAUGCAACUCCCGUUUGCCGGAGGAACACUUUGGGUGCUACCAAACGUCACAACGUAACUGGGUGAUUAUAAAGGAGCAUUACAGGUGUCUCCAAAGGUAGAUCUUGGGUUGGCGUAUUUCGAGAUUAGGAUUUGUCACUCCGAUUGUCGGAGAGGUAUCUCUGGGCCCUCUCGGUAAUGCACAUCACAUAAGCCUUGCAAGCACUGCAACUAAUAUGUUAGUUGUGAGAUGAUGUAUUACGGAACGAUUAAAGAGACUUGCCGGUAACGAGAUUGAACUAGGUAUUGGAUACCGACGAUCGAAUCUCGGGCAAGUAACAUACCGAUGACAAAGGGAACAACGUAUGUCGUUAUGCGGUCUGACCGAUAAAGAUCUUCGUAGAAUAUGUAGGAGCCAAUAUGGGCAUCCAGGUCCCGCUAUUGGUUAUUGACCGGAGACGUGUCUCGGUCAUGUCUACAUUUGUUCUCGAACCCGUAGGUUACAUUAUGAGUUUAUGCAUUUUGAUGUACCGAAGGUUGUUCGGAGUCCCGGAUGUGAUCACAGACAUGACGAGGAGUCUCGAAAUGGUCGAGACGUAAAGAUUGAUAUAUUGGAAGCCUAUGUUUGGACAUCGGAAGUGUUCCGGGUGAAAUCGGGAUUUUACCGGGUUACCGGGAGGGUUACCGGAACCCCCCGGGAGCUAUAUGGGCCAUAGUGGGCCUUAGUGGAAAAGAGAAGGGGCUGCCCUGGAUGGGCUGCGCGCCUCCCCCCUCCCCUAGUCCUAUUAGGACUAGGAGAGGUGGCCGGCCCCCUCCUCCUCUUUUCCCCCUCCGGGGAAUCCUAAUAGGAAUAGGAUUGGAGGGGAGUCCUACUCCCGGUAGGAGUAGGACUCCUCCUGCGCCUCCCUCCUUGGCCGGCGCCUCCUCCCCCCCUUGGCUCCUUUAUAUACUGAGGUAGAGGCACCCCAAAAGACACAAGUUGAUCCACAUGAUCUAUUCCUUAGCCGUGUGCGGUGCCCCCUGCCACCAUAUACCUCGAUAAUACUGUAGCGGAGUUUAGGCGAAGCCCUGCUGCUGUAGUUCAUCAAGAUCGUCACCACGCCAUCGUGCUGACGGAACUCUUCCCCGACACUUUGCUGGAUCGGAGUCCGGGGAUCGUCAUCGAGCUGAACGUGUGCUCGAACUCGGAGGUGCCGUAGUUUCGGUGCUUGAUCGGUUGGAUCGUGAAGACGUACGACUACUUCCUCUACGUCGUGUCAUCACUUCCGCAGUCGGUCUGCGUUGGGUACGUAGACAACACUCUCCCCUCGUUGCUAUGCAUCACAUGAUCUUGCGUGUGCGUAGGAAUUUUUUUGAAAUUACUACGAAACCCAACACCCAACCCUAGCAAGAUCCACACAACUAAGAAAUUGGAGAACACACUAUAUAAAAUUGUCAAGAAUGAUAAUAAGCAUGGAGAACUAAAAUGUACUAUCACUUCCAUGUAGCUGAGAACCUAAAAUUGGCAAGAAUACAACAUACGCAGAUUUAACAAUUUUCCAAAACAAUACAAAUUCUAGUGUACGUGCAUUGAGCAGAAUAUGGCCAACAAGCCAAGCAAGGCAACAAACAUGUACUCUGUAAAUAAUUAGCUAGAUCCAAGGCCUUCGUUGGCAACAAGGUAAAAACAAAACAAGAAAGACAAAGAAAAAUCUCUUCUUUGGAACCUAGCUAAAUCAGAGAAUUGGCUAGAUAAGAUAGAUGUGCAGGGGUAGGAAGAGGGGGUGGAGCUCACCAUGUUCAGGGGGGUAGGAGGAGGGAGGAGCCAUGAGGGCUCGUGCCUCGUCCACCUGCAGCAAUUGCUACUCAUCCAGAUCGGAAUCGACCUUGUCCACCAGAGGAGCAGGGACGCGUCCAUGCACCUGCGUGACCAAAAGCAGCAACAACGUGAGGGGAGGGGAGGGGAUUAGGGUUGGAGCAGGGAGGAGGGCGGCAUCCCGAGCAGGCCAUUGCGUGGGCGCGGAGCAGGCAUAGCACAAGCACUCGGAGGCCAAGGUCGGACGACAUCGCCAGCGAAUCUGCGAGCACCUUGGCCGCCGCCUGACCUGCUCACUCUCCCUCUUCUCUUCCCUUCCCUUCACUUCUGAUGAUGAGAGGGCGAGACGGCGGGCGGCGUGGUGCGAGGGAGACGAGGAGAGAGGUCCAUGGCGGCGCGGUCCGAGCGGCAGCGGUGGCGGCGAGGUCUGCAGGGCGUUGGUGGCGGCGAAGUGAGCGGGGCGGCGAGGUCUGGUGGAGGGAGAGGGCUGGGGCGAGCGGGGCUGGGAUGCGGGAGGACGGGGUUAAGGGCGCGAGUGUGGGGGAGAGGCGGCUAGGUCAUCUACACGGGAGCGGGCCCUUUUAUACCCCGUGCGAGUGAAAUUAUGAAAAUGCCCCCGGCGAGGCAGGCUAUUUACGCGCGGUGGCACGAAACUGGAGUAACUAUUCAUUCCAGCAGUAACUUUUUUUAUCCUACGGAUGAGGUCGUUACAGGGGUUGAUCCGACGGCCCAGAUCCGAUCAAGCAACCAGAUCCGACAGGCAAGAAUCCCAAAUUGCUGUGGUGCGGGAUGAGGAGCUUCUAUUCUUAUUUCUGGAUGGACGCAAGCGGGCCGCCGACCAUGAAGGAGCACGGGCGCUACCGGCCGCCGUAGAGUGGGAGCCAUGGGCACUGCCGGCCGCCACCGCGGGAUAGCCACGGGCGCCGCCAGCCGCCGCUGGGAUUGCGAUAGGUAGAAAAGGAGGCGGCGGCGUUGUAUGCUGCGUGAGUGAUGUCGUGCGUGAAGGAAUUCACCAGCCACCAGGGAUAAGCUGCGAGGGCCGCGCGUGUUGGGCUAAGAAUUGGGCCGAUAAAAGGCUCAGGAUAACUUUCUGUACGUAUCACCUAGGAGGAGAAACUAAUUAACGAGCGCUCCUUCGGGAGACUCGCAAUGAUCAGCGUCACUUGGCGCGCUCUCAGCCAUUCGCCACGUGUCACGUUUUGGGCGCUCCCUUUGGAUUUUUUUUAUUUUUUCGCGCGCGUUUUUGGCUUCUAAACAGUUUUUUUGACGUUUUGGUUUUCCACCGGUUUUCCCUAGCUUUUCGACCAAAAAAAUCGAAUUGUUUUUCUGUGCAAACAAACUUUUUUUCUCGCGAGAGGCACGGUUGUGCUUUCGCGAGAGGCACGUCUGUGCCUCUUGGAAACGGAAAAAACGUGUUUUCUGUUUUUUUCCUUUCGCGAGAGGCACGGUUUUGCUUCCGCGAGAGGCACGGUUGUGCUUUCGCGAGAGUCACGGUCGUGCCUCUUGGAAAUUAAAAAACAAAUUUUUUGUUUUUUUUCUUUCAUGAGAGGCACGGUUUUGCUUCUGCGAGAGCCACGGUUGUGAUUUCGUUAGAGGCACGGGCGUGCCUCUUUCGGAAAGGGCAAAAACCCGUGCUCCCGGUUCGUUUUUUUCGUUCGGUUUUUUUCGUGAAAAAAAAGUUCGUCAAAACCUAUCAACAUGGGAUCUAGUUUUGAAGAUCUCGACACGAGGAAUCCAAGGGCGAAAGCGGUUCGAGAUUUGGAUGCACGGUUUAAGAGAUAAAACGUUUUGAAUAAACGAAUCUAUGAAAAAAGGGAAAACUCCCAGGUUACGACAAGUGGCGCACAUGCAGAGCCACUUGUCACAACCUGAGGAAGUUGAAAUGAUCUUGGCAAGGAGUACUCUUUAAUUAGUGAUUUCGGGAAAAAGGUGUUUUUUUAUCGUGGAUGGGCUAUUGAGUUGGUUAGUUCGGGGAAUUCGGUCACCUGAGUCCAACGACCGAACCCACCCAAGUAAUUUCGGUUUCUGGUAAUUGGUAACCAAACAAAUAACUGAAGUUUCGGUCCUCGGUUAUUUCGACUUCGGUCCUGGUUUUUUCGGCUCCGGUUUUCCGUUCUCAGUUUUUUCGCCCACCUAGGCGUAGCCGGAGCCAUUUGCAGGGGAAAACAUCCAGAUGAUUGGUGGUUUACCUACAAGCGUUUCAAGGGUAAAAAUCUGCCACUGGAACGAAUGGAAGAUAUAGUGCCUGUUCUGGUUUAGGUAAGUGAAAACUCUAAAGUAGUGUGUGAUAGCAGAUUGUACAUGCCUGAGUGCUCAAGAAAUACCCCUGGCAAAAGCAAAUGUAUACUCCCUCCAUGCCAUAUUAGUUAUCGCUCAAACAUAUGUAUCUACUUCUAGAUACAUCCGUCUGAGCGACAAUUAAUAUGAGAUGGAGGGAGUAUUUCUGAACGGAAAAUUACUUGGUAGUAGUUCUCGUUAUGAGGCUUGAAUAAAUUCAAGGCCUUGCACGGAUGCCUUCUUCAUGAUGGUGAAGGAAAUCAUUCCAGAGAUUGCUUAACAUCAAAGUUUAGGAAACCAUUCAGAUUUAUGUCUCUGAACAGUUCUUUGUAAGCAUUUUGCCAUUACCUGCUCAAAUCCCCAGGUUGGGCUCGAGACCAACCAGCCCCUGGGUAUCCUCAGUGUCCAAUGGACAUGCAUCCUCAGUGUCCAAUUGGGGAUUUCCUUUUUAGAGCUUCAGGAGUUGCAUUUGGUAUCAGCUUUUUUUUUGUUGAUAUAUUCUUCUUAGGACAAUUCAAGCCAUUAGAUGUAAAACACUGAGAGACCACAUAACUGAAUAAUCUGUGCUAGGUAUAGCUGUAACUUUAGCUGCACCAGUAUUGCUAGGAUAUGACUCUCUAAGUCUUGCAUCUGAGUCCAGCGGAUAGACUUUGAUGGAAGAUUUGCUCGCACAAGUUGUAGUAUUAGGCGGCACAUUUUAUAUGGCUGAGUGUAAAAUGGAGUAGAUAGCACAAGCCUUGGGAUUUGUGUGACAUCUGCACAGCAAUCAAAGAGGAAUCAAGUGCAUGUAAUUACUAUUUACUCCCUUUUUAAACUAAUAUAAGAUCUUUUAGAUCACUAAAAUAGUGAUCUUAAAAAGAUCUUAUAGUAUUAUCAGUUUACACUUGAUAGGCCUAGCCUCUGCUUUAGCUUUGCAGUUGAUUUCACUCUGGUAGUGUGCGUUUUCCUCGAUAUCUCUUUUAUGCCUACUCAUGUGAAGGACCGCUGCCCUGGUUUCAGGCAACUUGUGCGUGGCUCGUAGGAGCUGUGGAGACAUGGUUGGACUUCAUUACAUGUUGUUGCGACAAUCAAGAGUUGGAAGAGUCCAGAUGGCGGCAGUUUGAUGCUUACCUGUCAGUCUUCUGAUGCGUAAACACAGAGCAGAACACCUUGAUGCUCCAACGGAAUGCAAGAGAAGAACAGACUUGUUGUGGAUGCUAAAUUCUGUGCUUGUUUGUUUUGCUGUCUGUCUCAUUCUGUCAUUCGCCUUGGAGCUUUAGGCCAUAAGCACUCUGGGCGGUUGGCCUUUUCGAAAUUUUAUUAUAUAAUUGGGGCCGUCCGAUCUCUCUUUCCCCUAUCAACCGUCCGAGAAUCGCUGGCCGCUGCCUCGGUAGACUUAGGGCAUCUCCAGCCGCGCCCCCAAGAAGGCCUCCCCAGGCGAUUUUCUCGCGUCGGCGCCGGAAAAACGGCCCAGUCGCGCCCCCAGGACGCCGAAAAUCGCCGGCUUGGGCCGAAAACAGCGCUGGCGGACCCAGCCCGAACCCGGCGCGCUGGGGGGCGCCCGGGGGCGCCGGGGCGAGUUGUUUUGGCGCGAAGAAGCCGCGGGCCAGCCGCGUCAGCGACCCGGCGCCUCGUCUUCCCCCAACGGCCUCGGUUUCCGCGGGAAUCAAUGGCAAGGCUGCCGCCGGUCAGCCUUGCCAUUGAUUCCUUCACGGGCGGCGCGUCACGCGGCGGCGCCGACGCCUCCCCUCCCUCGCACGCGUACACACGGCGCGGCCCCGGCUAUAAAAGCCGGCGGCCUCCACUCCGCUUCCUGUGCACACCAGCCCCGCCCCCGCCCCUCGCCGCCGUCCAGCCCUCCCUCUCCCUGCCUCUCCCGUGCACCGUCGCCGACGCCAUGGCCGAACGCUUCCCAGGGGACGAGGCGGCGGCCAACGGCUUCGGCCGCCGUUCGCUUCGCCUCCAGGAGUCCUGGCUUCUGUUCCAGGCGAACAUCCCGGCGCCGCCGGACAUGCGCGCCGGGCCGUCGGGAUGGAGGCUCAGCACCGGGGGGGUGCCCAUUCCCCCUUUGCCCGACGUCGCGGCGAAGCCGGAGUACUUCGCCGACGAGGUUGACAUCGUCUGCGCGUCCCUCACCGACGCCGAACGCUCCCUCCCCCAGUACGCCGCCGACAACCACGCCGCCUGGGCGCCGUACUUCGAGCGCCGACAGCAGCAGCGUCUCGCGUCCACCAACGGCGCGCCUGUGGUCGCCGGGCGGCAGAACAGCGAGGGGCGCCACCUCUGGUGGGGCGUCCCCGGCCGCACACUCGAGGGCGUGCUCACGCACCUCGAGGGCGGCAACGUCCCGCCGUUGGCAUACCCCCCGGCGACGCACCGGCGCGCCGGGUCAUGGGCGCCUAGGCGGUUCGGGUCAGCCUCUUCCUCUUCCUCCUCCCGAUCCUCCUCACACUCCUCCGGAACUCCGGCCCUACUCGCCGUCAAGGCCGAGCCUGCGUCGGAGUCGCCGCUCGGUCGGCGCAAUCGCAGCGCCGGCAUCGCCAUCCACGAGGGCGGCCGGCGCGCUUCGUCCUCGGUUCCUCCGCGCUUCGUCAAGCCGAAGACGGAGCCGGGAAUGGCGCCGGUGAAGACGGAGCCGGGGCUGGUGCCGGUGAAGACGGAGCCAGGCCUGGCGCUGGCGACGGCGGAGCUCGUCGACGACAACGCGGCCCUGGAAUGGGCGCGCCAGGACUCCAUUGCGAUGGAGAAGGCGCGCCGAGAGAAGGCGAAGGAGCGCCAGCGCGCCGAACUGCGUCGCUUCGCGGAGCGACGACGCGGCCGCGACGAAGGCGGAGUCGUCGUCCUGUGCGACAGCGACGACGACGACGCGCCACCGCCAGUCCACCAUGGCGACGUCGGGUCCAGCCGGGGCGUCCGCGUCAAGGAGGAGAAGGCCGACGACGACGAUGGCAGCGACGGCGCCGACGACUUCAGCGCAUUUCUUUUUUAGAUUAGCUUAGCUUUUAAUAAUGUAAUGAAAAUGGGCGAAUUUGGCCGAAAUUCGCCAUGUUCGGACGAAAUUUAACUGUUCUUCGUCAUAUCUUCGCCGAACGGGCCCUCCCUAUUUUUUUUGCACUCGCCUGUAGGCGGCCCUGGGGGUCGACGGCUGGGCGACGACUCGCCCCCAGGGCCUUUUUUUUCGCCGGCUCACCCCCAGGCGGCGCUUUUAGACGCCCCCUGGGGGGCCAACGGCUGGAGAUGCCCUUACACCUUAAACGCCAGCGCCGUUGACUUGGCUCGAGGUGAAGCACAACGGCCACCCUUGCCGCUGUCUGACAUGCCAACAACGUUGCACAUCUCCGAGUCUGGCUGCUGCCACUUUGAACAUCUACAACUGGAUCCCGCAAACCAUCUCUCAUGACGCGAACCCUCAUAUCUAUAUCAAAUAUGGGGGGAUAUGAGGGCUCGCGGACAAGCCGGGGCGCGCCCGGUCAAUCCGCAACAUAAGACGUGGCCCCAUCUUGAACCAUCUUUUCUCUUUCUUUAAUCAUUCUUUUCUUUCUCCCUUUAUCUACCCCAAUCAUGUGACCGGACAUAUGAGGAAGAAAAUGAGGAUUGUACGUGUGUGGAUGAAUAAAUAGGGGAAAACAUUCAUAAUCAUUCGACUGAUCUUUCUCUCUCGUAAGCCUCCUCCUCCACGCGCCACGUACCCACGUCAAUGACCGAAUAGGAGAGAGAGGGAAAAAAGUAACCCAACUGGACCCCUCAUAUCUUUCCUAUAUGUCUGGUCUGUCCGCGAACCCGUGUAUCUAUCUCAAAUAUGGGGGGAUAUGAGGGCUCGCGGACAAGCCGGGACGCGCCCGAUCAAUCCGUCACAUAAGACGCGGCCUCACCCUCGACCACCUUUUCUCUUCCUUUAAUCAUUCUUUUCUUUCUCCAUCUUUAUCUACCUCAAUCAUGGGCAAGUGAUCGGACAGAUGAGGAAGAAAAUGAGGACUGCGCGGAUGAAUAAAUAGGGGGAGAACGUUCAUCAUCCGACUGAUCUUUCUCUCUCAUAAGCCUCCUUCUCCACGCGCCACGUACCCACGUCAGGCUGCCCACCGCUUCGCCCCAGCCUUAUCCUAUCUCUAACGAAGCUCCUCCACUCAUUUCUUCAUUUUUUUUCUCCCUCUUACAACUCAUCGCCAGAGGAGAUUAGCCAUGGUGAGCACCACCACCAGCAGCUAGAAAAUCAGAAGAGUUUGACGCCGGCCGUAGGCACUAGCGUCGGAGCUCCUCCCUUGCAUUGCUGCAGGCGGCAUAGCUGCAAAGCAGCGUCCAUGGAGCGAAGCCAUGGCGAGCACCACCACAGCAGCGGGGGAACUGGGAGGUGCUGCUGGCAAUCGAAACGGCGCUCGUCGACGAACGCCGGUGCUGCUUUCAUCCAUGGCCGCCGAGAUGGGACACAGCAACUUGUCCACGGCCGUUGCGCUACGUUGCGCUAGGUUGCAAUCUUGUCUGCAUUGCGAUGCAAUCUGGUGUGCCGAUGGAGCGCUCGGCGUCGGCGGCGGAGCUGCAAUGGAGCGCUCGGAGCCGGCGGCGGAGCUGCAAUGGAAGUGCAAGUCGCCGGCGGCGGAGCUGCAAUGGAGCGCUCGGAGCCGGUGGCGGAGCUGCAAGUCGCCGGCUAUGGAGUUGCAAUGGAGCGCUCGUCGGCGGCUCCCCCGUACUGCAUCGCAGCGCUUGCCGACGGCUCAAUGUAGCAUCAUCGGUGGCUCAAUGCAGCGUCGUCCGUGGCUGAUGCAGCUUUGCCGGCAACUCUUGGGGGAGCCCGUGUCGCAAGUCGCAACUGCACGCUUGGAGUCUUCGUUGUUGCCACGACCGGCGACAGUUACGCGUUUGCAAGGCGAGGAACGGCUGGGGCAAGCUUGGUGCUGCAAGCGAGCGGCUGCGAGCUAGUUCAGGGCUGCGACCCAGUGUGUGGGGAUUUUUGGCAAGGCUGCGACACAAGGAAGACGAGGCCACGCUCGGCGUCGUAUUGCGUGAGAGCGACACGGUCAAGUACAAGUUGACUAAUCGUACGUCUGUGAGAGCUUUGAUCGGACGGCUGGGACCCGAUUGAUUUCUCAUGAAAUCAGUCGAAUGAUUUUUAGCAGCCGUCAUAAAUAGGGGUUUAAAAUAAACACGCCCGGUCACUGACCGGACACGGCCGCAGACAUUUGAGGGAUCGAAUUAGAGGUACGUGGCUGAAGAUGCUCUUGCACCUCCAUGCAUGCAGCCCAAAAUGGUACACGGCCGCAUGAAGCACAAUUGUGCUUAAGUGUUUUUUUCUUCAAAAGUGAAAUACGGUAGUGCUUCGGUUUGGAGCGCAAUUGUGUUUUUGUGCUUUUCACAAAAGUGAAGCACAAAUAUGCUUCCGUGUGAAAGCAUAACUGCUUUUCCCGGUAAGUGAAUAACAAAUGUGCUUCCCCGUGAAACAUACUUGUGCUUUUAUGGUUAUUUCCUUUUUCUUUUUACGGUUACCGUUUUUUCAGUAUUUCGUCUUUUGUCUCUAUUUUUUGUUUGGUUUUUGGGAUUGGGCCAAAAAAAUGUUCGUCGAAACCUGUCAAAGUUCGAGGAUCUCAACGUGAGAAAUGCAACGGUAAAACGAUUCAUGAUUUGAACGGAUGGUUCAAGAGAUAAAUUAUUUUGAUGAAACAACUCUACAAAGAAAAGCACAAACAAAUCCACAUGCCUCCCGUGUAUGUGAAGAAAUCUCACCAAAAAAUUCAUAGGUUGUGACAAGAAUCGCACAUAGAUUACGCCACUUGUCACCACAAGAGAAGAUGGGACUGUCCCUUGCAAAAAGUACCCCUUAAGGUUGUAGAGCACAGGGACGAUGCCAUCAUAAGGGCAUGUAUGAUCGACCGCCUCGAGUAGUCGCGUAAUGUGAUCCCCAAGUGGCCAAGUCCAACCAUGAUCCGUUUUGGAGUAGACAUGUCUACCUGGAUAUGGAACAAGAAAACUGGGAACCUCCUAUAUGACGCAUUUUGCCUCGUAUAGGAGCUCGACGCAGACGGGCGACGCUCGACUUGGCCAGCCCACCGACACGAAAGCCACUUGUGUUUCCUAGUGCGCAACCUAAGAAAUCCUAGAAAACAAUAGAGCACGUGAGGAUUGGAUCCCACGAUCUCGCUCACACCAUACUCGCGACUGCGACCAGUUAGCCACUCCACCACACAGUCGCUGCUGAACAUGAAGCGCGAAACUCUAUAGCACACACAUCAGGGUUGAUAUAUGGAAAACAUUUUAGAAACAUUUCUUGAAAAUUGUGAACAAUUUUUAAAUGCCGCAAAUAUUUUUUGAUAUUCCAAAUUUGUUUUCUGAAAAAAUGUGAACAACUUUUGUAAUAUAGAAUUAGAAAACACGGACAUUUUUUGCACAACCCAAACAGUUUAAUGAAGUUGUGAACAAAUUUUGAAAAAAAGAACAUUUUUUGAAUUUCCUGAUUUUUUUUGAAAACACAAACAUAGAAAAAUUCGAAAAUGAGAACAUUUUUGAAAUACCUGAUUUUUUAAAUUGCGAUUUUAGUAAAAGAGAACAUUUUUUGAAACACGGACAUUUUUCGAAAUUGUGAACAAAAUAUGAAAAUAAAACCAUUUUUUGAAAUUCUUGAAAAUUUGUUGAAAUUGGCAACAAAUUUUAAAAAUGAGAAAAUAUUUUGAAAUUCCAAAUAAUUAUUACAAAUUUUCAAACAAAAUAAACAUUUAAAAGGAAAUAGAAAAUAGGAAAUAAAAAAGAAAUAAAAAAAGAAAAUGAGAGAGAAGCAGAACAAGAAAAAAAGAAAAAGAAAAUGAGAGAGAAGGUUCUAGAAGGUUCCCAAAACCGAUAAAAACCGCUAGGAACCCUCUAGAAGAUUCCCAAAACCAUAACGUUGUACAUAUUACAGAUUGGCUGGCCCAAUCGCUCGCUCGGACGCUUCCUAUGUGCGAUUGGUCGGUAGUUUGAUGCAAAAUGCAUUAAACAUGGAUUUCCGGAAAACUUAUCGUGGUCUAGACUUAAGUAACAAAAAAGGGUAGAAGUAGCCCAGUUGUAGCCCAAAUUUGAUAUCUAUAAUUGUGUGAGUGCCGACCGUGUAGGUAAUCCCUAUUUUGCGCUUCAGGCGCCAGUUAUAGGCCAUUUUGCUUUUUUUUGAGGUAAACUGCUAAGUUUUAUUCAUCAAUCCAUAUGUCUACAAGUACUCCCUCCGUUCCUUUUGUGUAAGGUGUAUUAUUUCCGGCACGGUGACCAAGACACAGAAAUAUAUGCAUGUUAGGACGAAAUUACCCUUGACAAAUUUAUUUGUUAGUGCUAAGUAAACCAGUUAGUCAAGGAAAUUAAAGUAUGAGAUACAUGCAAUUGACAGAGAGAUACUUUCCUUCUUUUGUUACAAGGAGAGAUACAGACAAUCAGGAGAGAGAUACUUUCCCUUUUUCUGGAGGGCUAACAAGAGAAUUAUGUGGAAUUAGAAAAAAUGCACCUUACAUUCUACAAUUUUAUCAAAAAACAAAUACACCUUAUAUAAAGGAACAGAGGGAGUAUUACAUAAGGAUCAUGUGGUUGCCCCAACCAAAUGUGGCGGCCUUGAUCCAACUUAAGAGCAUGCGUAGCUAGUUUAUGUGGCUCAACAUUUGAGCUCCUAGAUUAAAAUUUAAAAACACAAGAAAUGAAGAGAUAUUUCCACUCCAAAAUCUCCUUGACUACUCCACCAUAGUUUCCACCCUACACUUCCUUGAUAUGCUUAACAACUGUUUCGCAAUCCGACACGAUCACUAAGUUUGUAGCCCAAGAUCUUCUACUAGUUAUAGUCCCUCCCGGCAUGCUAUAGCUCAAGACUGGCCGGGUCCGUCAGGCCCCGUAUGACAAAAACAAAAGAACCCAAAUAUGCACCUGAGCCAUCUCUACACACCGCGGUCGCAGUCCCGACACCACGAGAGACAGCGGCAUCAACAUUGAUCUUCGAAUGACCCUGAACAGCCGGAAUCCAUCUCCUCGGUGCUGCUACUGCUGUAUUACAUACCCAGUUCCCACUAGAGGGGUGAAUCUCUCCCAGCUCCAUAAUGAAGUGGGUAAUGAACAUAUAAGUGGACAGAGGGCUCUGAUCAAUUCCCUCAUGAAUCAGUCUGUGCCGCGCCCACCAUAUAGGCCAGGUAGUGACUGUUAACUUAGUAAAUAUCUCAUGCGAGAGCUGCUCAAGCAGAGUAAACAACUAGUCCUCGCGUUCUGUUCAUUAUUUUCCAUCAACUCUUCGAUCAGCUCCUUGUCAACUAAUGACCACACACAACGAGCAGCCGUACAAUCCAGUAGGUUGUGCCUCCAAGAGUCCAGCAUGCCACAAAUAGCGCAAGUACAUGUUGCCGACAUAUUCUGGUGCAUUCUCAUGUCUUCCGUCGGUAUGGAAUGAUGCACUAGUCUCCAUAAAAAUACUCAGAGUUUCGUCCCCAUAAAAAUACUCAGAGUUUCGUUGGAACGUAAGUUUUCCAUAGUUUGACCCAACUCUUAUCCUCUUCCUUCCUACUCUAGGGCCCCGGGCGCUGUUCUAACAAGUCUUCACGCCGGCACUUUGUUUCAACUAUCAUACGAUAAGCAGACCUAAUAGAAAACUUCCCAGAAUUUUCAUGCAUCCAUCACCAGUAAUCAUCCACAACUCAAGCAAAUAGGGAUUUGUAGUAUCUCAGCCGCAUCACAAGGUAGAAAAACAUGGUUUACCAGCUCCAUAUUUCAUCGGGCGUUCACUGUAUCAAUUAACUUAGAGACAAGUUGCGGUGGAUCCGGCACUCUAGACACCAUCGGCCUCAUGAACUCCGAUCUUGGGAUCCAGUCAGUGUUCCUGAUUUUCAUGGAGGAACCAUCACCCAGUGGCGGAGCUUGGGACACAUCUUAGGNNNNNNNNNNNNNNNNNNNNNNNNNNNNNNNNNNNNNNNNNNNNNNNNNNNNNNNNNNNNNNNNNNNNNNNNNNNNNNNNNNNNNNNNNNNNNNNNNNNNNNNNNNNNNNNNNNNNNNNNNNNNNNNNNNNNNNNNNNNNNNNNNNNNNNNNNNNNNNNNNNNNNNNNNNNNNNNNNNNNNNNNNNNNNNNNNNNNNNNNNNNCAGGUUUAGGCUAGAUUUCUAUGAAACUGUGGGCAGUAUAAUAUGAACAAAUCUCCUGGGCAGGGGGGCGAUGACCCAGGUUGAUCUUCACUAAGCUCCGCCACUGCCAUCACCUAUGCAUCUAACCAAGCCCUAUUUCAUGAUAUCCCUACCCUCCAAUAUUGAUCUCCAAACCUGGGAAGGGUGAUUUGAUUUCCCAAGUUGGCCUCAAGGAUGGAGCAUGAGGGAAAAAUACACAAUCUUCAGUAUGCGAGCACCGAGAAUGUUGAGGGAAACUAGAAUCCUCCAAGAUUGUUGACCAAGUUGAACAAUUCAAAAUCCCUGAAACCAAGGCCACCCAUGUACCUUGGCAUAGUCAUCUUGUCCCAUGAAACCCAAUAGGGCUUUCUCUUCCCCUGUUUGCUUCCCCACCAAAAGGCCCUAAUAGCUGAAGUUAUUUUUUCACCAACCCACGUGGGAGCUUGAAACACGACAUCGAGAAGACAAGAAUAGCUUGUGCCACUGAUUUGAUUAAAACAUCUUUACCUGCUGCUGAAAGUGUUUUCUCCAUCCACCCUAUAAUCUUGUUCCACAGCCGGUCAACAGAUACUUGAAGGCACCAUUUUUGGAUGUUCCUACAUCCCCAAAUAUUUCUCACUUAGUUGCUCAUUCUGAAAUUGUAAAAUAAUCUUCACCUAUGCUCUUAGCACUUUUGGACACCCUUUACUAAAGAAAAUUGAUGAUUUGUCUUCAUUUACUCUCUGUCCAGAUGCUCUAGCAUAGGCAAAAUGGACUCCGCCGACGAGUUCUUUUUCCGUAAAUUCCUUUGCGACUCCGACGAUUCCUAGUCCGAUGAUGAUGAGGAGAUCUUGGUGUUGGGGAACGUUGCAUGAAAAACAAAAAAUUUCUAUGCACACGCAAGAUCUAUCCAUGGAGAUGUAUAGCUACGAGAGGGGAGAGUAUCUUCAUACCCUUGAAGAUCGCUAAGCGGAAGCAUUUAUCAACGCGGUUGAUGUAGUCGUACACCUUCACAAUUCAUCCUGAUCAAGUACUGAAUGUACGGCACCUCCGUAUUCAGCACAUGUUCAGCUCGAUAAUGUCCUCGCCUUCUUGAUCCAGCAAGAGAGGCGAAGUAGUAGAUGAGUUCCGAUAGCAUGACGGCGUGGUGAUGGUGUUGGUGAAGAACAAUCCCGCAGGGCUUUGCCAACCACAACGGAAACUAGACAGAGGAUAAACUAGAGUGACGGGGUUGCCAGCACACGGCUUAGUGAAUGUUGAGCCCUUGGUUAAAACUUGGAGUAAAAGCCUUCUCGAAGUCGGUUUUGCCCGAUAGGCAAGAGUCCUUCUCGGACUCGAGGACCAGACGCCACAGUCCUUGGCCUCUGGCCCAGAUGCCAUGGGCCUUGGCAUCUUGCCCAGGGCCAGACGCCAGGGUCUCCGGGAUUUGGUCUCUGACCUCCGCAAAACUCCCUUUUGCACCAACCUAAAGCCCCCUGGGCCUUACCCGUUGGCCUAACCAUAUCAUCAUAUAUAUCAAUCUUUACCUCCGGACCAUUCCGGAGCUCCUCUUCAUUUCUGUGAUCUCAUCUGGGACUCCGAACAACAUCCUGUCACCAACAUACAUAACUCAUAUAAUAUUAUAUCGUCAACGAACGUUAAGUGUGCAGACCCUACGGGUUCGAGAAUGAUGUAGACAUGACCGAGGCGCUUCUCUAGUCAAUAACCAAUAGUGGGACCUGGUGGAUGCCCAUAUUGGUUACUACGGGUUCGGUACUAGAUCGGUUGGAUCGUGAAGACGUUCGACUACAUCAACCGCGUUAACCUAACGCUUCCGCUUUCGGUCUACGAGGGUACGUGGACACACUCUCCCCUCUCGUUGCUAUGCAUCUCCUAGAUAGAUCUUACGUGAGCGUAGAUUUUUUUUUGAAAUUGCAUGCUAUGUUCUCCAACAAUUUGUGCGCUUUACCAAGACCAAUGUCAUGAAACACACCAUGGUAUGUUUUGUAUCUUUUCUCUUUUUUCCUUCAUAGCACUAUAUGGCAAGAUGUCUAACAUUGUGUGCUCUAUUUUGUUUCUAAUCACGGGAUCAUAGAAAUUUUCUAUGCGACGUGGUUUAUUUGCAAGCUUUAGAUGUCUUGAGCAAGAAUCUAUUAGAUUAAGACGGUUGCAAAACGGAAUUAAAAAAUAUAUGUGUGAAGCAAUUAUUGUUGAACUAAUAAAAAUACGUAUGCCCAUGUUCCAACACAUGGGUAAUUAACUAGUCUACUAUAGACAAACAUACAUUUAGCAAUCAACACCUUUCUUCUACCAGAUAUGUGUCAACACAUUCCAUUGCCUCCGGGAUUACCUCCAUGCCACCGCCUUGGUUACCUUCCCCUCUCCAUUCCAACAGCCUUGUCGGUGAUUAGAUAAGUGGGGCAAUGUCCCUUCGUAAUUCUUAGUUAUAGUGAUUCCUUAUAUUUUUACCUUAGGUUUUAGUUUCACAACAGCAUCGAUGAGGUGGCGAUAACAUGGAUGGUUGGAAGAAGGUCUCUUUGGCAUGUCUCUACCUUGAAGACAUAUGAUCUGAUGCUUACGAAGGGCCAGUGAGGAUAGGUGAUGCGAGAUAUCUUGGCUCCCUUUGGGUCUGGCACUUGAUGUGUGGAUAAAAGAGAGUGGUUGGCUAGCUUUUGGUGCAGUGACUUUGACUUCUUCUUUCAGUUCUAUCUAUGGCAAUCUGAUUUCUUCCACCCUGUAGAUUGGUGGAGUAGGAUUGAAUGUCUGCGCUGUUCAAUGGGUGACUAUUGCAUUCAACGGUUCAAGAAUGCACUAGAUGAUGCUCCUUCAACGGUUACUAUAUUUCUUUGCUAUCAAUGGGUGACACUUGCAUUCUUGAAAGGCUUAUGUGACGAGGGUGUCUGCAACUCUUCCUUUUUCGUACAAUCUUCUCGGUGCAUUCUUCAAGCUCAAGUAUAUGACAAAUUGUCGAAGGAAGAUGUCAAGAAAGGCAUUGAAUAUGAUAUUAUUUUUAGAGGUCGUUUUAUGCCACGUUACCCCUUUUGUACUAACUAUUGUAUUCACUAAUAAAUAUUAUAUGUAAGAUGCCCUUGGGUAUCAUCUCUAAAAAAAUAUAGACAUUUCUAUCAAGAUAUUUGUCGGAUACUUCUCUAUAGUUCAAACACUUUGUCAUUAUGUUGCAGGACACAAAAUGCAGUAGGACGUAUACAUGUCUUAAGCCUUAUAUUUACUAUUUAUUAACUAGGAUAUGUUCUUUCUGAUUGUUCAUCCCCACCUCUCACGUAUAUUUUACUGCUAAGGAUAUUCUGAAAAAUGACAAACUAACUUGAAUUCAAGAUAACUAAUCUACAAUAAAAAAACUUAACCACGCAUGUCAAAUCUCUAAAAAAUUAUAAUAAAUAUAUAGAGGCCUGUAAUUUCAUAUUUAUCUUUAGUUUUCUGCAUGCCUAGAAAGAGCCAAUCUAAAAUAUUUUCCUAAAUGCAAAUUUAUCAAAAUGAGAACAAUUCAUGUUAUUUCUAUUGCAAAAUGCAAUUCAGAAUGAGACUAAACGGUUAGAAAUAUUAAACUUAUGUGGUUAAUUUUGUUAGGUGUAAUAAAAAACUGUAUUUACAAAAUAAUCAUAAAACUUCUUCCUGGAAAUACCAAGGGUUCAUCAGUCCAAUCAGACCAGUUUCUGUAUUCAAUGUAAGACCAAUCAUGAGAUGCAAGUCUGUCUCUUCAAGCUCUUAGCUGAUGCAUAAGAAAUCGGGGCAGCAAACAAGUUCUGUCGAAAGGUUUGAUGAUUGGGCAGGAACAAAUUCGUUUGAAUCAACGAGCUACUGGUUAUGGGCAGCAAGUUAGCAUUAUGCUUGCUCAAUAUAAUGCAUGCAUUUUCAUUUUUUGUGUAGGUUGCUAUUUGUGAUUCACCUCAAUGUACUUGGUUUUUUGAUAGUUCAUUUCUCAUACGACAUGAACUUCUGGUUGUUCUUACUGAAAGUGUAAUUCAAUAUGACCUAAGUUAUACAAUAUGAUUUUUUUUUCUUCAAUUGAAAAUAAUAAUUUCAGGAUUUUACAUUCUUGCAAGAGUAUAAGAGGUUGCAGACAAACCAAUUUAUAUGUGGACACUUCAUAUUGUCAGUGGGCAUACUCUUGGUCAUUUAUGUGCUGCAAUGGUGCCUCUUUUUUUUAUUCUCAUGUUAGCGAAAAGGACAAGGCCAAUUUAACCAGAAAGGUAUGAACUGAUAAUUCCAUAGACUCAUGUGUAAAGUGGAAUUUGAUCAAAAGUGCAUGAUUUUUCUUACCAAACUUAAUGUGGUGAGUACCAGUCCAACAAAUACUUUCCUCGUUCCUUUCCAAAUAUUUGUGUUUCUUCAUCCAGUCUAGUUCUGCUAACAAUUUCACCACAUUAAGGUUGGAUUUGCUCAUGUGACAUGGUUGUUUGGUUGGUUGUGUGGUGAAGGGCAUGUGCUUGGAGAUGGGGAAGUGUCUCAUCCAUGAUCCACACAAUAUAUUUGAUGCAUUUAUUGGAUACAUUUAUUUAACAAUCAUUGAAAAAAUUGCGAACGCCACUGCGUUGCAUCAUUAUGCCAUACAUUAUUUUAUUGCAUUCAUCUGCUUAUGCAUUUUGGCCACCACUAGAGUUUCCAUUGUUUUAUAAGUAUAUUGUAAUUUUUAUGCUGACCAAUAUGUCCAAAUGCUCUUAUAUAUCAACUACUCAACCAUAUGCAGUGCGUGUUUAUGUCUUGUAGGGGUAAAAUCAACAACAAAAACAACAACAACAACAACGACGCCGACAACAAAGCCUUUAGUCCCAAACAAGUUGGGGUAGGCUAUGCUGAAACCCAUAACAUCUCACAACAAACUCAUGGCUCUGGCACAUGGAUAGCUAGCUUUUACGCACCUCUGUUCAUGGUUAGUUCUUUGGUGAUACUCUAGUCAUUCAGAUCUCACUUUACAGACUCCUCCUAUGUCAAGUUUGGUCUACACCGACCUCUCUUGACAUUAUACUCCUUAAUGACCCUCUCUUUGGAUGCUUGAGCUACCCCCGGGCUUCCACCACUUCGUUCUAGUGACUUUGGCACGCUUAUCCUGUUGGGACACGAAUCCGAAAGAGAAAGUCAUUCACCACAAGCUUAUGCUGAGGGGCAACACACUCUCCAGGUAUCACCUUACAAUCAAGAUAAGCACGCCAGUCUUCUCUUCUCAAGAGGAUGAAAUCAAUCUCACUAGAGUGUUGACCACUACUAAGAGUCACUAGAUGUCAUUCUUGUUAAAGUGGAUGUUCGCUAUGAUCGUCGUAGGCUAGAGAAAAUCUUAAGACAUCUUCUCCUUCUUGAUUCCUGAUGCGAUAGCCAAAGCCCCGAUGCAUCGCUUCAAAACCUAUGUUAGAUGUAUCCACGUGGCCAUUGAGGUAUCCUCCUAUGAAGAGCUUCUUGCCAAUAGGUACUCCUAACCAUGUUCUCCAUGCCUGCCUAGAACUCCUUGGUGUUCUCAUUGUGGCCUACUUGCGGGGCAUACACGUUGAUAACAUUUAGAACUAAGUCCCCAGCUUGACCAGGAUAAUCUGGUCCCCACGCCUCCUGACGUCUACCACUCCACACUUGAGGCUCUUGUUGAUCAAGAUGUCUAUUCCAUUCCUGUUUGCAGUUGUCCCCGUGUACCAUAGCUUGAAGCCGGUAUCUCCACCUCCUUUGCUUUCUAUCCUCUCCAUUUGGUUUCUUGGACUCAAAAUGAUAUCAACACCUCUCCUCACCGUUGUAUGAACUAGCCCCUGAAGUUUACCUGUCAGGGUUCCUAUUUUCCAGCUACCUAAACGAUUCUUCCUAGGCUCGGCUAGCUUCCUUAUUCUUCACAGUCGUCGAGUCAAAUGCGAAGACCCUUCAUUUUUCACUACACGCGGGCGUCGAUGUAGCGCGCCACUAAGGAUGCGAUGUGACGACCUGAUCCUUGCUCACUUGUCACCGUAUCCAGAUCAAGAUACUACGCGCCACCUGGUGGGUGACGGCCCGGCCCUUGCCCAUUUGACACAACACCAGCGUUCUGAUAUGGCGCAUCGUUGAGAGGGUUACGCCCCAAAGAUUUUAUUCUAGGUUCAUCUCCAUUAAGAGUGGCUGAGUUCUUGAUGUUGGCUCGCCAAGCCUAUCACAACCCUCGUUUACUCGGGCUUGGGACCGGCUAUGUUGAGACAACAUAGGCAGAGUUGUCUUGUAGGGUACACACAAAGAGUAUAAUUUUGAUUACAUGAUCUGACAAUUUCCCUCAUUUCAGACACAUGAUUCUAGUGCAUCAUCAAUUAAUGCUUGCUUUCAUGGUCUGCUUAUUGGUGCCCAAGAUGAUCUGCCUAUGGAUGCCCAAGUUACAAGUAUGAUAAUCUUCUGAUCCAUGUCCAAGCAAAUUAGAGUCACUCCACAUAUUGACCAUGUUGCUGCUUUGUCUAGAGGCCUGACACUACAUAAUUACUAACCUCCCUUGACAAUUGACUCAUUCCAUACCAUACUAUGUGCAUUAUGUUAUUAUGGAGGUAAUUAUACAAUGAUAACUUUACUACCAUGUCAUGCUUUCUCCACAAUUUUAGAAAGUAAAAUCUGUCUCUAGCAUGCAUGUGAUUCUUGCAUUGAUAUUUAUUUAUUUGGAUAACCUAAUUAACUUCUUCCACACUCGUGAAAGUUAGAUACGUGCUUUUUCAUGUGUGACUUAUUGACUGUGUUGUUGCUCUAAAUCAGGUUAGUGCCAUAAUGUAUGAAAUCAGCAUUUUGAUGUGGGAGUUUAGUGCUCGUCAUGUGGAUAAUCAGGCAAAGUCCUCAGAGGAGCGAGGAAUGUUAGAAACCCCAAUUCGUGCUCGGCAAAUAGUCCCGCGUAUUCAUGGCCUUUAUGGGAUGGACAUUCUUACAAAGUGAACGAUCGGAUGAGUCCAUAUUUGGAUUAUGGGGCACAUCCGCUGUUGGCAAGACACGGCUUCUUUCGCUUAUCGCUGAUAGCUAUGCUGAUUCAUUUCGUCACGUCAUAUUUCUUGAUGGUGGCAGUUGCCUGAGAUCAUGCAAAAUCAUUUCGCAUAUUUUUUGAAAUUGGAUUGGGAGACAAUCUCAUUGUUAGACGAUGUGCAAGAUGAAGUCUACCCAGAUUUAACAGCUCUUGGUUUGCCGAUGGCUCUUGGGCAUCGGCAAAAAGUUGUUCUUACGUCGAGGAGUCAGGUAGUAUGUGCUCGCAUGGAAUGCACCAUAUCAAACACUCUGGAGAUGAAGUGUCUUGGGGAUGAAGAUGCUUGGAGUCUUUUCGAGUAUAAUGCGGGAGUAAAAAUCACAGAAGCUGAUACUGAAAUUUAUGAAUAUGCAAAACAAGUAAUAUAUAUUUCUACAUAAUAACUUUUCAGAUAUACGUUUAACCUACAAAUAAAAACUGUGCACUAUAAUUUAUAGUUUAUAUUGGUUAUUAGAUGGUUUCAGCAUGUGGAGGGUUGCCUAGAGCCAUAUGUGCUAUUGGCCUAGGCAUUCGGUUACACCGAACCGAUCGGUUCGGUGCCUCGGUCUAUUUUUAAUUUCGGUUUCCAAAUUUUAUGGACCGAUCGGUCUUCUGAGAAUUCACUAACCGAGGCUUUCGGUCUAGCGAGAAUUCGGCUCGGUCCUCGGUUAUAACCGAAGGGGACUUUUUUUCUACGGAAACACUAACGCCCACAUGUGUGGGCGUUCUCCAACUCGCCCACACGUCUAGAUGAUCGUUGAUUGUCUUUUGCACGAAUCUUGACACGAAAAGGUGGAUUUGAUGUGCCACGUAGGAGGGGCUAGUGUGUGGGCGUUGGAAAGUUUGCCCACACGCCCCGCAUCAUGCUGUUGCCAGCUGCGAUGUGUAGGAGAACUAGUUUCUGCCCACACAGCCACCACCUAGUCCAUGCGCGUGUGGGUGAACUGAUUUUCGCCCACACGACACUACUACGUUGUGGAUGGCAAUUGCAGUUACGUGAACGUGGCAACUAGGUACACAAACAUGGUAACUGUGAUUCUUUUGCUAGACGGCAACUGCAGUUGCGCGUGUGUGGCAACCAGAUAAACACACAUGGCAACUGCGAUUAACUAUACAUGGCGACUAUGGUUGGACCACACGUGGCAACUAGGUAAACACACAUGGCAACUACUGUUUGACCAUGUGUGGCAAGUAGUUAAUCACACACGGCAACUACGGUUUUGAUUACACGCGGCAACUACCAUAAAUUAGACAUGGCAACUAUAAUUGAUCAAAACAAAUAGAGUUGCCAUGCUUUUACAACUACACUUGCCAUCCCGGAUAACUACAUCUGCCAAUCAGGAUGGCAACUAAAUCGUCAUCCCGCGGGUACCUAACGUUGCUGCGCUAGGACGUGUGGGCAUUUUUGCUUCGUUCCACACGCGUGAGGUGAAGAUGAGUAGUACUUGUUGGGCGUGUGGCACGAAGUAGCCGCGCCCACACGUGUGGGCAAUUCUAAUGUCCGCCCACAAACAACCCGUGUGGGCUGCAUCCUGCUCACACCACACAUGGUAUGUGGCCAGACCCUUUAACGCCCACACGUGUGGGCGUUAUCGGCGUCCUUUUUCUAACUUGAAGAGAGAACAUAUUGGAUCGGAAGGAGUCAAAUUCUAAGCGAGAAACAAGUUCGGAAAAGGAAUCGAUCCAAACAUGCAUUGCGCUGCCUAAUAUGGCUCAAUCAGGCCGCUCGUGGCAACCUUUGCAUAGCAUACAUGAAUGGUACAAGGAAAGACAUACAAUAGGAUACUAGAUAGGGAUCGCGCCGUGGCGCGAGGGUGCCGGUCAAAACGUUUGUAUGCACAUAAUAAGAAGCUACUUAACAAUGCAUGAACAUAGAAAGCAUGUUUCACGAUAGGUUAGCACCAAAUAUCUUAGGCAUAGAAGAUACGACAACACGUCGCUUAAAGACAAUUUACAACUAUGCAUAGAUAACUUUAAGUUUUAGGCAUAACAUAGACGUUUAGGCAUAGAAGAUACGACAACAUGUCGCUUACAGACGUUUUAGGCAUAGAAGAUACGGCAACACGUCGCUUACAGACAAUUUACAACAUGGGUCUUGCCGUCCUCAUGAACAACGCGUUUAUACUGAGCCGAUAAUAGUCCAAGGUGUGCCAGGAGCAUGCCAAGAACUGCCAUGUGUGGGAUCCUAAGCACUCGCUUGGUGUCCUGCAGUUCCCAAUAACAUAAAACAUAAGGCCUUGGGGAAUUGCCCAAAACAAUUGCAUUACAGCAUGGGGAAAGAAUCAGAGAAAUCAGUUGCGGAUAAAAGCAACCAUAGUGAUAAAAAAGAUAUGCCAAGCCUAUCCUUUAAUCAGGAUUUUGUUAGGAUGUGCCAAGCAUUUAAAAAAAAACAGAUUAUGAAUCAGGAUUUUGUUGCAAACAGACUGAAUGAUGGAAUGAGAAGAGGAAUAUAUUCAUGAAAUAAAGCAAGAGAGAUAAAGUUGAAAGGAAAGAAGUGCAGAGCUUGCAGGUGAAAAACAUCAUAUAAAAUGUAUAAUCACCAAUCAGGCAAUUUCAAGAUAUCAUGACUUAUUGCUGUGAUUAAAACAAAGCUAGUUGAUGAAUGAUUGGAAUCAGCUAUUCACUGAAUAAAUAUAUUCAUGGCGUAGUUUCAGUUUUGUGCCAUGAAGAGAGGCCGUCGAGUGUGAUAUCUAGAACAGAGAUGACCAUAUAUAUCAAGAAUGGUGAGGUAUGAAGAAAACAAACUCUCUAAGGAACACAUGCAGGUAGGUAUUUUUUUCUUGGAUUCUAUUGCUUCUACCUGAAUCUCAAGGUAUACAGUGACAUCCACGAUUAGCGGAAUUAAGCAACAACGACAUGCUCUCUGAUUUCAAUGUAACAUGUUUCAAUUCCUCUAUAACCUCUGUGUUUUAUCAAAACAAGCGCACAAACAAGAUAAUCAUCGAAACAAUAUUAUGUUCUCAACAAGGCUAUAUGCAUUCUUCUCAAGUCUGAGAUAUGCACGUACAAUGGUCUUAGAUCGAUUGAUAAUCACCAGAACUAACUACAGUACAUAGUCUGUGAAUCAAAAGUGAGAAAAUACCAGGAAGAUGAUUUGUGUAGUUGCAAGAGCUCAGGGGAAAGGAGAGUAGGCGGACCUGCUUGCUGGAGCUCCUUGACUGGCCAGUUGAACGUGCAGCCACAGUCGAGAGAGUGCUACUACCUUACAUGAGAGCAUGUUAAAUGGAAAAAACUCAAAUUCCUAACAAGAACAUUUUUUGAAAGAUCCAUAAAAUCCAGAUCAGGAUAGGGGGACUAACACGAACUCAUCCUUCACGCGAGCACCGCCACUCGAUGGAGAUGGUUGGUACCCCACGCCACUCCACGCAUCAUCAUAUUCCUCCUUCACGUGAGCACCGCCGCUCGGCAGCCUUCACAUCCACCGGCUCGGCUCCCUCGGCGGCCACUGUGCCCCACACCGACAUGAGCGCCCAUCCAAAGGGAAAUAAAGAAGUAGACAACAAAACAAAGAGCGAUGUUAAUAUAACCACAUCAUUCAAUUCACAUGUCAAGAUACAAUAGGAAGUCUUUCCACCAAGCGGCUUGAUACAUACAAUUAAACUCAGGAAAAUAAUUUUCACCACUCAUAGAUAAUAAGCAGCUGUAAGGGGGCACGCAGACAACCACAUACGAGUAUACAUGCAAAGAACUUCAAAUAAAGGUAUGCCACAGGAAAAGUAAACUCCAACAUAUUACCAAAGAGACAAUAAAAGCUCUAAACCAAAAAAUCUAAGAAAUGCUCAAUCAGUUUACUUAAUAGUUACGAAAUUAAUUAUUCUCGGUCAGGUGGUUCUGGUAUACUUAAGAAAACACUUGUAGACUUCAAGUACAGAUAAAUACUCAAGCUACAUGGAAUAGUAAACAACAUAGUUCUAUAAUAACAAGUGAUUCCAAUUAAACACAAGUGCUCAGAACCAUGGAACUGGAGCUUUAUAAAAUCAUGCUACUAAUUAUCAUAGAUACCAAUUUAACUCAUAUGCGGACCAUGGUCAACUGUGGGUUUAUACACUCGUCAGAAAUAUUGGCCACUAAAAACAUAACAGCAUUAAUACAGUCAACACAUACCUCAAGUACUAAAGGACUGAGGUACUAAUCAUCUGUUUGACUCAUUUUCACUUCUGCAUACGCUACUUUUAUAAAGUGAUCGAGCAGGGGUGCAGCAUCGUCGAGCAGGGGCGGCGGCGACAACCGGACCACCUUGAGCACCACGGUCCGGAAGCCAGGAGCAUGAGCAGACCAAAAUCAGAAUGGAUUAACUAGGAAACCCUAGACAAAUCCCUAAAAAACAACAAAGCCCUUGAUGAGCACAUACACAUCACAAAGGGAAAGACAAACAAGGGAGCAAAUAAUCACCUCAGCCAUCUUAGAAGCCCACUCGGUGUGCUCCCUCUCCGUCCGACCCGCAAGACAGCCCCAACGCCACGCCACCAUCCCAACCGUGAAACAGCCAGAGAAGCAAGGAAGAUGGUAAGAAACAAGCAAAAUAAAAGGUAGUGGGAUCCAAUACAAACAUUAACCAGCCUAAAGACGUUGUUAUUAGAAACAUGACACCGUGGUUUCUGAUGGUUUAUCAACAAAUUAAAACAAGCCAUUGAACCGACGACUUGCUUGCUCUUAACCAGAUGAAAUCAAGGACCGAAAACAAACAAUAAAAGUCAAGAACAACUUAUAUGCAAUAAAGGUAUGAGAGAGAAGAAAUAUUCACAUAAGGCGGCUAUAAACACUGGAGCAUAAAUAAGCAACACCUUUAAAUACAAAUAAAAAGGGUUCAGGGUUCAAUGCAUAGUGGGCUCAGAUUUGCCUUUCCUCGAUCAUAUAAUCUACCCCCGCCAUCUCUUGUCACCAGAUUAAUCUGUUUAUACAGUGGAGCUGCCCUAGUUAUAACUCAACAAGAAUGACCAUCCAAGGACAGAACAAUAAGUAUCACAUGAUCAAAAAGGAUUCUAGAGACAAGAGGGAGGACCCAACUUGAUACCCACUUGAUUGCUCAAAGGAACACUUAUUUCAGCCACAGCGAAUCAUCAUCGCCCUAGCAAUGAUGGCUUCCUACCGGUGGCGCACGUGCGAAUAAAAAGGGUUCAGGGUUCAAUGCAUAUGGGCUCAGAUUUGCCUUUCCUCGAUCAUAUAAUCUACCCCCAUCAUCUCUUAUCACCAGAUCAAUCUUUUUAUACAGUGGAGCUGCCCUGGUUAUCACUCAAUAAGAAUGACCAUCCAAAGGACAGAACAAUAAGUAUCAGAAGAUCAAAAAGGAUUCUGGAGACAAGAGGGAGGACCGAACUUGAUACCCACGGCUAAUCAUCAUCGCCCUAGCAAGAAUGGCUUCCGACCGAUGGGGCACGUGAUUCGAACGCGGUGGCACGAGAUAUCUCAUUUUGGGAGUAACUAUUCAUUCCCGCGGUAACUUUUUUUAUCCGACGGACGAGGUCGUUACAGGGGUCGAUCCGACGGCCCAAGAUCCAUCAAGCAACCAGACCCGACGGCCAGGAAUCCCAAAUCGCUGAGGAGUAGCCUGAGGAGCUUCUAUUCUUAUUUUUGGAUGGACUUAUUUAUGGAUUUCUGGAUGGAUCACCGGAUCAAUAUGUUCUUACGAGGGUUUAACUGCCCUGGUUAUCACUCAUUAGAAAUGACCAUCCAAGGACAAAGCCACUAAAAUAAGAACGUGAUCAAAACAGCUCAAAGAAACAAGGGAGGAUCCAAAUUAAUACCCACAAGUGCCUCGACUACUUGAGAGCAUGCCUAUAUCAGCCAUAACUGAUCAUCAUAGCCCUGGCCAUGUCCCAUAUAGUCGUCGAAGCAGAGCAGGGGAAGAUGAAGCUCAUAGAGGGAGGUUGUAGCCGAGGCAGUACUCAGAGGGCACCGGGGUUGCGCCUAAACGCCAUCCAACUAGUGAGGAACCACGUCGGAGUUGCGCCUUGCACCAUCCUGCCGACGAGCACGAAAGCCAUGGGCACCGAAGUGGCCAAGGAGGCGAGGAGGUGAUGUAUAGCACAUCUAGGAGCACCAUCAGAGACGACCGGGGCAACGAGCAGGCAGGAAGAGAGGCGAGGCGGCAGGGAGAGGAAAGGGCACGAUGUGAGUGCAGGCCUGUAGGGAGCGGAACAUCAGCUACUUUUUCUUUCAGAGUAUAUAGGAAGUAUCAAACAUAUCAUAUAAGUGCAAUCAUCUUUGAUAAUAUAAGAGAGCAUACAAAUCACAGACCUUGUUUAAGAUAUUUUGUCACAUCAAGUAGUUUAGAUAAGAAAAGCCUAACCCAGAAUUACAAAUAAUUGGAGCGAGUGAUAGAUUUAUUAUUCUGAUAAUUUGGUAGUGACUAUACAUAAAUAAUUCAUUCGCCAACAGUAAAAAAUAUGCGAUGUAUUAUUUACACAAAACAAUAUUUUUUGUAUAGGGUCAGAAAGAUAUUUCAGCAUUCAAAUCAAUAAGGCUGAAAUAAUCUAAGAGUAUUAUCACUAUAGAGAAACAAUUUAUGAACUCGCUGUCAGUCAAAAGUAUUAUCACUACAGAGGAACAAUGAUUUACAGAGAAGGGGAUGAGUAAGGUUUGUUUGCUCAGGACUGUGCAUCAACUAAUCACCUAAAGUAAUUUCAAUAAAUAAAAAUUUACAUAUCGAUCAAGAUAAACGUCACGGUUAAAAAAUACGUUGAUAAUAUAUACAUCAAUGACAUCUCAAAGCUCAUUUCACAACAAGACUACAGUAAACUUGAUAUAUAUAUAUAUAUAUAUAUAUAUAUAUAUAUAUAUAUAUAUAUAUAUAUAUAUAAUGGCCCCAUACAGAUCCCCAUCUGUAGAAACCAAGUGAAAAAUCAUUCGGAAUAUGGUGUUUAGAUAUCACUGCCCAUAAAUAUAUAAUGUCGCAUGAAAAAUGGUGUUUGUUCUAAAUGGUCACUUAAAAUACUUGUUCUAGCGCUGCAAACAUACACAGAUAAAGGGCAAGCCAACAACCGUAGGUAUUAAAUAGGCCUAUACACAUACACCUAUUUUCUUCCAUUCUAGAAUCAAGAUGCACUUUCAUGUAUUGUUAGAUUAUUUCUCAUCGUAAAGAGGAUCGAGCCAAAGCUUGAUUAUAAGUAUGUAAGCAAACAAUAUGGACAGAAGGAACAAACAUUGGGUGUCAAAUGCAAACAGUAAGCUUCAGAGAAUUUACAUCUCCUAAAAUCAUUCAAGGGAUUGUAGCCUUUUGACUACAUGGUAGGUUGGUAGGUAGAAAUACGUUCAUAGACAUUGACAUCAACAUUUUUAACCUGGGAAUAGAUAAAAAAAUGGCAAAGACGCAUCUCAUAUAAUCAAAGUAAACAUGGUAGAUCCAAAGCAAUGUAUCUAAGACUUAAAUUAAGGGGAAAAUGCAAACUAAUUAAAGAUUGAAGCCGUCAAUUUCACUCCCACAAUUUGCAAAUUGUAAUGGUCUCAGAUGAACUAACUGAAUAUAUUUACAUAAGGCAAGAGAAAUCAUCAUCACUGAUAUUCCCUAUAGACAUAGGUCUCUGCCAAGAAUCACACAAGUUCCUUGAUGCUCCAAAAACCAAGCGAUGUUCGAGCAAGGGAAACACGAAAAGGCGUGAGGAGAGCUCCGUCGGGAGGAAGAGGGGUGUUGGGGAACGUAGUAAUUUCAAAAAAAUUCCUACGCACAUGCAAGAUCAUGGUGAUGACAUAGCAACGAGAGGGGAGAGUGUUGUCCACGUACCCUCGUAGACCGUAAGCGGAAGCUUUAUGACAACGCGGUUGAUGUAGUCGUAUGUCUUCACGAUCCGACCGAUCCAAGCACCGAACGUACAGCACCUCCGAGUUCAGCACACGUUCAGCUCGAUGACGAUCCCUGGGCUCCGAUCCAGCAAAGCUUCGGGGUUGAGUUCCGUCAGCAUGAUGGCGUGGUGACGAUGAUGAUGUUCUACCGGCGCAGGGCUUCGCCUAAAUUCCGCGAUGAUAUGACCGAGGUGAAAUAUGGUGGAGGGGGGCACCGCACACGGCUAAGGAACGAUCCGUAGAUCAACUUGUGUGUCCUAGGGUGCCCCCCCGCCCCCGUAUAUAAAGGAGCCAGGGGGGAGGAGGCGGCCGGCCAAGGAGGGCGCGCCAAGGGGGGAGUCCUACUCCCUCCGGGAGUAGGACUCCCUUCUUUCCUAGUUGGAGUAGGAGAAGGGGAAAGAGGAGGAAGAGGAGAAGGAAGGGGGGGCGCCGCCCCCCUCUCCUUGUCCUAUUCGGACUAGGGAGGGGAGGGGGCGCGGCCCACCUCUUGCCUCCUCUCCUCUUCUCCCUUAUGGCCCAUGUAGGCCCAAUAACACCCGGGAGGGUUUCGGUAACCCCCCGGUACUCCGGUAAAAUGCCGAUUUCACCCGGAACACUUCUGAUGUCCAAACAUAGGCUUCCAAUAUAUCAAUCUUUAUGUCUCGACCAUUUCGAGACUCCUCGUCAUGUCCGUGAUCAUAUCCGGGACUCCGAACAAACUUCGGUACAUCAAAACUUACAAACUCAUAAUGAAACUGUCAUCGUAACGUUAAGCGUGCGGACCCUACGGGUUCGAGAACUAUGUAGACAUGACCUAGAACUAUUCUCGGUCAAUAACCAAUAGCGGAACCUGGAUGCCCAUAUUGGUUCCUACAUAUUCUACAAACAUCUUUAUCGGUCAAACCGCAUAACAACAUAUGUUGUUCCCUUUGUCAUCGGUAUGUUACUUGCCCGAGAUUCGAUCGUCGGUAUCCAAUACCUAGUUCAAUCUCGUUACCGGCAAGUCUCUUUACUCAUUACGUAAUGCAUCAUUCCGUAACUAACUCAUUAGUUACAUUUCUUGCAAGGCUUAUAGUGAUGUGCAUUACCGAGAGGGCCUAGAGAUACCUCUCCGACAAUCGGAGUGACAAAACCUAAUCUCUAAAUACGCCAACCCAAACAUCUACCUUUGGAGACACCUGUAGUACUCCUUUAUAAUCACCCAGUUACGGUAGCACCCAAAGUGUUCCUCCGGUAAACGGGAGUUGCAUAAUCUGAUAGUUUCAGGAACAUGUAUAAGUCAUGAAGAAAGCAAUAGCAAUAUACUAAACGAUCAAGUGCUAGGCUAACGGAAUGGGUCAUGUCAAUCACAUCAUUCUCCUAAUGAUGUGAUCCCAUUAAUCAAAUGACAACACAUGUCUAUGGUCAGGAAACAUAACCAUCUUUGAUUAAUGUGCUAGUCAAGUAGAGGCAUACUAGUGACUGUAUGUUUGUCUAUGUAUUCACACAUGUAUCAUGUUUCCGGUUAAUACAAUUCUAGCAUGAAUAAUAAACAUUUAUCAUGAUAAGAGGAAAUAAAUAAUAACUUUAUUAUUGCCUCUAGGGAAUAUUUCCUUCAGUCUCCCACUUGCACUAGAGUCAAUAAUCUAGAUUACAUAGUAAUGAUUGUAACACCCAUGGAGUCUUGGUGCUGAUCAUGUUUUGCUCGUGAGAGAGGCUUAGUCAACGGAUCUGCAACAUUCAGAUCCGUAUGUAUCUUGCAAAUCUCUAUGUCUCUCACUUGGACUUGGUCCCGGAUGGAAUUGAAGCGUCUCUUGAUGUGCUUGGUCCUCUUGUGAAAUCUGGAUUCCUUUGCCAAGGCAAUUGCACCAGUAUUGUCACAGAAGACCUUCAUUGGUCCCGAUGCACUAGGUAUGACACCUAGAUCGGAAAUGAACUCCUUCAUCCAGACUCCUUCAUUCGCUGCUUCCGAAGCAGCUAUGUACUCCGCUUCACAUGUAGAUCCCGCCACGACGCUUUGUUUAGAACUGCACCAACAUACAGCUCCACCAUUUAAUAAAAACACGUAUCUGGUUUGCGAUUUAGAAUCGUCCGGAUCAGUGUCAAAGCUUGCAUCGACGUAACCAUUUACGACUAGCUCUUUGUCACCUCCAUAUACGAGAAACAUAUCCUUAGUCCUUUUUAGGUAUUUCAGGAUGUUCUUGACCGCUGUCCAGUGAUCCACUCCUGGAUUACUUUGGUACCUUCCUGCCAAGCUUAUUGCUAAGCAUACGUCGGGUCUGGUACACAACAUUGCAUACAUGAUAGAGCCUAUGGCUGAAGCAUAGGGAACAUCUUUCAUUUUCUCUCUAUCUUCUGCUGUGGUCGGGCAUUGAGUUUGACUCAACUUCACACCUUGUAGCAUGGGCAAGAAACCUUUCUUUGCCUGAUCCAUUUUGAACUUUUUCAAAAUUUUAUCAAGGUAUGUGCUUUGUGAAAGUCCUAUUAAGCGUCUUGAUCUAUCUCUAUAAAUCUUGAUGCCCAAUAUGUAAGCAGCUUCACCGAGGUCUUUCAUUGAAAAACUUUUAUUCAAGUAUCCCUUUAUGCUAUCCAGAAAUUCUAUAUCAUUUCCAAUUAAUAAUAUGUCAUCUACAUAUAAUAUCAGAAAUGCUACAAAGCUCCCACCCACUUUCUUGUAAAUACAGGCUUCUCCAAAAGUUUGUAUAAAACCAUAUGCCUUGAUCACACUAUCAAAGCGUUUAUUCCAACUCCGAGAUGCUUGCACCAGUCCAUAAAUGGAUCGCUGGAGCUUGCACACUUUGUUAGCACCUUUUGGAUUAACAAAACCUUCUGGCUGCAUCAUAUACAACUCUUCUUCUAGAAAUCCAUUCAAGAAUGCAGUUUUGACAUCCAUUUGCCAAAUUUCAUAAUCAUGAAAUGCAGCAAUAGCUAACAUGAUUCGGACAGACUUAAGCAUCGCUACGGGUGAGAAAGUCUCAUCGUAGUCAACCCCUUGAACUUGUCGAAAACCUUUCGCAACAAGUCGAGCUUUAUAGACAGUUACAUUACCAUCAGCGUCAGUCUUCUUCUUAAAGAUCCAUUUAUUCUCAAUGGCUUGCCGAUCAUCGGGCAAGUCAACCAAAGUACAUACUUUGUUCUCAUACAUGGAUCCCAUCUCAGAUUUCGUGGCCUCUAGCCAUUUUGCGGAAUCUGGGCUCAUCAUCGCUUCCUCAUAGUUCGUAGGUUCAUCAUGGUCAAGUAACAUGACUUCCAGAAUAGGAUUACCGUACCACUCUGGCGCGGAUCUUACUCUGGUAGACCUACGAGGUUCAGUAGAAACUUGAUCUGAAGUUUCAUGAUCAAUAUCAUUAGCUUCCUCACUAAUUGGUGUAGGUGUCACAUGAACUGAUUUCUGUGAUGAACUACUUUCCAAUAAGGGAGCAGGUACAGUUACCUCAUCAAGUUCUACUUUCCUCCCACUCACUUCUUUCGAGAGAAACUCCUUCUCUAGAAAGGAUCCAUUCUUAGCAACGAAUGUUUUGCCUUCGGAUCUGUGAUAGAAGGUGUACCCAACAGUCUCUUUUGGGUAUCCUAUGAAGAAACAUUUCUCCGAUUUAGGUUCGAGCUUAUCUGGUUGAAGUUUCUUCACAUAAGCAUCGCAGCCCCAAACUUUAAGAAACGACAACUUUGGUUUCUUGCCAAACCACAGUUCAUAAGGCGCCGUCUCAACGGAUUUUGAUGGUGCCCUAUUUAACGUGAAUGCGGCCGUCUCUAAAGCAUAACCCCAGAAUGAUAGCGGUAAAUCGGUAAGAGACAUCAUAGAUCGCACCAUAUCUAGUAAAGUACGAUUACGACGUUCGGACACACCAUUUCUUUGUGGUGUUCCAGGUGGCGUGAGUUGCGAAACUAUUCCGCAUUGUUUCAAAUGUAAACCAAACUCGUAACUCAAAUAUUCUCCUCCACGAUCAGAUUGUAGAAACUUUAUUUUCUUGUUACGAUGAUUUUCCACUUCACUCUGAAAUUCUUUGAACUUUUUAAAUGUUUCAGACUUGUGUUUCAUUAAGUAGAUAUACCCAUAUCUGCUCAAAUCAUCUGUGAAGGUGAGAAAAUAACGAUAUCCGCCACGAGCUUCAGCAUUCAUCGGACCACAUACAUCUGUAUGUAUGAUUUCCAACAAAUCUGUUGCUCUCUCUAUAGUGCCGGAGAACAGUGUUUUAGUCAUCUUGCCCAUGAGGCACGGUUCGCAAGUGAUUCAUAAUCAAGUGAUUCCAAAAGUCCAUCAGUAUGGAGUUUCUUCAUGCGCUUUACACCGAUAUGACCUAAACGGCAGUGCCACAAAUAAGUUGCACUCUCAUUAUCAACUCUGCAUCUUUUGGCUUCGACAUUAUGGAUAUGUGUAUCACUACUUUCGAGAUUCAAUAAAAAUAGACCACUCUUCAAGGGUGCAUGACCAUAAAAGAUAUUACUCAUAUAAAUAGAACAACCAUUAUUCUCUGAUUUAAAUGAAUAACCGUCUCGCAUCAAACAAGAUCCAGAUAUAAUGUUCAUGCUCAACGCUGGCACCAAAUAACAAUUAUUCAGGUCUAAAACUAAUCCCGAAGGUAGAUGUAGAGGUAGCGUGCCGACCGCGAUCACAUCGACUUUGGAACCGUUUCCCACGCGCAUCGUCACCUCGUCCUUCGCCAGUGCUCGCUUAUUCCGUAGUCCCUGUUUCGAGUUGCAAAUAUUAGCAACAGAACCAGUAUCAAAUACCCAGGUGCUACUACGAGCUCUAGUAAGGUACACAUCAAUAACUUGUAUAUCACAUAUACCUUUGUUCACCUUGCCAUCCUUCUUAUCCGCCAAAUACUUGGGGCAGUUCCGCUUCCAGUGUCCAGUCUGCUUGCAGUAGAAGCACUCAGUUUCAGGCUUAGAUCCAGACUUGGGUUUCUUCUCUUGAGAAGCAACUUGCUUGCCGUUCUUCUUGAAGUUCCCCUUCUUCUUUCCUUUGCCCUUUUUCUUGAAACUAGUGGUCUUGUUGACCAUCAACACUUGAUGCUCCUUCUUGAUUUCUACCUCCGCAGCUUUUAGCAUUGCGAAGAGCUCGGGAAUUGUCUUGUUCAUCCCUUGCAUAUUAUAGUUCAUCACGAAGCUCUUGUAGCUUGGUGGUAGUGAUUGGAGAAUUCUGUCAAUGACGCUAUCAUUCGAAAGAUUAACUCCCAGUUGAAUCAAGUGAUUAUUAUACCUAGACAUUUUGAGUAUAUGCUCACUGACAGAACUAUUCUCCUCCAUCUUGCAGCUGUAGAACUUAUUGGAGACUUCAUAUCUCUCAGUCCGGGCAUUUUCUUGAAAUAUUAACUUCAACUCCUGGAACAUCUCAUAUGCUCCAUGACGUUCAAAACGUCAUUGAAGACCCGGUUCUAAGCCGUAAAGCAUGGCACAUUGAACUAUCGAGUAGUCAUCAGCUUUGCUCUGCCAGACGUUCUUAACGUCGUCAGUUGCAUCAGCAGCAGGCCUGGCACCCAGCGGUGCUUCCAGGACGUAAUUCUUCUGUGCAGCAAUGAGGAUAAUCCUCAAGUUACGGACCCAGUCCGUGUAAUUGCUAUCAUCAUCUUUCAACUUUGCUUUCUCAAGGAACGCAUUAAAAUUCAACGGAACAACAGCACGAGCCAUCUAUCUACAACAACCAUAGACAAGCAAAAUACUAUCAGGUACUAAGUUCAUGAUAAAUUUAAGUUCAAUUAAUCAUAUUACUUAAGAACUCCCACUUAGACAGACAUCUCUCUAGUCAUCUAAGUGAUCACGUGAUCCAAAUCAACUAAACCAUAACCGAUCAUCACGUGAGAUGGAGUAGUUUUCAGUGAUGAACAUCAGUAUGUUGAUCAUAUCUACUAUAUGAUUCAUGCUCGACCUUUCGGUCUCCGUGUUCCGAGGCCAUAUCUGCAUAUGCUAGGCUCGUCAAGUUUAACCUGAGUAUUCUGCGUGUGCAAAACUGGCUUGCACCCGUUGUAGAUGGACGUAGAGCUUAUCACACCCGAUCAUCACGUGGUGUCUGGGCACGACGAACUUUGGCAACGGUGCAUACUCAAGGAGAACACUUCUUGAUAAUUUUAAGUGAGAGAUCAUCUUAAAAUGCUACCGUCAAACAAAGCAAGAUAAGAUGCAUAAAGGAUAAACAUCACAUGCAAUCAAUAUAAGUGAUAUGAUAUGGCCAUCAUCAUCUUGUGCUUGUGAUCUCCAUCUUCGAAGCACCGUCGUGAUCACCAUCGUCACCGGCGCGACACCUUGAUCUCCAUCGUAGCAUCGUUGUCGUUACGCCAUCUAUUGCUUCUACGACUAUCGCUACCGCUUAGUGAUAAAGUAAAGCAAUUACAGGGCGUUUGCAUUUCAUACAAUAAAGCGACAACCAUAUGGCUCCUGCCAGUUGCCGAUAACUUCGGAUACAAAACAUGAUCAUGUCAUAUAAUAAAAUAUAGCAUCACGUCUUGACCAUAUCACAUUACAACAUGCCCUGCAAAAACAAGUUAGACGUCCUCUACUUUGUUGUUGCAAGUUUUACGUGGCUGCUACGGGCUUAGCAAGAACCGUUCUUACCUACGCAUCAAAACCACAACGAUAGUUCGUCAAGUUAGUGCUGUUUUAACCUUCGCAAGGACCGGGCGUAGCCACACUCGAUUCAGCUAAAUUGAGAGAGACAGACACCCGCCAGUCACCUUUAAGCACGAGUGCUCGUAACGGUGAAACCAGUCUCGCGUAAGCGUACGCGUAAUGUCGGUCCGGGCCGCUUCAUCUCACAAUACCGCCGAACCAAAGUAUGACAUGCUGGUAAGCAGUAUGACUUGUAUCGCCCACAACUCACUUGUGUUCUACUCGUGCAUAUAACAUCAACACAUAAAACCUAGGCUCAGAUGCCACUAUUGGGGAACGUAGUAAUUUCAAAAAAUUUCCUACGCACACGCAAGAUCAUGGUGAUGACAUAGCAACGAGAGGGGAGAGUGUUGUCCACGUACCCUCGUAGACCGUAAGCGGAAGCGUUAUGACAACGCGGUUGAUGUAGUCGUACAUCUUCACGAUCCGACCGAUCCAAGCACCGAACGUACGGCACCUCCGAGUUCAGCACACGUUCAGCUCGAUGACGAUCCCCGGGCUCCGAUCCAGGAGAAGCUUCGGGGAUGAGUUCCGUCAGCACGACGGCGUGGUGACGAUGAUGAUGUUCUAUCGGUGCAGGGCUUCGCCUAAACUCCGCGAUGAUAUGAGCGACGUGAAAUAUGGUGGAGGGGGGCACCNNNNNNNNNNNNNNNNNNNNNNNNNNNNNNNNNNNNNNNNNNNNNNNNNNNNNNNNNNNNNNNNNNNNNNNNNNNNNNNNNNNNNNNNNNNNNNNNNNNNNNNNNNNNNNNNNNNNNNNNNNNNNNNNNNNNNNNNNNNNNNNNNNNNNNNNNNNNNNNNNNNNNNNNNNNNNNAAGGAGGGCGCGCCAAGGGGGGAGUCCUACUCCAGGAGUAGGACUCCCUUCUUUCCUAGUUGGAGUAGGAGAAGGGGGAAAGAGGAGGAAGAGGGGAAGGAUGGGGGGCGCCGCCCCCCUCUCCUUGUCCUAUUCGGACUAGGGAGGGGAGGGGGCGCGGCCCACCUCUUGCCUCCUCUCCUCUUCUCCCUUAUGGCCCAUGUAGGCCCAAUAACCCCCGGGAGGGUUCCGGUAACCCCCCCGGUACUCCGGUAAAAUGCCGAUUCCACCCGGAACACUUCCGAUGUCCAAACAUAGGCUUCCAAUAUAUCAAUCUUUAUGUCUCGACCAUUUCGAGACUCCUCGUCAUGUCCGUGAUAAUAUCCGGGACUCCGAACAAACUUCGGUACAUCAAAACUUAUAAACUCAUAAUGAAACUGUCAUCGUAACGUUAAGCGUGCGGACCCUAUGGGUUUGAGAACUAUGUAGACAUGACCUAGAACUAUUCUCGGUCAAUAACCAAUAGAGGAACCUAGAUGCCCAUAUUGGUUCCUACAUAUUCUACGAACAUCUUUAUCGGUCAAACCGCAUAACAACAUACGUUGUUCCCUUUAUCAUCGGUAUGUUACUUGCCCGAGAUUCGAUCGUCGGUAUCCAAUACCUAGUUCAAUCUCGUUACCGGCAAGUCUCUUUACUCGUUACGUAAUGCAUCAUUCCGUAACUAACUCAUUAGUUACAUUGCUUGCAAGGCUUAUAGUGAUGUGCAUUACCGAGAGGGCCCAGAGAUACCUCUCCGACAAUCGGAGUGACAAAACCUAAUCUCGAAAUACGCCAACCCAAACAUCUACCUUUGGAGACACCUGUAGUACUCCUUUAUAAUCACCCAGUUACGUUGUGACGUUUGGUAGCACCCAAAGUGUUCCUCCGGUAAAUGGGAGUUGCAUAAUCUCAUAGUUUCAGGAACAUGUAUAAGUCAUGAAGAAAGCAAUAGCAAUAUACUAAACGAUCAAGUGCUAGGCUAACGGAAUGGGUCAUGUCAAUCACAUCAUUCUCCUAAUGAUGUGAUCCCAUUAAUCAAAUGACAAUCUAUGGUCAGGAAACAUAACCAUCUUUGAUUAAUGAGCUAGUCAAGUAGAGGCAUACUAGUGACUGUAUGUUUGUCUAUGUAUUCACACAUGUAUCAUGUUUCCGGUUAAUACAAUUCUAGCAUGAAUAAUAAACAUUUAUCAUGAUAAGAGGAAAUAAAUAAUAACUUUAUUAUUGCCUCUAGGGCAUAUUUCCUUCAAGGGGUAGGGUUCGUAGCUUGACUACAUGAGUUCACUGUAACUUCACCUCCGGAUCCAGGCGAGGUACUCUGUAAUUUAGAAACAGAGAUUCACUACGGUGGGUCAAUUACGGCACAAUCGCUGGUGAGAACAUCAGAAGAACUUAUUUUCAAACUGAAUUAAGGAAAAACAAUUGUUGCAAGUAAAUUUACCCUCUAAUUACUGAUAAAGCGCAACAACAUUCAGCUAAUGAGACAUGAGAAGAAAACUGGGCAACAUCAAAUAUCCUCUCAUUGAUUCUGCUAUAUAACAUAUAUUCACAUAAACCAUAAGAUAUGAUUGGAACCGCAAUCUCUAAACCAAAACGGCAACAAUAGAAUCAAAGUCCACUGUAUUACUAUCUAGAAAUUGACGAGGACUACAGAAGUAUUUUUAGUGUACAUCAAGCUUACAAGGAAAAAAAAUCAUAGCUCUUGAACUGCACAUACAUGCUUCACUAACAAAUCUUGGCCUAGCCAAAACAAAUUCACCACACCUGUACAUGAACAUUCAGGGAAAGAAAUGAAACACCACACGUGAAAAUGCAUCCUGAUAACUAAUUAACUACUCAGCAAAUCAAAUGGUAUGUUCGAAUGCCUCUUUUGAUCCUAUGAAACUGUAUACAACAGAUAAGUAAUUAUCUACUCGCCAAAUCCAGUAGUAUAUUUGAGUGACUCUUCUUAUCCUUUCUCUGAAACUAAUACAAAAGAUAACUAAUUAGCCACCCGCAAAUCGAGUGUGAUAUUUGAACGCCUCUUCUGAUCAUUUCUCUUAAACAGUUUAGUUUACACCAACUUUAGUACUGAGCAGAAUAUGUAUGUAAAUAAACCAGAGGAGACUGGAAUUUACAUCCCUGAUUAACAAAAUCAGCUAUGUUACUAAAGGGCAGUGGCAAAGGAUAACCAUAUGCAGUUAAGCCAUGCUUAUCACCCAAUUUCAGAACCAGUCAGCCUUCUAUAAGUAUUAUCAUGCGUGCAAUCUGACACGAAGGCCAAAACAACACUAUCUAUCUUCACAAAAAUCCAUUAUACGCUUCGGUACAUCUGAGAGUUAAGAAUCUUCAUUUUUAUUUAGAUGAAAUUACUUGGUAGCUAACAAACAUACCUCGAGGGAUGUGCACAUGAGAGAUCGCCGGUGCCCUUUCUAGCUUCGGCGGCAGACAUCCUCCCUUUGCUCCCCUUCCAAUAGAUAUUAGAGUACAUUAAACCAAAAACCAAAAGGGAACAAGGGAGUGGAAGACCAGGAAUUAAUCGGACCACAAGAAAUCUAAGGGAAAAAACUAAAAGAAGGCCAAACAAUACUUGUGCAGGACCAAAUGACGCAUCGCAUAGCAAUGAAACUGGAGGUUAGAAAACUACUCAGACUUUCAUGCCAUCAUGGAUUCAAUCUGAUCUAAAUGUAACCAAAUAAUGCAUCGGAACCAUAUUUACUACUAAAAGGGCAAGCACAAGCUUGCCAAAUUUACCACAAAUGUAGCAUUGCAAUCAAAUGGGUCCAAUCUUGAUGAAAGCGAAAAUGUAUCAUAUAGCACGCACGCACACGAACAGUCACAUUAUCCUCAUCUUGCUGAAAGCAAAAAAUGUAUCAUGUACUGUAAAUUCAUACCUUGACCUGCAAAGGGUAUGGUCCAGUUUCAAUCAUGUUGGCCUUUAGAUAAGUUUUUGAACAACAACUUCACCACCUGCACAAAAAGCAGAGGAAAGCUAGUAAAUACUUCCAACAUGUUCACCUCAGUAUAGUGGUCCUACUUAUCCAACGACCCAUAUAUCUCAAAUAGAACAGCUUAAUAUCUCAAACAACAGUGAACGUCCAGCAUGUUCUCCAAAGUUACAUAAUAUAACAUGUUCAAAGGUUGUCAAGAUCAAAAAAAUAGCGAGGGGAUUUUGUAGUCACAUGGCAAAGGUAAUAAAAUUUCUUCUAAUAUAAAUCUCAGACAUCUCAAUGAAAUAAAUAAUUUGAUACAUAAUUGAAACUGAACCCUAAUCUUUUGUUGUUGAGUUGUCUUUUCGUGACUAUCAACACUUUCAGUUUUAGCGUAUGAGAUGUUUCUCUGCGUCCUCCUCCUCCCCAAGAAGUUAGGUAUUAAUUUUGAAAAUUGACAUUUGAGUGGUUUGGCGACAUGGCAUAGUAUCGGGAGGUUUCUGUGAGGAGCGAGGUGAGACGGCCACUGCCGCUGAAGGAGUGGGGAUGAUGCCAGAAUUUGACAAAAUACCAAAUUUGCAAUUCACAUGUAUCGGUUAUCAUCAGACUGUGAGACAGAGGACACCGCAUAACCAAGCCACGGCAAACAUGUAGAAGGGGAACCAUAAGUGAAAAACGAUGAAAGGAAAAAACGUAAUGGUAAAAGACAUAUAGUAUCUUCAUAUAUGAAAAUUUAUGUAAGGAAAAAAAUGUAAUGGUAUUCUACGGGGAUGUGUUGUAACUUGCACCUUGAGAUAAAAUUGUUUCUGUCAGCAGCAUGACUGCAUCUUGCAAGAACAUGUAGUCUCUCUUCUCUGUUUUGUCUUCUAUGUUCUGUGAACACAUAAACAGAACGAAUAUUAGACGAAAUAUGAAUUGUCUGGUUGCCUAAGAAAGUGCAUCAGAUUAAACUGUAUAGAUAGUAUAAUAAAUGUUCACUUAAUGCAUUCAUUAACGGCUAGGGAGACCAAAUCAUAAUAAUCUAGGCAGACCACACCAAACAACAGAGGCCAAUGAACAUGCCAUUCUUCCUAUUCUCUUUCAGAAGCAUCAAUCCAACAGAAAACAAACCGAACCCUUCGUUUUUUCACAUGUCACUCGACAAAGAACAUCAUUUUCCAGCAAGCAAACAUGAAGGUGCCAAGUAAAAACACAAGACUAAACAGACACGAGCCAAGUGGACCAAUCCAAAUGCACCAGACCAAUCCAAAAGGCACAUGUCCUGCUGCAUUCACCUCUUCCUGAAAGCUCACUACAAUCCUAGAGAAAGAUCCCAACCCUAGCAAGAUCCAGACAACUAAGAAAUUGGAGAACACACUAUAUAAAAUUGUCAAGAAUGAUAAUAAGCAUGGAGAACUAAAAUGUACUAUCACUUCCAUGUAGCUGAGAACCUAAAAUUGGCAAGAAUACAUCAUAGCAGAUUUAACAAUUUCCCAAAACAAUAUAGAUUCUAGUGUACGUGCAUUGAGCAGAAUAUGGCCAACAAGCCAAGCAAGGCAACAAACAUGUACUCUGUAAAUAAUUAGCUAAAUCCAAGGCCUUCCUUGGCAACAAGGUAAAAACAAAACAAGAAAGACAAAGAACUCUUCUUUGGAACCUAGCUAAAUCAGAGAAUUGGCUAGAUAAGAUAGAUGUGCAGGGGUAGGAAGAGGGGGUGGAGCUCACCAGGUUCAGGGGGGUAGGAGGAGGGAGGAGCCAUGAGGGCUCGUGCCUCGUCCACCUGCAGCAAUUGCUACUCAUCCAGAUCGGAACCGACCUUGUCCACCAGAGGAGCAGGGACGCGUCCAUGCACCUGUGUGACCAAAAGCAGCAACAACGUGAGGGGAGGGGAGGGGAUUAGGGUUGGAGCAGGGGGGAGGGCGGCAUCCCUAGCAGGCCAUUGCAUGGGCGCGGAGCAGGCAUAGCACAAGCACUCGGAGGCCAAGGUCGGACGACAUCGCCAACGAAUCUACGAGCACCUUUGCCGCCGCCUGACCUGCUCACUCUCCCUCUUCUCUUCCCUUCCCUUUCCUUCCCUUCUGAUGACGAGAGGGCGAGGCGGCGGGCGGCAUGGUGCGAGGGAGACGAGGAGAGAGGUCCAUGGCGGCGCGGUCCGAGCGGCAGCGGCGGCGGCGAGAUCUGCGGGGCAUUGGUGGCGGCAAAGUGGGCGGGGCGGCGAGGUGUGGUGGAGGGAGAGGGCUGGGGCGAGCGGGGCUGGGAUGCGGGAGGAUGGGGUUGAGGGCGCGAGUGCGGGGGAGAGGCGGCUAGGUCAUCUUCACGGGAGCGGGCCCUUUUAUAUCCCGUGCGAGUGAAAUUAUGAAAAUGCCCCCAGCGGGGCAGGCUAUUUACGCGCGGUGGCACGAAACUGGAGUAACUAUUCAUUCCAGCAGUAACUUUUUUUAUCCUACGGACGAGGUCGUUACAGGGGUCGAUCCGACGACCCAGAUCCGAUCAAGCAACCAGAUCCGACAGCCAAGAAUCCCAAAUCGCUGUGGUGCGGGAUGAGGAGCUUCUAUUGUUAUUUCUGGAUGGACGCAAGCGGGCCGCCGACCAUGAAGGAGCGCGGGCGCUACCGGCCGCCGUAGAGUGGGAGCCAUGGGCACUGUCGGCCGCCACCGCGGGAUAGCCACGGGCGCCGCCAGCCGCCGCUGGGAUUGCGAUAGGUGGAAAAGUAGGCGGCGGCGUUGUAUGCUGCCUGAGUGAUGUUGUGCGUGAAGGAAUGCACCAGCCACUAGGGAUAAGCUGCGAGCGCCGCACGUGUUGGGCUAAGAAUUGGGCCGAUAAAGGCUCAGGAUAACUUUCUGUAUGUAUCACCUAGGAGGAGAAACUAAUUAACGAGCGCUCCUUCGGGAGCCUCGCAAUGAUCAUCGUCACUUGGCGCGCUCUCAGCCAUUCGCCACGUGUCACGUUUUGGGCGCUUCCUUUGGAUUUUUUUUAUUUUUUCGCGCGCGUUUUUGGCUUUUUAAAUAGUAUUUUAUUGACGUUUUGGUUUUCCAUUGGUUUUCCCUAGCUUUUCGAACAAAAAAAAUCAAAUUGUUUUUCUGUGCAAACAAACUUUUUUUCGCGAGAGUCACGGUUUUGUUUUCGGGAGAGGCACGGUUGUGCUUUCGCGAGAGGCACGUCCGUGCCUGUUGGAAACGGAAAAAAAUGUGUUUUCUGUUUUUUUUCCUUUCGCGAGAGGCACGGUUUUGCUUCUGCGAGAGGCACGGUUGUGCUUUCGCGAGAGUCACGGCCGUGCCUCUUGGAAAUUAAAAAAACGCAUUUUUUGUUUUUUUCUUUCGUGAGAGGCACGGUUUUGCUUACGCGAGAGCCACGGUUGUGAUUUCGUUAGAGGCACGGGCGUGCCUCUUUCGGAAAGGGAAAAAACCCGUGCUUCCGGUUUUUUUUUUCAUCCGGUUUUUUUCGUGAAAAAAAAGUUUGUCAAAACCUAUCAACAUGGGAUCUAGUUUUAAAGAUCUCAACAUGAGGAAUCCAAGGGCGAAAGCGGUUCGAGAUUUGGAUGCACGGUUUAAGAGAUAAAACGUUUUGAAUAAACGAAUCUAUGAAAAAAGGGAAAACUCCCAGGUUACGACAAGUGGCGCACAUGCAGAGCCACUUGUCACAACCUGAGGAAGUUGAAAUGAUCUCCGCAAGGAGUACUCUUUAAUCAGUGAUUUCGGGAAAAAGGUGUGUUUUUAUCGUGGAUGGGCUAUUGAGUCGGUUAGUUCGGGGAAUUCGGUCAGCUGAGUCCAACGACCGAACCCACCCAAGUAAUUUCGGUUUCUGGUAAUUGCUAACCGAACAAAUAACUGAAGUUUCAGUCCUCGGUUAUUCCGGCUUCGGUCCCGGUUUUUUCGGCUCCGGUUUUCGGUUCUCAGUUUUUUCGCCCACCUAGGCUAGCCGGAGCCACUUGCAGGUGAAAACAUCCAGAUGAUUGGUGGUUUACCUACAAGCGUUUCAAGGGUAAAAAUCUGCCACUGGAACGAAUGGAAGAUAUAGUGCCUGUUCUGGUUUAGGUAAGUGAAAACUCUAAAGUAGUGUGUGAUAGCAGAUUGUACAUGCCUGAGUGCUCAAGAAAUACCCCUGGCAAAAGCAAAUGUAUACUCCCUCCAUGCCAUAUUAGUUAUCGCUCAAACAUAUGUAUCUACUUCUAGAUACAUCCGUCUGAGCGACAAUUAAUAUGAGAUGGAGGGAGUAUUUCUGAACGGAAAAUUACUUGGUAGUAGUUCUCGUUAUGAGGCUUGAAUAAAUUCAAGGCCUUGCACGGAUGCCUUCUUCAUGAUGGUGAAGGAAAUCAUUCCAGAGAUUGCUUAACAUCAAAGUUUAGGAAACCAUUCAGAUUUAUGUCUCUGAACAGUUCUUUGUAAGCAUUUUGCCAUUACCUGCUCAAAUCCCCAGGUUGGGCUCGAGACCAACCAGCCCCUGGGUAUCCUCAGUGUCCAAUGGACAUGCAUCCUCAGUGUCCAAUUGGGGAUUUCCUUUUUAGAGCUUCAGGAGUUGCAUUUGGUAUCAGCUUUUUUUUUGUUGAUAUAUUCUUCUUAGGACAAUUCAAGCCAUUAGAUGUAAAACACUGAGAGACCACAUAACUGAAUAAUCUGUGCUAGGUAUAGCUGUAACUUUAGCUGCACCAGUAUUGCUAGGAUAUGACUCUCUAAGUCUUGCAUCUGAGUCCAGCGGAUAGACUUUGAUGGAAGAUUUGCUCGCACAAGUUGUAGUAUUAGGCGGCACAUUUUAUAUGGCUGAGUGUAAAAUGGAGUAGAUAGCACAAGCCUUGGGAUUUGUGUGACAUCUGCACAGCAAUCAAAGAGGAAUCAAGUGCAUGUAAUUACUAUUUACUCCCUUUUUAAACUAAUAUAAGAUCUUUUAGAUCACUAAAAUAGUGAUCUUAAAAAGAUCUUAUAGUAUUAUCAGUUUACACUUGAUAGGCCUAGCCUCUGCUUUAGCUUUGCAGUUGAUUUCACUCUGGUAGUGUGCGUUUUCCUCGAUAUCUCUUUUAUGCCUACUCAUGUGAAGGACCGCUGCCCUGGUUUCAGGCAACUUGUGCGUGGCUCGUAGGAGCUGUGGAGACAUGGUUGGACUUCAUUACAUGUUGUUGCGACAAUCAAGAGUUGGAAGAGUCCAGAUGGCGGCAGUUUGAUGCUUACCUGUCAGUCUUCUGAUGCGUAAACACAGAGCAGAACACCUUGAUGCUCCAACGGAAUGCAAGAGAAGAACAGACUUGUUGUGGAUGCUAAAUUCUGUGCUUGUUUGUUUUGCUGUCUGUCUCAUUCUGUCAUUCGCCUUGGAGCUUUAGGCCAUAAGCACUCUGGGCGGUUGGCCUUUUCGAAAUUUUAUUAUAUAAUUGGGGCCGUCCGAUCUCUCUUUCCCCUAUCAACCGUCCGAGAAUCGCUGGCCGCUGCCUCGGUAGACUUACGCCUUAAACGCCAGCGGCGUUGACUUGGCUCGAGGUGAAGGACAACGGCCACCCUUGCCGUUGUCUGACAUGCCAACAACGUUGCACAUCUCCGAGUCUGGCUGCUGCCACUUUGAACAUCUACAACUGGAUCCCGCAAACCAUCUCUCAUGACGCGAACCCUCAUAUCUAUCUCAAAUAUGGGGGGAUAUGAGGGCUCGCGGACAAGCCGGGGCGCGCCCGGUCAAUCCGUAACAUAAGACGUGGACCCAUCUUGGACCACCUUUUCUCUUUUUUUAAUUAUUCUUUUCUUUCUUCUUUAUCUACACCAAUCAUGUGACCGGACAUAUGAGGAAGAAAGUGAGAAUUGUACCUGCGCGGAUGAAUAAAUAGGGGAAAACAUUCAUAAUCAUUCGACUGAUCUUUCUCUCUCGUAAGCCUCCUUCUCCAUGCGCCACGUACCCACGUCAGGCUGCCCACCGCUUCGCCCCAGCCUUAUCCUUGUUUUGAGUGAAAAGUAAAGAACGAGAGAGUUUGAAUGAAAGAUGAUCCAUCAGUCUUUAUUGAUGAUAAAAGUGGGGUAUUUAUACCCAGGCGGAAGUACACAUGGUGCUUGGCGGUCAAGUAAACACAUAGUUACUUGAGAGCCAAGGAAUUACAUAGUUGCCUUGAGAACCAAGGAAGUACAUGGUUGCUUGAGAACCAAGCAACCUAUCUAACAAUUAACUUAAUCCUAAUUAGCUUAAUUAAUAAGCAACUAUUCUAUUCUUAACACUCCCCCUUGUACAACUCCUCUUCUUUGGUACAUCCAUCAUCUUAACAAAUUCUUUGAAUAAUCUUGAAUGUCUCCUCCAAAAACCCUGUGGGAAAAAUAUGAGGAGAAUAGUGCAGAUAUGUUGCUAAAACUCCUUUAAACCCAGUGGGAAAAAUAAUAAGGAGAAAAUGAUGCAACAUAUAAUGAUUAUUGUCUCUUGUUAACUCAUAUGAGAAAAACCUUUGAAGAAGGAGAAAAAUCAUUGGUGAGUUUAGAGAACAAUUAAUAUGUCUUGAGGACUUCCUUAAAAAACCCCGAUAGGGAAAAUAGAAAGUAUGACGUAUUAUCUUUGAUAAGAUAUUGCCUCAUUAAAAACAAUUAUGAGAAACUUUGAUAGAAAACUCAUAAGGGAAAAGAGUGCGAUAUGACAUGCCAUUGAAAACUCCUUUAAAACCCAGUGGAAAAAAUAUAAGGAGAAAGUUUAUGACAUAUAAGGGCACUUGUGUUUAUAUUGUCUCGUUAAAAACCUUUUAUGAGAAACCAUUAGGGAAAAACUCAUGAAGGGAAAAAGAGUACAACAUAUGCAAUCUUACAAUUGUUAACAGGUUAUAGUUUUGGAGAUUACUCCCCCUGAAGUUUGCAAAUCUGGAGGAUGUGUCAUACCAAUUCCAUUGCCAUGACCAGGGCAUUGUGAAUAAUAUGUAGGAUUUUCACAAUAUUUUGUUUGCAAAUUGUUUCCUCACUUUCUGUAAUUCGUAAGGAUAAGCGAUUUCAAGCAAUGUGCUUUAUGAUAUUGCUCUUCAUAUAACCUGUAGGUAUUGAGUAACACAAGUGGUAGAAUCUUGAUAAAAUCAAGUUAUGUGAUUCUGAUGAAUUUCAACCACAUGAUUUCGAGUGUGGUUAAUCAUUCUACUGAGCCAUGCAUAUUUUGCAAUGCUUUUCAAGAAUGAUAAGUGGAAAUAGUCGUUAAAGUAUAUUUAGAUGACUUUCAUGAGAAGACUAUUAUAGUGAAUUCAGUCAUUGAUAUGGCAUUGUUGGGAUCAAAUAAGGAGCCAAUAUCAUUACAUCAUAUUACGGUCAUAUUUUUAUUUUCCUGAUAGAAUUGUCCAAGAUUUAUUGUGAGCUUGAGAUAUAAGCUAAUAUUUCUUAUAUCAACCAUAUAUCUUUUGUUAGGGGUUGCACUCUGAACAAAGAUAGCAAAUAUAGUGUCAGGCCUGACAAAGUUUGCAAUGAUAUGAGUGCAUUGACAUUAGUGAGAUAUAGAACUUCAGGUCCUGAUAUCACUUCAUUAUCACCCCUAGGUAUGAAUGGAUUUGUACCCUAUCAGGGGUACUAUGACCAUAUUACAUGUCUUUUAUUGGUAUGAUAUAUCCACAUUGAACUUCUCGUACAUGUCUUGGAUAUAUGUAGACUGGUAUGUAUUCUUGAGAGAAUGCUCAAGUUGUAAGCUAAAUUUGGUUAAAUCCAAAUUUCCCGUCUAGAGAUGAUUAUGUGUAUGUUUAGGUCUUGUAUAGACAUUUAUGAUGAGGUCAUCAAUAUACACUGAGGUGAUGAAAGGAUAUCAAAUUUUGCAUUCCUUUAUUAAACACAUAAACAAUCAUCAUUAUUCGAGUAAUCCUUUUGAAGAAGGAACUCAUUUAGUCGGUAGUACCAUAUGAUUUUCAACUAUUUCAAGUCAUAGAGUGACUUAUGAAGUUUUACACAAAACUUGUUGCGAUUUGCUUUUGGAUUUGGAAGUAUAAGCCCUUCAGAGACUUCAAUAGAGACUUCCAAAAUAAGUGACUCAUAUGAGUAUGUAGCCACUUCAUCCAUCAACUGCAUGGAUAUUAUUAUUAUUUUUAUUGCCAACGAUAUUUAGUAUUUAGUAUCGAAACAUAAUUCCACUCAUACCAAGAGGGUAUGUUACAUCGUAAUCGAUGUCGGGUCUCUGCGUGAACCCUUUUGCUACAAGCCUCGCUUUCUCACCACCUCAUUGACUUUAUCUAUGAAUGAGAAGUUUUUUUUUGUAUUCCAUGUGGAAGAUACUUAUGAGGAGUAGGUAUUACUACGGUAAAUACCACUCGUUUGCAGAGCGAGUGCUAUUCUUCAUUACUUGCUUCCUUUUAUGUGAACCAAUAUGAGUGCAAGAGGCACUCUACCAUGGAUUUUGGUUCAGGGCCCAAAAGGUUUUAGCAAUUUGAGAAGAAAUAUAUGUCGACAAAUGUAGUCUUUAGUUUAUAUGAUUCUGAUGGAGUCAUUGAAGUUUGUGGAUAAAAUAUUUAUUCCUUUUUAACUCCUUGUGAUUUCCUAUAACAAACGGAGUCAAAGUGUUUCGAUGUCCCAACACCAAAACAUUUGUGCACAUUUAUGUCGGGCUUUGGAUGAUGAGCAUCCAGUGAGGUGUCCUUCAACUUGAUGUUGAACUACAUUUACUGGUUGAGGAUUUGAUUUCCUCUGUUUCCGCGGAAGCAUAUGAGAAAUUGUAUCUCGUCUUGUCAGAUUUUCUCCCCCUCUUGCUCUCAUUUGGGGAGAAGAGUGGUUUAUCAGGUACCUCCACUCUUUCUAACACUUGCAGCAAUAUAGAAUUUAGUAACACCUUGUUAUCAGUAAAUGUAUGUGGCAGAUUUGCAAUGUGUUGCAAAUAUAUGAUUCUCUAGACUUCUAGUUUAGAUUCUUUGAGUACGUGGAUAUAAGGAUUGAAUGUUAAUAAGAUUUCUAAUUAUUAUUUUUUCGACAUUCCUUGUGGUACUUAUCUCCCCCUAAUGCCGAAAAAUAUCCUUAUUGUUGAUGCAAUCAGCAUACGGGCUAUAAAUAAUUUUGAUUGAUGGAUAAAUUGUUAUUCCUCACAUAGAUCCCUAAUUUUCUGUGAGGGCCCAUUGAUGUAUGCCGGAGUGGUGAUAUCGAUAUGUAACCGAAUUAUCGCAGAUGGGAAAUACUUUGUAGAUUUCCACGUGAUUACUACAAGGGGAAAGUAGUAUGAUAUGCAGUUGGUAUGAUUUAGAUCAUACUUACGGUGUGUAAGGCCGUAUUUAUCCAGCAAGAGGCUGGUAAAUUUACAAUUCUUUGAGAUUGGUCAUGUAAUUAAUUUCACUAUCUUUGAUAAGAAAUUUAGUUAAACCAUUCUGGGUAUGUACAUAGAGUACAAAAUAUAAUCGGACAUUGCUUGUGAAAUGAUUUCAAUGACAUUGUCCAUUCGAAUGGGUUUUUCGAUCCUGUUUACAGGAGAAUUUGCUCCUUCUUUGAUAAGUUGAGAAAUUUAUUUAGUAAGAUCAUGCAUGGUUGUGUGUGAUAAGAGACACACUUGAAAUCAUUUUAUAAAUGUUCCUAUGAGUACCAUGAAGUAUCUAAAUAAUUCCACAUAAUGGUUAACUAAUCCACAUGUAUCUUCUUAAUGUAUUCAAGGAAGAUUGAGUGGCUCAUUUAGAAUUUUAAGGUGAGAGUGCCUUAAAACUGAUUCCCCCUACGACACAUGCGGUGCGCAUAAAAUCUGAUGAUUUGGGAUAUUUUGCAACUUGUUAAGUAGUGACCAACAGAAUUGUCAAUAAUUUUCUAAUCAUCCCCAAACCAGGAUGGAUAAGUCUAUCAAAAUAGAUAUUUAAUUUAUUAAUAUUUAGAAAAUUAUUUCGUACGCAACAAUAGAAGUAUGAAUUUAAACAUACAUACAAAAUUAUCGAAUAUUGUAUCCAAUGGAUAUGAUAUUGGACAUUUUACUACAUGUAGUAGUACAAGUAUAUGCUAAUAAUAUGUUGGGAUAAUUAGGAGAUCACCCGAGGUCUCUGAUAUGUGCAAAUGAGUUUAUCCUCUAUUUUCUGCAUUAGAUUGUGGUCCUCCUUCUGAUGAAGAUUCUGAGAACAAUCCUUUACCAGAAUCUGGUUGUUAUUUGCAAAUUUUUAAGUUUAUCCCAUUGAACUUAUUGGCCUUUUAAUAACUUUGCGAUGUGGUUCGACCAUAUGUUUGAGGGUUUGGAAAUCAUAGGUACAAUAGUUAUAUAACCACACAUUUGACAAACUUGAGAGUUGUCUUUUGAUCAUUUGAAAACGACAGAUUCCUAUUAAGAGAUAAUUCUAUCUUUGGUUGUCUAUGAGCCUCCACUUUACUUCGCAUUCCUCAUGGUUCUCUUUUGUGACCACUAACUUGCAUAGUAUUCUCGGUACGAGCAAGAAUUUCAAAUAAUGGUAUAGCACCCAUUGGGUGAAUCUGAUGAUUUUAAGAAAUUUCAUGUUUCUUCAUCAUAAAAAUGGUAGUACCAUCAUAAGAGGAUCAAGGGAUCUCAGCUUGAAGUUGAUUAAGUGAGAGAGUUGUGAGCUGCGAUAGACUUGAGGUCUUGAAAAACAAAUGAGUGAUCAUUCACGAUGUGCCCAUGGCAGCAUGUUUCUCUUAAGUGAAAUAUUUGAGAUGGAUAAAUAUUCAUCCAUUAUGUACUUAGUUUGAGAACUAAGUGAAGCUGGUGGCAGACUAAAUGCAUAUGAGCGUUGCAACUUUAGAGUCACCACCAAAAACAUAGACGUUGAAUGUUUAACAUUGGUUAGUCACUAUGAAAGUAUAACCACAAUGUGAUGUGGAUACUGCAAAAGUGUUGAGACACUCAACCGUUGCCAUAUAAAUUAUGAGAUCAUCUUGAUGGAUGGACGACACUAUAAUUAUAAAUAGUGACAUAAGCUCAAUUGCCAUGUAUUUUACCAAUGUAAGAGAAGGUAAUCCCUAGGGUAUUAAAAUAUUUGCGUAAUUUUCUAUGAAAUAUUCAAGCAAAGUGAGGCUUGAAUUAGCACAAGAUUACCAUUUGGCAUAUAGUGAUUGCAAAUGAACAAUAUUUACUAUGAGAGUAAAUAAUUUUAGUGAACAACAACAAAUGCUUCUGAGGAGUAAAUUUUAUAAAUGUAGCUGAGGCUAUCGGGGUCUUAUGUGUAUACCACAAAUUAUAUAGGUAACACUUUGAAGAUAAUCACCGAAUGCGGUGUAGAUCUCGCAGUAAUAGAAAACAUAGUCUGACUUUUGUCAGUAGAUGUUCAUAUCUCUAUCACCUUAUGCUAUGCUAUAUUUAAGAAAAUCACCUUGAAGGUAGUCAUAUGUCUCAGUGACAUGAUGUAGACCUUGCAGUAAUAGUGGAUAGUCUGCAAAAUUUUGCAGUAGAUGCCAGUAUUACCUUAUGAUAUCUUGAGGUAGUCACAUAUAAUAUUAAUAUUUGGAAGAGCACUUUGAAGGUAGUCAUCUUGUUAAAAUAACAAGAUGUAGACCUCACAGUAGUGGUGGAUAAUCUGCAAAUGGUGCAGUAGAUACCACCAAUACCUUGUGAUUCACAAAUAACAUUUGGGCUAGUCAUAUUAAGUAUGACACUUUAUAAUUUUUAUUAGAAUUUCAUUAUGAUUUGCAAGAAAAAUUGAAAAAAUUUCUGUUGCAAGAUCAUAGUUGUUGUCAUAAAUCGCAUCUAAUGCUAGGGGUAAAGAUAUAGAAAAUGUCUCACAUUUCAAAGGAAUAAGGUUUGAAAUGCUAGCAAAACAUUGUUUGCAAUAGUAUUACUGAGGUAAUACAUGUAAAUGCGAAAAUAUUUAUAUUUCAACAAUAUUUAAAGACCCGAGGUUUUAAAAUAGCAAAUUUUACAUGUUGUAAAAUGAUGCAUAAUUAUAUUUUAUGCAAUUGAGGAGAUUUGUUCUAAGGCCAAGGGCUUAAAAUGUAUUGUAUAUGAGAACAACCAGAAGUCUAAAUUCCUAAAAAAACAAUCAGUAUUAGGGCUAUGCUAUGAAGUUCAAAUGAACCAAUGGUAAGGCUGUAAACUACAGGUCCUCUUCGUUAAUGAAUAAAUUAGGAAGGGCAUAAAUGCAAAUGCGAUGAAGGGAUAAGGUUUCCCCAAUUUCUCCCGUGCAGUACGGUUGGACAUUGGAGCAACCAUGGUUGCAUCCGCCGGACCGCCGCCGACCGUGCGCUGUAGUCGCGGAUCUUCUGCGGGGAGCCGCGUAAGAGAGGAGAAGGGAGGAGGACCGAGGGUGGACGGGCCGUGGCUGUGCGCCGGAGGCGCCACCGCCAUCGCGCGUGGAGGCGCAUCCGUGUUGAGGCCGAAGGCCAUGGCUGAUUGGACCGCCGCCACCAUUUGAACAAGUGCGCGGUUCCACGUCCAAUGCAAUUUAGAGGUAUGAACAUGACGAAUUGAAGAAAUACCAUAUGGGUGUUGACGGUUCUUGGGUUGGAUUUUCAAUCAAUUGACCGUGGAUGUCAAUUCCCAUGUCUGUUCGUCUUUUUCUCUGCCGAUGUCUCGCUGAUGGAAGGAUGUGAACAUUCCCAAUUCCUGGUCACACAGAUUAAACAAGGAUCAAUCCAUUGCAGUUUUCCGCUGCUUACCUUUGUUGACUGAAAAUUGUGGCGAAUUUCCAGUUUCUAUUUUUUUUUCUUGAUUAUAAUGAAUCUGUUUCUUCUUGAGCGUGCGUUUAAUCUAUUGUUUCCUCUCCCGUAGGAGUUCAUGUUGACACACGCUUGACACACGCUUGUGUCUCUCUUGCCGUGAACAGCGUCAUGGCUGCUGAUGUUUCUUCGAUUUCGAUUCCUUUUUUUUCCUUGUGAUGAAAUCACUCGCGCUGGAGGACUGGAGCCGUAGGCGCCGCCAAUCCACGCUCCGGUCAAACACGGACGAAGGCCACGCCGCCGUCGCGCCGGUAGGGGCGGUCGCUUGCCAUCUGAUUCUGCUCCGGGAGGAGCAGGUAUGGGGUCGAGGCCCUCGGUUGUCUCCGUCGGAUGCGCGCCUAUACAUUGCUCGAUUGGAGAGCAGCAAGUGCUGAUAACGUGUUUUGAGUGAAAAGUAAAGAACGAGAGAGUUUGAAUGAAAGAUGAUCCAUCAGUCUUUAUUGAUGAUAAAAAUGGGGUAUUUAUACCCAGGCGGAAGUACACAUGGUGCUUGGCGGUCAAGUAAACACAUGGUUACUUGAGAGCCAAGGAAUUACAUAGUUGCCUUGAGAACCAAGGAAGUACAUGGUUGCUUGAGAACCAAGCAACCUAUCUAACAAAUAACUUAAUCCUAAUUAGCUUAAUUAAUAAGCAACUAUUCUAUUCUUAACAAUCCUAUCUCUAACGAAGCUCCUCCACUCAUUUCUUCUUUUUUUUCUCCCUCUUACAACUCAUCGCCAGAGGAGAUUAGCCAUGGUGAGCACCACCACCAGCAGCUAGAAAAUCAGAAGAGUUUGACGCCGGCCGUGGGCACUAGCAGUCGGAGCUCCUCCCUUGCAUUGCUGCAGGCGGCAUAGCUGCAAAGCAGCGUCCAUGGAGCGGAGCCAUGGCGAGCACCACCACAGCAGCGAGGGAACUGGGAGGUGCUGCUGGCAAUCGAAACGGCGCUCGUCGACGAACGCCGGUGCUGCUUUCAUCCACGGCCGCCGAGAUGGGACACAGCAGCUUGUCCACGGCCGUUGCGCUACGUUGCGCUAGGUUGCAAUCUUGUCUGCAUUGCGAUGCAAUCUGGUGUGCCGAUGGAGCGCUCGGCGUCGGCGGCGGAGCUGCAAUGGAGCGCUCGGAGCCGGCGGCGGAGCUGCAAUGGAAGUGCAAGUCGCCGGCGGCGGAGCUGCAAUGGAGCGCUCGGAGCCGGUGGCGGAGCUGCGACCCAGUGUGUGGGGACUUUUGGCAAGGCUGCGACACAAGGAAGACGAGGCCACGCUCGGCGUCGUAUUGCGUGAGAGCGACACGGUCAAGUUGACUAAUCGUACGUCUGCGAGAGCUUUGAUCGGACGGCUGGGACCCGAUUGAUUUUUCAUGAAAUCAGUCGAAUGAUUUUUAGCAGCCGUCAUAAAUAGGGGUUUAAAAUAAACACGUCCCAUGCAUUUAAGGGAUCGAAUUAGAGGUACGUGGCUGAAGAUGCUCUUGCACCUCCAUGCAUGCAGCCCAAAAUGGUCGAGGGCGAGCAAACGAGGAUUUCUUUCACGAGCCUGAUUUGGCCGUGCCUCCUGGACGCCGUUGUCGAGCCAUGUCCGUCCACCAAGCUACUCCUCGAUUUACUGAGCCAGUGAAUAUCCUGGAACGUUGGGACGUUUUUUAAAUUUUUGUUUUUAUUGGUUCUGAUGUUUUUUUUCUUGUUUUCUCUAUUAUUUCUAUUUCUUUCGUCUUUUUGGUUUCUUUUCAAGAAGCACAGUUGUUCGUCUAUGCUUUUUGUUAAACUGAAACACGCAUGAAGCAUAAUUGUGUUUUCAUAGUCCGCAUGAAGCACAAUUGUGCUUAAGUGUUUUUUUCUUCAAAAGUGAAAUACGGUAGUGCUUCGGCUUGAAGCGCAAUUGUGUUUUUGUGCUUUUCACGAAAGUGAAGCACAAAUGUGCUUCCGUGUGAAAGCAUAAUUGCUUUUCCCGGUAAGUGAAUAACAAAUGUGCUUCCCUGUGAAACAUACUUGUGCUUUUAUGGUUAUUUUCUUUUUCUUUUUAUGGUUACCGUUUUUCAGUAUUUCGUCUUUUGUCUCUAUUUUUUGUUUGGUUUUUGGGAUUGGGCCAAAAAAAUGUUCGCCGAAACCUGUCAAAGUUCGAGGAUCUCAACGUGAGAAAUGCAACGGUAAAACGAUUCAUGAUUUGAACGGAUGGUUCAAGAGAUAAAUUAUUUUGAUGAAACAACUCUACAAAGAAAAGCACAAACAAAUCCACAUGCCUCCCGUGCAUGUGAAGAAAUCUCACCAAAAAAUUCAUAGGUUAUGACAAGAAUCGCACAUAGAUUACGCCACUUGUCACCACAAGAGAAGAUGGGACUGUCCCUUGCAAAAAGCACCCCUUAAGGUUGUAGAGCACAGGGACGAUGCCAUCAUAGGGCAUGUAUGAUCGACCGCCUCGGGUAGUCGCGUAAUGUGAUCCCCAAGUGGCCAGGUCCAACCAUGAUCCGUUUUGGAGUAGACAUGUCUACCUGGAUAUGGAACAAGAAAACUGGGGACCUCCUAUAUGACGCAUUUUGCCUCGUAUAGGAGCUCGACGCAGACGGGCGACGCUCGACUUGGCCAGCCCACCGACACGAAAGCCACUUGGGUUUCCUAGUGCGCAACCUAAGAAAUCCUAGAAAACAAUAGAGCACGUGAGGAUUGGAUCCCACGAUCUCGCUCACACCAUACUUGCGACUGCGACCAGUUAGCCACUCCACCACACAGUCGCUGCUGAACAUGAAGCGCGAAACUCUAUAGCACACACAUCAUGGUUGAUAUAUGGAAAACAUUUUAGAAACAUUUCUUGAAAAUUGUAAACAAUUUUUAAAUGCCGCAAAUAUUUUUUGACAUUCCAAAUUUGUUUUCUGAAAAAAUGUGAACAACUUUUGUAAUAUAGAAUUAAAAAACACGGACAUUUUUUGCACAACCCAAACAGUUUAAUGAAGUUGUGAACAAAUUUUUAAAAAAAGAACAUUUUUUGAAAUUUCUGUUUUUUUUGAAAGCACAAACAUAGAAAAAUUCGAAAAUGAGAACAUUUUUGAAAUACCUGAUUUUUUAAAUUGCGAUUUUAAUAAAAGAGAACAUUUUACGAAACACGGACAUUUUUCAAAAUUGUGAACAAAAUAUGAAAAUAAAACAUUUUUUGAAAUUCUUGAAAAUUUGUUGAAAUUGGCAACAAAUUUUAAAAAUGAGAACAUAUUUUGAAAUUCCAAAUAAUUAUUACAAAUUUUCAAACAAAAGAAACAUUUAAAAGGAAAUAGAAAAUAGGAAAUAAAAAAGAAAUAAAAAAAGAAAAUGAGAGAGAAGCAGAACAAGAAAAAAAGAAAAAGAAAACGAGAGAGAAGGUUUUAGAAGGUUCCCAAAACCAAUAAAAACCGCUAGGAACCCUCUAGAAGAUUCCCAAAACCAUAACGUUGUACAUAUUACAGAUUGGCUGGCCCAAUCGCUCGCUCGGUCGCUUCCUAUGUGCGAUUGGUCAGUAGUUUGAUGCAAAAUGCAUUAAACAUGGAUUUCCGGAAAACUUAUCGUGGUCUAGACUUAAGUAACAAAAAAGGUGUAGAAGUAGCCCAGUUGUAGCCCAAAUUUGAUAUCUAUAACAGUCUGAGUGCCGACCGUGUAGGUAAUCCUUAUUUUGCGCUUCAGGCGCCAGUUAUAGGCCAUUUUGCUUUUUUUUAGGUAAACUGCUAAGUUUUAUUCAUUAAUCCAUAUGUCUACAAGUACUCCCUCCGUUCCUUUUAUGUAAGGUGUAUUAUUUCCGGCACGGUGACCAAGACACAGAAAUAUAUGCAUGUUAGGACGAAAUUACCCUUGACAAAUUUAUUUGUUAGUGCUAAGUAAAUCAGUUAGUCAAGGAAAUUAAAGUAUGAGAUACAUGCAAUUGACAGAGAGAUACUUUCCUUCUUUUGUUACAAGGAGAGAUACAGACAAUCAGGAGAGAGAUACUUUCCCUUUUUCUAGAGGGCUAACAAUAGAAUUAUGUGGAAUUAGAAAAAAUGCACCUUACAUUUUACAAUUUUAUCAAAAAACAAAUACACCUUAUAUAAAGGAACAGAGGGAGUAUUACAUAAGGAUCAUGUGGUUGCCCCAACCAAAUGUGGCGGCCUUGAUCCAACUUAAGAGCAUGCGUAGCUAGUUUAUGUGGCUCAACAUUUGAGCUCCUAGAUUAAAAUUUAAAAACACAAGAAAUGAAGAGAUAUUUCCACUCCAAAAUCUCCUUGACUACUCCACCAUAGUUUCCACCCUACACUUCCUUGAUAUGCUUAACAACUGUUUCGCAAUCCGACACGAUCACUAAGUUUGUAGGCCAAGAUCUUCUGCUAUUUAUAGUCCCUCCCGGCAUGCUAUAGCUCAAGACUGGCUGGGUCCGUCAGGCCCCGUAUAAAAAAAACAAAAGAACCCAAAUAUGCACCUGAGCCAUCUCUACACACCGCGGUCGCUGUCCCAACACCACGAGAGACGGCGGCAUCAACAUUGAUCUUCAAAUGACCCUGAACAGCCGGAAUCCAUCUCCUCGGUGCUGCUACUGCUGUAUUACAUACCCAGUUCCCACUAGAGGGGUGAAUCUCUCCCAGCUCCAUAAUGAAGUGGGUAAUGAACAUAUAAGUGGACAGAGGGCUCUGAUCAAUUCCCUCAUGAAUCAGUCUGUGCCGCGCCCACCAUAUAGGCCAGGUAGUGACUGCUUAAUAAAUAUCUCAUGCGAGAGCUGCUCAAACAGAGUAAACAACUAGUCCUCGCGUUCUGUUCAUUAUUUUCCAUCAACUCUUCGAUCAGCUCCUUGUCAACUAAUGACCACACACAACGAGCAGCCGUACAAUCCAGUAGGUUGUGCCUCCAAGAGUCCAGCAUGCCACAAAUAGCGCAAGUACAUGUUGCCGACAUAUUCUGGUGCAUUCUCACGUCUUCCGUCGGUAUGGAAUGAUGCACUAGUCUCCAUAAAAAUACUCGGAGUUUCGUCUCCAUAAAAAUACUCAGAGUUUCGUUGGAACGUAAGUUUUCCAUAGUUUGACCCAACUCUUAUCCUCUUCCUUCCUACUCUAGGGCCCUGGGCGCUGUUCUAACAAGUCUUCACGCCGGCACUUUGUUUCAACUAUCAUACGAUAAGCAGACCUAAUAGAAAACUUCCCAGAUUUUUCAUGCAUCCAUCACCAGUAAUCAUCCACAACUCAAGCAAAUAGGGAUUUGCAGUAUCUCAGCCGCAUCACAAGGCAGAAAAACAUGGUUUACGAGCUCCAUAUUUCAUCGGGCGUUCACUGUAUCAAUUAAUUUAGAGACAAGUUGCGGUGGAUCCAGCACUCUAGACACCAUCGGCCUCAUGAACUCCGGUCUUGGGAUCCAGUCAGUGUUCCUGAUUUUCAUGGAGGAACCAUCACCCAGUGGCGGAGCUUGGGACACAUCUUAGGAGGGGCAAAUGGGCUGGGGGGAGGGGGGGCAACCAACAUCAGGUUUAGGCUAGAUUUCUAUGAAUCUGUGGGCAGUUUACUCAUGAUAAUAUGAACAAAUCUCCUGGGCAGGGGGGGCGAUGGCCCAGGUUGAUCUUCACUAAGCUCCGCCACUGCCAUCACCUAUGCAUCUAACCAAGCCCUAUUUCAUGAUAUCCCUACCCUCCAAUAUUGAUCUCCAAACCUGGGAAGGGUGAUUUGAUUUCCCAAGUUGGCCUCAAGGAUGGAGCAUGAGGGAAAAUACACAAUCUUCAGUAUGCGAGCACCGAGAAUGUUGAGGGAAACUAGAAUCCUCCAAGAUUGUUGACCAAGUUGAACAAUUCAAAAUCCCUGAAACCAAGGCCACCCAUGUACCUUGGCAUAGUCAUCUUGUCCCAUGAAACCCAAUAGGGCUUUCUCUUCCCCUGUUUGCUUCCCCACCAAAAGGCCCUAAUAGCUGAAGUUAUUUUUUCACACAACCCACGUGGGAGCUUGAAACACGACAUCGAGAAGACAAGAAUAGCUUGUGCCACUGAUUUGAUUAAAACAUCUUUACCUGUUGCUGAAAGUGUUUUCUCCAUCCACCCUCUAAUCUGUUCCACAGCCGGUCAGCAGAUACUUGAAGGCACCAUUUUUGGAUGAUCCUACAUCCCCAAAUAUUUCUCACUUAGUUGCUCAUUGGGAAAUUGUAAAAUAAUCUUCACCUAUGCUCUUACCACUUUUGGACACCCUUUACUAAAGAAAAUUGAUGAUUUGUCUUUAUUUACUCUCUGUCCAGAUGCUCUAGCAUAGGCAAAAUGGACUCCGCCGACGAGUUCUUUUUCCGUAAAUUCCUUUGCGACUCCGACGAUUCCUCGUCCGAUGAUGAUGAGGAGAUCUUGGUGUUGGGGAACGUUGCAUGAAAAACAAAAAAUUUCUAUGCACACACAAGAUCUAUCCAUGGAGAUGUAUAGCUACGAGAGGGGAGAGUAUCUUCAUACCCUUGAAGAUCGCUAAGCGGAAGCAUUUAUCAACGCGGUUGAUGUAGUCGUACACCUUCAUGAUUCGUCCUGAUCAAGUACUGAAUGUACGGCACCUCCGUAUUCAGCACAUGUUCAGCUCCAUAAUGUCCUCGCCUUCUUGAUCCAGCAAGAGGGGUGAAGUAGUAGAUGAGUUCCGGCAGCAUGACGGCGUGGUGAUGGUGUCGGUGAAGAACAAUCCCGCAGGGCUUUGCCAAGCACAACGGAAACUAGACAGAGGAUAAACUAGAGUGACGGGGUUGCCAGCACACGGCUUAGUGAAUUUCGAUGUGUCCCGUGUGCUAGCCCAGCCUCUCUAUUUAUAUGUUGAGCCCUUGGUUAAAACUUGGAGUAAAAGCCUUCUCGAAGUCGGUUUUGCCCGAUAGGCAAGAGUCCUUCUCAGACUCGAGGACCAGACGCCACAGUCCUUGGCCUCUGGCCCCGACGCCAUGGGCCUCGGCAUCUUGCCCAGGGCCAGACGCCAGGGUCUCCGGGAUUUGGUCUCUGACCUCCGCAAAACUUCCUUUUGCACCGACCUAAAGCCCCCUGGGCCUUACCCGUUGGCCUAACCAUAUCAUCAUAUAUAUCAAUCUUUACCUCCGGACCAUUCCGGAGCUCCUCGUCAUUUCUGUGAUCUCAUCCGGGACUCCGAACAACAUCCGGUCACCAACAUACAUAACUCAUAUAAUAUUAUAUCGUCAACGAACGUUAAGUGUGCAGACCCUAUGGGUUCGAGAAUGAUGUAGACAUGACCGAGACUAGGGGUGGAAAGUGGUAGCGGAUAAUCCGAAAUAUCCGAUAUUCGUAUUCGAGAAAAUGCCUAUUCGUAUCCGAAACAUCCGCAUCCGAACCAAAAUGGAAAUGGAAAUUAUUUGUAUCCGAAUUUAUUAAACAAAUAAAAAAUAAAAUAUGGUAGGAGACUUUAACACAAAUAUGGAUAUGGAAGUGCAUAUAUCCGUAUCCGAAUAAGAUUAUGAGAGGUAAUUUUCAAAAUUCUGGACCAAAUAUUCCAAUUAUCCAACAUAAAAGCCAAAUAAGUGGUCAAAUUUUACUCUUUAUAUGAUUAAACUUAUAAAUUAUUAUGCAUUACAACAGUAUUUAUUCAUAAACCUAUUUAUCAUUGACUUAUUGUAUGUCACAAGUUGAUUAUUUCAGGUCACACAGCUAUCGACUAAUAUACUUAAGCAAUAUGUUGAUAUUAUUCGUAUCCGUUCCGAAUCAAGAAAAUAACCGAUACAUAUACGUAUUCGAAUAAUAUCCGAGCCGCAUCCGUAUCUGAUAACAUCCAUAUUCGGAUUCGUAUUCGUUUUGAAAAUAUGGAAAUGGAAGUGGUAAGAGCACUAUCCGAUCCGCAUCCGAUCCGUUUCCACCCCUAACCGAGACGCUUCUCUAGUCAAUAACCAAUAGUGGGACCUGGUGGAUGACCAUAUUGGUUCCUACGUGUUCGGUACUAGAUCGGUUGGAUCGUGAAGACGUUCAACUACAUCAACCAAGUUAACCUAACGCUUCCUCUUUAGGUCUACGAGGGUACGUGGACACACUCUCCCCUCUCGUUACUAUGCAUCUCCUAGAUAGAUCUUGCGUGAGCGCAGAUUUUUUUUUGAAAUUACAUGCUACGUUCCCCAACAAUUUGUGCGCUUUACCAAGACCAAUGUAGUGAAACACACCAUGGUAUGUUUUGUAUCUUUUCUCUUUUUUCCUUCAUAACACUAUAUGGCAAGAUGUCUAACAUUGUGUGCUCUAUUUUGUUUCUAAUCACGGGGAACAUAGAAAUUUUCUAUGCGACGUGGUUUAUUUGCAAGCUUUAGAUGUCUUGAGCAAGAAUCUAUUAGAUUAAGAUGGUUGCAAAACGGAAUUAAAAAGUAUAUGUGUGAAGCAAUUAUUGUUGAACUAAUAAAAAUACAUAUGCCCAUGUUCCAACACAUGGGUAAUUAACUAGUCUACUAUAGACAAACAUACAUUUAGCAAUCAACACCUUUCUUCUACCAGAUAUGUGUCAACACAUGCCAUUGCCUCCGGGAUUACCUCCAUGACGCCGCCUUGGUUACCUUCCCCUCUCCAUUCCAACAGCCUUGUCGGUGAUUAGAUAAGUGGGGCAAUGUCCCUUCGUAAUUCUUAGUUAUAGUGAUUCCUUAUAUUUUUACCUUAGGUUUUGGUUUCACGACGGCAUCGAUGAGGUGGCGAUCACAUGGAUGGUUGGAAGAAGGUCUCUUUGGCAUGUCUCUACCUUGAAGACAUAUGAUCUGAUGCUUACGAAGGGCCAGUGAGGAUAGGUGAUGCGAGAUAUCUUGGCUCCCUUUGGGUCUGGCACUUGAUGUGUGGAUAAAAGAGAGUGGUUGGCUAGCUUUUGGUGCAGUGACUUUGACUUCUUCUUUCAGUUCUAUCUAUGGCAAUCUGAUUUCUUCCACCCUGUAGAUUGGUGGAGUAGGAUUGAAUGUCUGCGCUGUUCAAUGGGUGACUAUUGCAUUCAACGGUUCAAGAAUGCACUAGAUGAUGCUCCUUCAACGGUUACUAUAUUUCUUUGCUAUCAAUGGGUGACACUUGCAUUCUUGAAAGGCUUAUGUGACGAGGGUGUCCGCAACUCUUCCUUUUCCGUACAAUCUUCUCAGUGCAUUCUUCAAGCUCAAGUAUAUGACAAACUGUCGAAGGAAGAUGUCAAGAAAGGCAUUGAAUAUGAUAUUAUUUUUAGAGGUCGUUUUAUGCCACGUUACCCCUUUUGUACUAACUAUUGUAUUCACUAAUAAAUAUAAUAUGUAAGAUGCCCUUGGGUAUCAUCUCUAAAAAAAUAUAGACACUUCUAUCAAGAUAUUUGUCGGAUACUUCUCUAUAGUUCAAACACUUUGUCAUUAUGUUGCAGGACACAAAAUGCAGUAGGACGUAUACAUGUCUUAAGCCUUAUAUUUACUAUUUAUUAACCAGGAUAUGUUCUUUCUGAUUGUUCAUCCCCACCUCUCACGUAUAUUUUACUGCUAAGGAUAUUCUGAAAAAUGACAAAGUAACUUGAAUUCAAGAUAACUAAUCUACAAUAAACCAAACUUAACCACGCCUGUCAAAUCUCUAAAAAAUUAUAAUAAAUAUAUAGAGGCCUGUAAUUUCAUAUUUAUCUUUAGUUUUCUGCAGGCCUAGAAAGAGCCAAUCUAAAAUAUUUUCCUAAAUGCAAAUUUAUCAAGAUGAGAACAAUUCAUGUUAUUUCUAUUGCAAAAUGCAAUUCAGAAUGAGACUAAACGGUUGGAAAUAUUAAACUUAUGUGGUUAAUUUUGUUAGGUGUAAUAAAAAACUGUAUUUACAAAAUAAUCAUAAAACUUCUUCCUGGAAAUACCAAGGGUUCAUCAGUCCAAUCAGACCAGUUUCUGUAUUCAAUGUAAGACCAACCAUGAGAUGCAAGUCUGUCUCUUCAAGCUCUUAGCUGAUGCAUAAGAAAUCGGGGCAGCAAACAAGUUCUGUCGAAAGGUUUGAUGAUUGGGCAGGAACAAAUUCGUUUGAAUCAACGAGCUACUGGUUAUGGGCAGCAAGUUAGUAUUAUUCUUGCUCAAUAUAAUGCAUGCAUUUUCAUUUUUUGUGUAGGUUGCUAUUUGUGAUUCACCUCAAUGUACUUGGUUUUUUGAUAGUUCAUUUCUCAUACGACAUGAACUUCUGGUUGUUCUUACUGAAACUGUAAUUCAAUAUGACCUAAGUUAUACAAUAUGAUUUUUUUUCUUCAAUUGAAAAUAAUAAUUUCUGGAUUUUACAUUCUUGCAAGGGUAGAAGAGGUCGCAGACAACCAAUUUAUAUGUGGACACUUCAUAUUGUCAGUGGGCAUACUCUUGGUCACUUAUGUGCUGCAAUGGUGCCUCUUUUUUUAUUCUCAUGUUAGCGAAAAAGACAAGGCCAAUUUAACCAGAAAGGUACGAACUGAUAAUUCCAUAGACUCAUGUGUAAAGUGGAAUUUGAUUCAACCAUGCAUGAUUUUUCUUACCAAACUUAAUGUGGUGAGUACCAUUCCAACAAAUACUUUCCUCGUUCCUUUCCAAAUAUUUGUGUUUCUUCAUCCAGUCUAGUUCUGCUAACAAUUUCACCACAUUAAGGUUGGAUUUGCUCAUGUGACUUGGUUGUUUGUUUGGUUGUGUGGUGAAGGGCAUGUGCUUGGAGAUGGGGAAGUGUCUCAUCCAUGAUCCACACAAUAUAUUUGAUGCAUUUAUUGGAUACAUUUAUUUAACAAUCAUUGAAAAAAUUGCGAAUGCCACUGCGUUGCAUCAUUAUGCCAUACAUUAUUUUAUUGCAUUCAUCUGCUUAUGCAUUUUGGCCACCACUAGAGUUUCCAUUGUUUUAUAAGUAUAUUGUAAUUUUUAUGCUGACCAAUAUGUCCAAAUGCUCUUAUAUAUCAACUACUCAACCAUAUACAGUGCGUGUUUAUGUCUUGUAGGGGUAAAAUCAACAACAAAAACAACAACAACAACGACGACGACAACAAAGCCUUUAGUCCCAAACAAGUUGGGGUAGGCUAUGCUGAAACCCAUAACAUCUCACAACGAACUCAUGGCUCUGGCACAUGGAUAGCUAGCUUUUACGCACCUCUGUUCAUGGUUAGUUCUUUGGUGAUACUCCAGUCAUUCAAAUCUCACUUUACGGACUCCUCCUAUGUCAAGUUUGGUCUACACCGACCUCUCUUGACAUUAUACUCCUUAAUGACCCUCUCUUUGGAUGGUUGAGCUACCCCCGGGCUUCCACCACUUGUUCUAGUGACUUUGGCACGCUUAUCCUGUUGGGACACGAAUCCGAAAGAGAAAGUCAUUCACCACAAGCUUAUGCUGAGGGACAACACUCUCUCCAGGUAUCACCUUACAAUCAAGACAAGCACGCCAGUCUUCUCUUCUCAAGAGGAUGAAAUCAAUCUCACUAGAGUGUUGACCACUACUAAGAGUCACUAGAUGUGAUUCGUGUUAAAGUGGAUGUUAGCUAUGAUCAUCGUUGGCUAGAGGAAAUCUUAAGACAUCUUCUCCUUCUUGAUUCCUGAUGCGAUAGCCAAAGCCUCGAUGCAUCUCUUCAAAACCGAUGUUAGAUGUAUCCACGUGGCCAUUGAGGUAUCCUCCUAUGAAGAGCUUCUUGCCAAUAGGUACUCCUAACCAUGUUCUCCAUGCCUUCCUAGAACUCCUUGGUGUUCUCAUUGUGGCCUACUUGCGGGGCAUACACGUUGAUAACAUUUAGAACUAAGUCCCCAUCUUGACCAGGACAAUCUGGUCCCCACGCCUCCUGACGUCUACCACUCCACACUUGAGGCUCUUGUUGAUCAAGAUGUCUAUUCCAUUCCUAUUUGUAGUUGUCCCCGUGUACCAUAGCUUGAAGCCGGUAUCUCCACCUCAUAUGCUUUCUAUCCUCUCCAUUUGGUUUCUUGGACUCAAAAUGAUAUCAACACCUCUCCUCACCGCUGUAUGAACUAGCCCCUGAAGUUUACCUGUCAGGGCUCCUAUUUUCCAGCUACCUAAACGAUUCCUCGUGGGCUCGGCUAGCUUCCUUAUUCUUCACAGUCGUCGAGUCAAAUGCGAAGACCCUUCAUUUUUCACUACACGCGGGCGUCGAUGUGACGACCUGAUCCUUGCUCACUUGUCACCAUAUCCAGAUCAAGAUACUACGCACCACCUGGUGGGUGACGGCCCGGCCCUUGCCCAUUUGACACAACACCAGGGUUCUGAUAUGGCGCAUCGCUGAGAGGGUUACGCCCCAAAGAUUUUCUUCUAGGUUCAUCUCCAUUAAGAGUGGCUGAGUUUUUGAUAUUGGCUCGCCAAGCCUAUCACAACCCUCGUUUACUCGGGCUUGGGACUGGCUAUGUUGAGACAACAUAGGCGGAGUUGUCUUGUAGGGUACAUGUCGGUGUCAAAAACGGCAGAUCUCGGGUAGGGGGUCCUGAACUGUGCGUCUAGGCGGAUGGUAACAGGAGACAAGGGACACGAUGUUUUACCCAGGUUCGGGCCCUCUUGAUGGAGGUAAAACCCUACGUCCUUCUCGAUUAAUAUUGAUGAUGUGUAUUACAAGAGUGGAUCUACCACGAGAUCAAGGAGGCUAAACCCUAGAAGCUAGCCUAUGGUAUGAUUGUUGUAAUGGAGGUUAUGUCCUACGGACUAAAGCCCUCCGGUUUAUAUAGACACCGGAGAGGGCUAGGGUUACACAGAGACGGUUACAAUGGUAGGAGAUCUACAUAUCCGUAUUGCCAAGCUUGCCUUCCACGCCAAGGAAAGUCCCAUCCGGACACGGGAUGGAGUCUUCAAUCUUGUAUCUUCGUAGUCUUGGAGUCCGGCGGACGAUGAUAUUCCGGUUGUCCGGACACCCCCUACUCCAGGACUCCCUCAGUAGCCCCUGAACCUGGCUUCAAUGACGAUGAGUCCGGCGCGCAUAAUGUCCGGCAUUGCAAGGCGGGUUCCUCCUCCAAAUAAUCCAUAGAAGAUUGUGAACACCAAGAUAGUGUCCGGCUCUGCAAAAUAAAUUCCACUUUCCACCGUAGAGAGAAUAAAAUGUACACAAGUUCAAUCUGCUGACGUAUUUUGCGGCAUGACGUCACACCACUACCAAGCGUUUACUUGAAUCGUUUUUUAUUAUACCGCCUCAGCGCGUUUAGCGAAGCGGUUUCCUUGGCACGUCUUGUCGAAGCAGAGAUCGUGUUCCCCUUAUUCUGGGAUUCUCGUCAAUACGGACGUGGGUAACCCAAUCGCGCCAUUGAUGGUGGCACUUGGGAGAUAAGCGAGUUUUACCAGGCUAGUGGGGACGCAUAGUCUUCGUCCGCCUAUAUAUAAGGGAUAAGGAUUCACCUUUUCACCUACGCCUUCUUCCUCCUUUGCUUAUCCAUCUCCGCGCACUCGAGCUCCAGCGCCCAAGUUUGCGCAUCUCGUCUCAACCUUCUCCGACCAUGUCCGGAGCGGGAGGCAAGUGGUUGGCCUGCACCGUUAAGGAGGAGCACAUCACAAAGUUGCACAGCGCCGGAUACCUUUCCGGCGACGUCACGCACCGGCUGCCCGACGAGGGGCAGCUCAUCCCCACCCCCAGGCCCCAUGAGAGGGUCGUUUUCCUCCCCCACUUCCUCCGCGGACUGGGCUUUCCACUUCACCCCUUUGUUCGGGGGCUCAUGUUCUACUAUGGCCUGGAUUUCCAUGACCUGGUGCCGAACUUCAUCCUCAACAUCUCGGUGUUUAUCGUCGUGUGCGAGGCCUUCCUCUGCAUCCAGCCCCACUUCGGCUUGUGGCUCAAGACCUUCAAUGCCAAGCCGAAGGUAGUGAAGGGCACUCAAGCGGAGUGCGGAGGCGCCAUGUUGGGCAAGAUGCCCAACGUCCUUUGGUUCGAAGGGGCCUUCGUGGAAUCCGUCAAGGGGUGGCAAUCGGGGUGGUUCUAUAUCACCGAGCCGUGCGACCCUACGUGGGCGGCGGCCCCCGAGUUCAGAUCCGAUAUCCCUACGCAGCUCACCUCCUGGAAAGAGAAGGGCUUGCUGUGGGGUAAUUCGAAGGAGCUUACGGGACUCCAAGCCUGUAUCCAAAAGCUGGUGAAUAAGAAGCUCAGGCUGGUUAACAUGGUCCAAGUCAUGCUCGUCCGCCGGAUUCUCCCAUGCCAAGAACGGGCAUUCAAUCUGUGGGAGUUCGAUCCGGAACAGCACCAAGUGUUGAGCGGGCUCUUCGACACGACAUACGAAGGCGCCUGGAGGGUGCUGUUUAAGGGCGCCGAAGCCCCCGCAUCCGCGACGGAAGAUCGCGGAUUUCACUCGCGGCGUCCAGCUGACGAGGUAAGUGAUUCUACCCCUUUACAGGACACUUAUUGUUAAUAGAUUGAUUCUAAGCGGGUUUCAAUCUCCCUUUUCCUUUGACAGGAAUGGAUGAAGAAGGCCGAGCAGCUCAUCUGCCCGGCUCCCAUGCUAGAAGACCCAGUGGACGCCCGUCUAGCGGGGCUGCUGGUUCCGGCACCGCAUGUGGUGCUGGAGAAGAAGGCCAAGAAGGUGGCCGCGGGCACUCGAAAGAGUUCCCGUUUUCAGGUCUCCGACGACUCCGAGGCGGACUCCUCCCCCGAAGAUGAGGAGGAGGAAGAAGACUCUCUCCCAGAGGAGGGAGAGAGAAAGAGGAAGGCCUCCCCAACAGGGAAGGCCGAAGGGUCCAAGAGGGGAAGAACUAUUCCCCCGGACAGCUCCGCCAACACCAACGUUGGCGAUGAAGAGUGGCCCUCAAGGGCCAGGCCUUAGGCGAGAUCGUAAGUAUCCGGAUCCCUGAAUGAUCUGCAAUUUCUUUUGUGUCACAUAGUGUCCUUCUAAUGCCGCAUACUGCCUGCAGUCCGGCCGACGAUGAUCUCCCUGCUUCGUCGAGCGGGUCGUUGGCUGCGUCGGAUGUGGAAUCCAUUCCGACUGCCUCCACCCCUCGCGCCGCUGAGGAUGCAGAGGUGGGAUCCCGGGAAGGGACCCAUGACAGGAGGCUCCGGAGGCGCCGCAAGGCAGCCUCCCGGACUUUAUGCCGGAACCUGCAGUAGUUCCAGAGUCCGGCAGGCGGCCCCUUCGCAAGAAGGGCAAGACCGUGACACCGGCGGCCUCCGUCCAACCGGAGGCGCCAGACAACUUGUUGGAGGCGCUCAAAGGCGCUUCCAUCGAGGAAGAACACCGCACUAUCAUGAGUGCGGUGAUUCAGAAGGUUCAGCUCGCCAAGAGCGGGCUGACCGAAGCCUGCAGUAGCCUUCUAACAGGCUUUGAGGUAAGAAGUUUUAAAUUAUGUAAUGUAAUACCGCAUAGACAGUAGCCCCUGAUGCUCAGUUCGGUGUUCGGAAAGAAAAGUCGGACUGAGGAUCUAAAAAGAUAUAUGCAGGGUUGCUAAAAAAUAUGUCAAUAUGGGUUUGCAGGCUGCGCUGCUGACCUCUGCCGCACUGACUGUGGAGGUCGGUGCGUUGAAGCAGCAUCUCGAGCGGUCCGAGCAAGAGCUCGGCCGUGCCAAGAAGCAGCUCGAGGACAAAAAGGUGAGUAACACCACUUUGAAAAGUUACCUUACAGAAAAGGAUUUAGGUUGCAAUAGGAAAAUAACAAGGAUAACAUGGGUACUGCAGGGGCCACGAACGAGGUGGUAACCUUGAAGGAGGCUGUGUCCGCGGCCGAACGCAAUGCGGCCGCGGAACGGGCAGAGCGAGAAAAGCAGGAGGCACGGGUGGCGGAGGUGCGGCAAGAGCUUCAGGCUCUCAUGGAGAAGCAUGAGAGUUCGGAGCGCGACUCAAAGACUCGAGAGUCCAAGCUCGCCUCGGCUCUUGAAAGUGCCAAGUCCGCCAAGGCCGAGGCCCGUAAGGCCCUUCAGGAGGUUGAAGAUGUGAAGAAGAUAGCGGCGGGUAAGGCAUUUUUCAUGCAAAGCAAGCAUGUUAAUGUAAACUACCUAACACUUGCCCGAAUUCGGAGCUCUCCAGGGGCGUUUGCAGAUCUGCCGCACAGUGUGUCCGAUGCCGCCGCAUUCUAUCGUGGCGAGGAGGGGAGCUCAAUGGAGAAGGUCUUCUGGUCUCAGUACGCUGAGGCCGGCCAUUCGGUGCCCCCUAGCGACCAGCUGAAGCAGCUGGUCGAGCUCCACAAGGCGGCUGAGGAGGCCAUGAAGGGCCUCAUAGUCCGGCUGUGGCCUGGACAGGCCAUGCCUGGGAGCUACUUGGGCCUCGUGCAGCGGCUGGUGGAUGCGUGCCCCCGGGUGGAGGCCAUCAAGCGCUCCGCCUGUAUUGAAGGUGCUCGUCGGGCCCUUGCCCGCGCAAGGUGCACUGGGGCAGGCUAGAUGCGGAGAGGCUUCUUACUGACCCGCCGCCAGCGGGCAAGGAGUAUCGUACGCCCGAAAUGUUUUAUAAGAUCGUCCUGAAGGGUGCCCGCAAUAUUGCGGAUGAGUGCCCCAGAGAUGUAAUUAUUGAGUAAACUCGCUAUGUAUUAUCCUGUGCACUGAAAACUUUGUUCAUAUGCGCUAAGCAACGCUUGUUUAAUUUAAAAUAUUACCUUCUGUGCGGCCGUUUAUAAAAUCUGAGAGAUGACAAGUCGUUGGCUUCAGCCCCCAUGCCACUAGUGCUAGGGUGUUCGGGAUAAACUUGAGCACUCUUGUUCCCAUUUUUGGGUCCAUCUAGGGAGGCGCUCAACACAACGAACAAGGCAACCAGACUUAAAAUGCUUGAACACUCUCACUUAGCCAUAGAAUUCUAUAAUUUUAAAUUUCGGCGAAGCCCCUGGUAUUCGGAAGACCGAAUUCGGGGCGCUAUCCACGCCUUCGUCGGACAUCAUCCGGUACUUCGCUCGAAGCGGCAUAAGUCUUUAGGGACCCGAAAAGACCUCUCGAACAGCGACCAGUCUCUCGCCUUAUCAUGCCAGUCAGUUUUAGCUUUCUCCACUGAGGCGCUCGCCCAGCUCAACCGGGGCGCAUUCGCAGUGGUUCUCCCGGUGCCACCUUAGCCGACAGAACGGAACGUAAGGCACUAAAACGUGGGAGCCGGGCAAUGUUGGGGAACAUUGCAGAAAAUUAAAAUUUUUCCUACGGUUUCACCAAGAUCCGUCUAUGAGUUCAUCUAAGCAACGAGUCAUGGGAGAGAGUUUGCAUCUACAUACCACUUGUAGAUCGCGUGCGGAAGCUUUGCAAGGUGAUGAUGGAGUCGUACUCGACGUGAUUCGAAUCACCGAUGACCAAGUGCUGAAUGGACAGCACCUCCGCGUUCAACACACGUACGGCACGGGCGACGUCUCCUCCAUCUUGAUCCAGCAAGGAGGAAGGAGAGGUUGAGGAAGACAGCUCCACCGGCAGCACGACGGCGUGGUGAUGGUGGAGAAGCAGUACUCCGACAGGGCUCCGCCGAGCACACAACGGAGAAGGAGGAGAGGUGUUGGGGAGGGGAGGGCUGCGCCUUGGCUUGUGGUGCUGCUGCCCUCCCCUCACCCCUCUAUUUAUAGGGGGAAGGGAGAAGGGGGCCGGCCCCUCUAGAUCCCAUCUAGAGGGGGGCGGCGGCCAAGGGGAGGAGGGGAGAGGGUGGCUUGCCCCCCAAGCAAGGGGGGGCGCCUCCUCUAGGGUUCCCCCCUCAACCCUAGGCGCAAGGGCCCAAGGGAGGGGGUGCGUCCAGCCCACCAGGGGCUGGCCAACUCCCCAUGCAGCCCAAGUGGCCCCCCUGGGAGGGGUGGCCCCUCCCGGUGGACCCCCGGAACCCUUCCGGUGGUCCCGGUACAAUACCGGUAUGCCCCCGAAACUUUCCGGUGUCCUUUUAACAACUUCCCAUAUAUAAAUCUUUACCUCCGGACCCUUCCGGAACUCCUCGUGACGUCCGGGAUCUCAUCCGGGACUCCGAACAACAUUCGGUAGUCACAUACUAGUCUUCCUAAUAACCCUAGCGUCACCGAACCUUAAGUGUGUAGACCCUACGGGUUCGGGAUGAAGCGGCCCGGACCAAUGGAUCUGUCAAUCUUCUUGCCGUUACUAGUCCUUUCUUGCUUCAGCAGUAUUGUGGGAUGAAGCGGCCCGGACCAACCUUACACGUACGCUUACGUGAGACUGGUUCCACCGACUAACAUGCACUAGUUGCAUAAGGUGGCUGGCGGGUGUCUGUCUCUCCUACUUUAGUUGGAGCGGAAUCGAUGAACAGGGUCCUUAUGAAGGGUAAAUAGAAGUUGACAAAUCACGUUGUGGCUUUAACGUAGGUAAGAAAACGUUCUUGCUAGAACCCUAAUUUAGCCACGUAAAACUUGCAACAACAAUUAGAGGACGUCUAACUUGUUUUUGCAGCAAGUGGUUUGUGAUAUGAUAUGGCCAAAGUUGUGAUGAAUGAUGAAUGAUCUAUAUGUGAUGUAUGAGAUGUUCAUGCUAUUGUAAUAGGAUUCACGACUUGCAUGUCGAUGAGUAUGACAACCGGCAGGAGCCAUAGGAGUUGUCUUUAUUCUUUUAUAUGACCUGCGUGUCAUCAAGAAACGCCAUGUAAAUUACUUCAUGAAGACACGAUGAUGGAAAUCAUGAUGAUGGAGAUCAUGGUGUCAAGCCGGUGACAAGAUGAUCAUGGAGCCCCAAGAUGGAGAUCAAAGGAGCUGUGUGAUAUUGGCCAUAUCAUGUCACGUUUAUUAUUUGAUUGCAUGUGAUGUUUAUCAUGUUUUGCAUCUUGUUUACUUAGAACGACGGUAGUAAAUAAGAUGAUCCCUCACAAUAAAUUUCAAGAAGUGUUCCCCCUAACUGUGCACCGUUGCGACAGUUCGCUGUUUCAAAACACCACGUGAUGAUCGGGUGUUUUAUUCAGACGUUCACAUACAACGGGUGUAAGACAGAUUUACACAUGCAAACACUUAGGUUGACUUGACGAGCCUAGCAUGUACAGACAUGGCCUCGGAACACAGAAGACCGAAAGGUCGAGCAUGAGUCGUAUAGAAGAUACGAUCAACAUGAAGAUGUUCACCGAUGUUGACUAGUCCGUCUCACGUGAUGAUCGGACACGGUCUAGUUUAACUCGGAUCAUGUAAUACUUAGAUGACUAGAGGGAUGUCUAAUCUAAGUGGGAGUUCACUAAUAAUUUGAUUAGUUGAACUUAAUUAUCAUGAAUUUAGUCUAAAUAUUUUACAAUAUGUCUUGUAGAUCAAAUGGCCAACGUAGUCCUCAACUUCAACGCGUUCCUAGAGAAAACUAAGCUGAAAGACGAUGGCAGCAACUAUACGGACUGGGUCCGGAACCUGAGGAUCAUCCUCAUAGCUGCCAAGAAAGAUUAUGUCCUACAAGCACCGCUUGGUGACGCACACGUUCUCCCUGCAGAACAAGAUGUUAUGAACGCUUGGCAGGCACGUUCCGAUGACUACUCCCUCGUUCAGUGCGGCAUGCUUUACAGCCUAGAGCCGGGGCUCCAAAAGCGUUUUGAGAGACAUGGAGCAUAUGAGAUGUUCGAAGAGCUGAAAAUGGUUUUCCAAGCUCAUGCCCGGGUCGAGAGAUAUGAAGUCUCCGACAAAUUCUUCAGCUGUAAGAUGGAGGAAAACAGUUCUGUCAGUGAGCACAUACUCACUAUGUCUGGGUUGCAUAACCGCUUGACUCAGCUGGGAGUUAAUCUCCCGGAUGAUGUGGUCAUUGACAGAAUCCUCCAGUCGCUUCCACCAAGCUACAAGAGCUUUGUGAUGAACUUCAAUAUGCAGGGGAUGGAAAAGACCAUUCCUGAAGUAUUUGCUAUGCUGAAAUCAGCAGAGGUAGAAGUCAGGAAGGAACAUCAAGUGUUGAUGGUCAAUAAAACCACUAAGUUCAAGAAAGGCAAGGGUAAAAAGAACUUCAAGAAGGACGGCAAGGAGGUUGCCGCGCCCGGCAAGCAAGCUGCCGGGAAGAAGCCAAAGAAUGGACCCAAGCCCGAGACUGAGUGCUUUUAUUGCAAGGGAAGCGGUCACUGGAAGCGGAACUGCCCUAAGUACUUAGCGGAUAAGAAGGCCGGCAAAACCAAAGGUAUAUGUGAUAUACAUGUAAUUGAUGUGUACCUUACUAGUGCCCGUAGUAGCUCCUGGGUAUUUGAUACCGGUGCAGUUGCUCACAUUUGUAACUCAAAGCAGGGGCUGCGGAAUAAGCGGAAACUAGCAAAGGACGAGGUGACGAUGCGCGUCGGGAAUGGUUCCAAGGUCAAUGUGAUCGCCGUCGGCAUGCUACCUCUGCAUCUCCCUUCGGGAUUAGUUUUAAACCUUAAUAAUUGUUAUUUAGUGCCAGCUUUGAGCAUGAACAUUGUAUCGGGAUCUCGUUUAAUUCGAGAUGGCUACUCUUUUAAAUCUGAGAAUAAUGGUUGUUCCAUUUUUAUGAGAGAUAUGUUUUAUGGUCAUGCUCCUAUGGUGAAUGGUUUAUUCCUUAUGAAUCUCGAACGUGAUGCUACACAUAUUCAUAGUGUGAGUACCAAAAGAAGUAAGGUUGAUAAUGAUAGUCCCACAUACUUGUGGCACUGCCGCCUUGGUCACAUAGGUGUCAAACGCAUGAAGAAGCUCCAUGCUGAUGGACUUUUAGAGUCUCUUGAUUAUGAAUCAUUUGACACGUGCGAACCAUGCCUUAUGGGUAAAAUGACCAAGACUCCGUUCUCAGGAACAAUGGAGCGAGCAACCGACUUAUUGGAAAUCAUACAUACUGAUGUGUGCAAUCCAAUGAGUGUUGAGGCUCGCGGUGGCUAUCGUUAUGUUCUCACCCUCACUGAUGAUUUAAGUAGGUAUGGGUAUAUCUACUUAAUGAAACACAAGUCUGAAACCUUUGAAAAGUUCAAGGAAUUUCAGAGUGAGGUUGAAAAUCAACAUGACAGGAAAAUCAAGUUUCUACGAUCAGAUCGUGGAGGAGAAUACUUGAGUCACGAGUUUGGCACGCACUUAAGAAAAUGUGGAAUAGUUUCACAACUCACGCCGCCUGGAACACCUCAGCGUAAUGGUGUGUCCGAACGUCGUAAUCGCACUCUGUUAGAUAUGGUGCGAUCUAUGAUGUCUCUUACCGAUUUACCGCUUUCCUUCUGGGGCUAUGCUUUAGAGACUGCCGCAUUCACUUUAAAUAGGGCUCCGUCGAAAUCCGUUGAGAAGACACCGUAUGAAUUAUGGUUUGGGAAGAAACCUAAGCUGUCGUUUCUAAAAGUUUGGGGAUGCGAUGCUUAUGUCAAGAAACUUCAACCUGAAAAGCUCGAACCCAAGUCGGAAAAAUGCGUCUUCAUAGGAUACCCAAAAGAAACUAUUGGGUACACCUUCUACCUCAGAUCCGAAGGCAAGAUCUUUGUUGCCAAGAAUGGGUCCUUUCUGGAGAAAGAGUUUCUCUCGAAAGAAGUAAGUGGGAGGAAAGUAGAGCUUGAUGAAGUAUUACCUCUUGAACCGGAAAAUGGCGCAACUCAAGAAAAUGUUCCUGAGGUGCCAGCACCGACUAGAGAGGAAGUUAAUGAUAAUGAUCAAGAUACUUCUGAUCAAACUCCUACUGAAAUUCGAAGGUCCACAAGGACACGUUCCGCACCAGAGUGGUACGGCAACCCUGUCUUGGAAAUCAUGUUGUUAGACAACGGUGAACCUUCGAACUAUGAAGAAGCGAUGGCGGGACCGGAUUCCGACAAAUGGCUAGAAGCCAUGAAAUCCGAGAUAGGAUCCAUGUAUGAAAACAAAGUAUGGACUUUGACUGACUUGCCCGUUGAGCGGCGAGCCAUAGAAAAUAAAUGGAUCUUUAAGAGAAAGACAGACGCGGAUGGUAAUGUGACCAUCUAUAAAGCUCGGCUUGUCGCUAAGGGUUAUCACAAGUUCAAGGGGUUGACUACGAUGAGACUUUCUCACCGGUAGCGAAGCUGAAGUCCGUCCGAAUCAUGUUAGCAAUUGCCGCAUUCUACGAUUACGAAAUAUGGCAAAUGGACGUCAAAACGGCAUUCCUUAAUGGAUUCCUUAAGGAAGAAUUGUAUAUGAUGCAGCCGGAAGGUUUUGUCGAUCCUAAGAAUGCUGACAAAGUGUGCAAGCUCCAACGCUCGAUUUAUGGGCUGGUGCAAGCAUCUCGGAGUUGGAACAUUCGCUUUGAUGAGAUGAUCAAAGCGUUUGGGUUUACACAGACUUAUGGAGAAGCCUGCGUUUACAAGAAAGUGAGUGGGAGCUCUGUAGCAUUUCUCAUAUUAUAUGUAGAUGACAUACUUUUGAUGGGAAAUGAUAUAGAACUCUUGGACAGCAUCAAGGCCUACUUGAAUAAAAGUUUUUCAAUGAAGGACCUUGGAGAAGCUGCUUAUAUAUUAGGCAUCAAAAUCUAUAGAGAUAGAUCGAGACGCCUCAUAGGUCUUUCACAAAGCACAUACCUUGAUAAGAUAUUGAAGAAGUUCAAUAUGGAUCAAUCCAAGAAAGGGUUCUUGCCUGUGUUACAAGGUGUGAAAUUGAGCUAAGCUCAAUGUCCGACCACGGCAGAAGAUAUAGAAGAGAUGAGCGUCAUCCCCUAUGCCUCAGCCAUAGGUUCUAUUAUGUAUGCCAUGCUGUGUACCAGACCUGAUGUUAACCUUGCCCUAAGUUUGGUAGGAAGGUAACAAAGUAAUCCCGGCAAGGAACACUGGACAGCGGUCAAGAAUAUCCUGAAGUACCUGAAAAGGACUAAGGAAAUGUUUCUCGUUUAUGGAGGUGACGAAGAGCUCGUCGUAAAGGGUUACGUCGACGCUAGCUUCGACACAGAUCUAGAUGACUCUAAGUCACAAACCGGAUACAUGUAUAUUUUGAAUGGUGGGGCAGUAAGCUGGUGCAGUUGCAAGCAAAGCGUCGUGGCGGGAUCUACAUGUGAAGCGGAGUACAUGGCAGCCUCGGAGGCAGCACAUGAAGCAAUAUGGGUGAAGGAGUUCAUCACCGACCUAGGAGUCAUACCCAAUGCGUCGGGGCCGAUCAAGCUCUUCUGUGACAACACUGGAGCUAUUGCACUUGCCAAGGAGCCCAGGUUUCACAAGAAGACAAGGCACAUCAAGCGUCACUUCAACUCCAUUCGUGAAAAUGUUCAAGGUGGAGACAUAGAGAUUUGUAAAGUACAUACGGACCUGAAUGUAGCAGAUCCGUUGACUAAACCUCUCCCUAGAGCAAAACAUGAUCAACACCAGAAUUCUAUGGGUGUUCGAUUCAUCACAAUGUAACUAGAUUAUUGACUCUAGUGCAAGUGGGAGACUGUUGGAAAUAUGCCCUAGAGGCAAUAAUAAAAGCAUUAUUAUUAUAUUUCCUUGUUCAUGAUAAUUGUCUUUAUUCAUGCUAUAAUUGUGUUAUCUGGAAAUCGUAAUACAUGUGUGAAUAACAGACAUCAACAUGUCCCUAGUGAGCCUCUAGUUGACUAGCUCGUUGAUCAACAGAUAGUCAUGGUUUCCUGACUAUGGACACUGGAUGUCAUUGAUAACAAGAUCACAUCAUUAGGAGAAUGAUGUGAUGGACAAGACCCAAUCCUAAACAUAGCACAAGAUCGUAUAGUUCGUUUGCUAGAGUUUUCCAAUGUCAAGUAUCUUUUCCUUAGACCAUGAGAUCGUGUAACUCCCGGAUACCGUAGGAGUGCUUUGGGUAUGCCAAACGUCACAACGUAACUGGGUGACUAUAAAGGUAGACUACGGGUAUCUCCGAAAGUGUCUGUUGGGUGACAUGGAUCAAGACUGGGAUUUGUCACUCCGUAUGACGGAGAGGUAUCACUGGGCCCACUCGGUAAUGCAUCAUCAUAAUGAGCUCAGAGUGACCAAGUGUCUGGUCACGGGAUCAUGCAUUACGGUACGAGUAAAGUGACUUGCCAGUAACGAGAUUGAACGAGGUAUUGGGAUACCAACGAUCGAAUCUCGGGCAAGUAACAUAUCGAUGGACAAAGGGAAUAGUGUACGGGGUUGAUUGAAUCCUCGACAUCGUGGUUCAUCCGAUGAGAUCAUCGUGGAGCAUGUGGGAGCCAACAUGGGUAUCCAGAUCCCGCUGUUGGUUAUUGACCGGAGAGUCGUCUCGGUCAUGACUGCUUGUCUCCCGAACCCGUAGGGUCUACACACUUAAGGUUCGGUUACGCUAGGGUUGUAGGGAUAUGUAUAUGCAGUAACCCGAAUGUUGUUUGGAGUACCGGAUGAGAUCCCGGACGUCACGAGGAGUUCCGGAAUGGUCCGGAUGUAAAGAUUUAUAUAUGGGAAGUCCUGUUUCGGGCAUCGGGACAAGUUUCGGGGUUAUCGGUAUUGUACCGGGACCACCGGAAGGGUCCCGGGGGUCCACCGGGUGGGUCCACCUGUCCCGGGGGGCCACAUGGGCUGUAAGGGGGUGCGCCUUGGCCUAAUGGGCCAAGGGCACCAGCCCCACAUAGGCCCAUGCGCCUAGGGUUAAGAGGGGGAAGAGUCCUAGGAGGGUAAGGCACCUCCUAGGUGCCUUGGGGGGGAGGGAAACCCCCCUUGGCCGCCGCACCCCCUAGGAGAUUGGAUCUCCUAGGGCCGGCCACCCCCCCUUAGCACCCCUAUAUAUAGUGGGGGAGAGGAGGGACUUCAUACCUGAACGCCUUGGCCUUUGGUUGCCUCCUUCUCCCUCCCCAACACCUCCUCCACCUCCAUAGUGCUUAGCGAAGCUCUGCCGGAGUACUGCAGCUCCAUCAACACCACGCCGUCGUGCUGCUGCUGGUGCCAUCUCCCUCAACCUCUCCUCCCUCCCUUGCUGGAUCAAGAAGGAGGAGACGUGGCUGUUCCGUACGUGUGUUGAACACGGAGGUGCCGUCCGUUCGGCGCUGGUCAUCGGUGAUUUGGAUCACGUCGAGUACGACUACAUCAUCACCGUUCUUUUGAACGCUUCCGCUCGCGAUCUACAAAGGUAUGUAGGUGCAUCUAAUCACUCGUUGCUAGAUGAACUCCUAGAUGAUCUUGGUGAAACGAGUAGGAAAAUUUUGUUUUCUGCAACGUUCCCCAACAGGGAUCUGGAUACCCAUGAUGGCUCCCACAUGCUCCUCGAUGAUUUCAUCGGUUGAACCACGAUGUCGAGGAUUCGAUCAAAAACCCUGUAUACAAUUCCCUUUGUCAAUCGGUACGUUACUUGCCCGAGACUCGAUCGUCGGUAUCCCAAUACCUUGUUCAGUCUCGUUACCGGCAAGUCACUUUACUCGUACCGUAAUGCAUGAUCCCGUGGCCAACACCUUGGUCACCUUGAGCUCAUUAUGAUGAUGCAUUACCGAGUGGGCCCAGAGAUACCUCUCCGUCAUACGGAGUGACAAAUCCCAGUCUCGAUCCGUGUCAACCCAACAGAUACUUUCGGAGAUACCUGUAAUGCACCUUUAUAGUCACCCAGUUACGUUGUGACGUUUGAUACACCCAAGGCACUCAUACGGUAUCCGGGAGUUACACGAUCUCAUGGUCGAAGGAAGAGAUACUUGACAUUGGUAAAGCUCUAGCAAACGAACUAAACGACCUUUGUGCUAUGCUUAGGAUUGGGUCUUGUCCAUCACAUCAUUCUCCUAAUGAUGUGAUCCCGUUAUCAACGACAUCCAAUGUCCAUAGCCAGGAAACCAUGACUAUCUGUUGAUCGCAACGAGCUAGUCAACUAGAGGCUCACUAGGGACAUAGUGUGGUCUAUGUAUUCACACGUGUAUUACGAUUUCCGGAUAAUACGGUUAUAGCAUGAAUAAAAGACAAUUAUCAUGAACGAUGAAAUAUAAUAAUACUUUUAUUAUUGCCUCUAGGGCAUAUUUCCAACAGUCUCCCACUUGCACUAGAGUCACCAAUCUAGUUACAUUGUGAUGAAUCGAACACCCAUAGAGUCCUGGUGUUGAUCAUGUUUUGCUCGCGAGAGAGGUUUAGUCAACGGAUCUGCGACAUUCAGAUCUGUAUGUACUGUGCAAAUCUCUAUGUCUCCAUCUUGAACAUUUUCACGGAUGGAGUUGAAACGACGCUUGAUGUGCCUGGUCUUCUUGUGAAACCUGGGCUCCUUGGCAAGGGCAAUAGCCCCAGUGUUGUCACAGAAGAGUUUGAUCGGCCCCGACGCAUUGGGUAUGACUCCUAGGUCGGUGAUGAACUCCUUCACCCAAAUUGCUUCAUGCGCUGCCUCCGAGGCUGCCAUGUACUCCGCUUCACAUGUAGAUCCCGCCAUGACACUCUGCUUGCAGCUGCACCAGCUUACUGCUCCACCAUUCAACAUAUACACGUAUCCGGUUUGUGACUUAGAGUCAUCCGGAUCUGAGUCGAAGCUAGCGUCGACGUAACCCUUUACGACGAGCUCUUCGUCUCCUCCAUAAACGAGAAACAUGUCCUUAGUCCUUUUCAGGUACUUCAGGAUAUUCUUGACCGCUGUCCAGUGUACCUUGCCGGGAUUACUUUGGUAUCUAGCUACCAAACUCACGGCAAGGUUUACAUCAGGUCUGGUACACAACAUGGCAUACAUAAUAGAUCCUAUGGCUGAAGCAUAGGGGAGGACACUCAUCUCUUCUUUAUCUUUUGCCGUGGUCGGUGACUGAGCCGAGCUCAAUCUCACACCUUGUAACAUAGGCAAGAACCCCUUCUUGGACUGAUCCAUUUUGAACUUCUUCAAAAUCUUAUCAAGGUAUGUGCUUUGUGAAAGACCUAUGAGGCGUCUCGAUCUAUCUCUGUAGAUCUUGAUGCCUAAUAUAUAAGCAGCUUCUCCAAGGUCCUUCAUUGAAAAACACUUAUUCAAGUAGGCCUUAAUGCUGUCCAGAAAUUCUAUAUUAUUUCCCAUCAAGAGUAUGUCAUCUACAUAUAAUAUGAGAAAUGCUACAGAGCUCCCACUCACUUUCUUGUAAACGCAGGCUUCUCCAUAAGUCUGCAUAAACCCAAACGCUUUGAUCAUCUCAUCAAAGCGAAUGUUCCAACUCCAAGAUGCUUGCACCAGUCCAUAAAUGGAUCGCUGGAGCUUGCAUACUUUGUUAGCAUUCUUAGGAUCGACAAAACCUUCCGGCUGCAUCAUAUACAGCUCUUCCUUAAGAUGUUUGUUAAGGAAUGCCGUUUUGACGUCCAUCUGCCAUAUCUCAUAAUCAUAGUAUGCGGCAAUUGCUAACAUGAUUCAGACGGACUUCAGCUUCGCUACGGGAGAGAAUGUCUCGUCGUAGUCAAUCCCUUGAACUUGUCGAUAACCCUUAGCGACAAGUCGAGCCUUAUAAAUGGUAACAUUACCAUCCGCGUCCGUCUUCCUCUUGAAAAUCCAUUUGUUUUCUAUCGCUCGCCGAUCAUCGGGCAAGUCUGUCAAAGUCCAUACUUUGUUUUCAUACAUGGAUUCUAUCUCGGAUUUCAUGGCUUCAAGCCAUUUGUUGGAAUCUGGGCCCGCCAUCGCUUCGUCAUAGUUCGAAGGUUCACCGUUGUCUAACAACAUGAUUUCCAGGACGGGGUUGCCGUACCACUCUGGUGCGGAACGUGUCCUUGUGGACCUACGAAGUUCAGUAGCAACUUGAUCCGAAGUACCUUGAUCAUCAUCAUUGUUUUCCUCUUCAGUUGGUGUGGGCAUCACAGGAACAUUUUCCUGUGCUGCACCACUCUCCCGUUCGAGAGGUAGUACUUCAUCGAGUUCUACUUUCCUCCCACUCACUUCUUUCGAGAGAAACUCUUUUUCUAGAAAGCAUCCGUUCUUGGCAAUAAAGAUCUUGCCUUCGGAUCUUAAGUAGAAGGUAUACCCGACAGUUUCCUUAGGGUAUCCUAUGAAGACGCAUUUUUCCGACUUGGGUUCGAGCUUUUCAGGUUGAAGUUUCUUGACAUAAGCAUCGCAUCCCCAAACUUUUAGAAACGACAGCUUAGGUUUCUUCCCAAACCAUAAUUCAUACAGUGUCGUCUCAACGGAUUUAGACGGUGCCCUAUUUAAAGUGAAUGUAGCUGUCUCUAGAGCGUAUCCCCAAAAUGACAGCGGUAAAUCGGUAAGAGACAUCAUAGACCGCACCAUAUCCAAUAGAGUGCGAUUACGACGUUCGGACACACCGUUUCGCUGAGGUGUUCCAGGCGGCGUGAGUUGUGAAACGAUUCCACAUUUCCUUAAGUGUGUACCAAAUUUGUGACUUAAGUAUUCGCCUCCAUGAUCUGAUCGUAGGAACUUUAUCUUUCGGUCACGUUGAUUCUCCACCUCAUUCUGAAAUUCCUUGAACUUUUCAAAGGUCUCAGACUUGUGUUUCAUUAAGUAGACAUACCCAUAUCUACUUAAGUCAUCAGUGAGAGUGAGAACAUAACGAUAUCCUCCGCGAGCCUCAACGCUCAUUGGACCGCACACAUCGGUAUGUAUGAUUUCCAACAAGUUGGUUGCUCGCUCCAUUGUUCCGGAGAACGGAGUCUUGGUCAUUUUGCCCAUGAGGCAUGGUUCGCAUGUGUCAAAUGAUUCAUAAUCAAGAGACUCUAAAAGUCCAUCAGCAUGGAGCUUCUUCAUGCGCUUGACACCAAUGUGACCAAGGCGGCAGUGCCACAAGUAUGUGGGACUAUCGUUAUCAACUUUACAUCUUUUGGCAUCCACACUAUGAACAUGUGUAAUAUUACGCUCGAGAUUCAUUAAGAAUAAACCAUUGACCAUCAGAGCAUGACCAUAAAACAUAUCUCUCAUAUAAAUCGAACAACCAUUAUUCUCAGACUUAAAUGAGUAGCCAUCUCGUAUUAAACGAGAUCCAAAUACAAUGUUCAUGCUCAAACUUGGCACUAAAUAACAAUUAUUGUGGUUCAAAACUAAUCCCGUGGGUAAAUGUAGAGGUAGCGUGCCGACGGCGAUCACAUCGACUCUGGAACCAUUCCCGACGUGCAUCGUCACCUCGUCCUUCGCCAGUCUCCGUUUAUUCCGCAGCUCCUGCUGUGAGUUACAAAUAUGAGCAACGGCACCGGUAUCAAAUACCCAGGAGUUACUACGAGUACUGGUAAGGUACACAUCAAUUACAUGUAUAUCAAAUAUACCUUUGGUGUUGCCGGCCUUCUUAUCCGCUAAGUAUUUGGGGCAGUUCCGCUUCCAGUGACCCUUCCCCUUGCAAUAAAAGCACUCAGUCUCAGGCUUGGGUCCAUUCUUUGACUUCUUCCCGGUAACUGGCUUACCAGGCGCGGCAACCUCCUUGCCGUCCUUCUUGAAGUUCUUCUUGCCCUUGCCCUUCUUGAACUUAGUGGUCUUAUUGACCAACAACACUUGAUGUUCUUUCUUGAUUUCAGCCUCUGCUGACCUCAGCAUCGAGAACACUUCAGGAAUGGUCUUUUCCAUCCCCUGCAUGUUGUAGUUCAUCACAAAGCUCUUGUAGCUUGGUGGGAGCGACUGGAGGAUUCUGUCAAUGACCGCCUCAUCUGGGAGGUUAAUAUUCAGCUGGGUCAUACGGUUGUGCAACCCAGACAUCUUGAGUAUGUGCUCACUGACAAAACUGUUUUCCUCCAUCUUACAACUGUAGAACUUGUCAGAGAUGUCAUAUCUCUCGACCCGGGCGUGAGCUUGAAAAACUAGUUUCAGCUCUUCGAACAUCUCAUAUGCUUCGUGAUGCUCAAAACGUUUUUGGAGCCCCGGUUCUAAGCUGUAAAGCAUGCCGCACUGAACGAGGGAGUAAUCAUCAGCGCGAGUUUGCCAAGCAUUCAUAAUGUCUUGGUUCUGCGGGAUGGGAGCGUCACCUAGCGGUCCUUCUAGGACAUAUUGCUUCCUGGCAGCUAUGAGGAUAAUCCUCAGGUUCCGGACCCAGUCCGUAUAGUUGCUGCCAUCAUCUUUCAGCUUGGUUUUCUCUAGGAACGCGUUGAAGUUCAUGUUGACAUGAGCGUUGGCCAUUUGAUCUACAAGACAUAUUUGCAAAGGUUUUAGACUAAGUUCAUGAUAAUUAAGUUCUAAUCAAAUUAUGAACUCCCACUUAGAUUAGACAUCCCUUUGGUCAUCUAAGUGUUACACGAUCCGAGUCGACUAGCCCGUGUCCGAUCAUCACGGGAGACGGACUAGUCAUCGUCGGUGAACAUCUUCAUGUUGAUCGCAUCUUCCAUACGACUCGUGUUCGACCUUUCGGUCUCCGUGUUCCGAGGCCAUGUCUGCACAUGCUAGGCUCGUCAAGUUAACCCUAAGUGUUUUCGCUGUGUAAAACUGUCUUACACCCGUUGUAUGUGAACGUAAGAAUCCAUCACACCCGAUCAUCACGUGGUGCUUAGAAGCGACGAACUGUAGCAACGGUGCACAGUUAGGGGAGAACACUUCUUGAUAUUUUGUAAGGGAUCAUCUUAUUUACUAUCGUCGUCCUAAGUAAACAAGAUGCAUAAACAUAAUAAACAUCACAUGCAAUUAUAUAUAGUUGUGACAUGAUAUGGCCAAUAUCAUAUAGCUCCAUUGAUCUCCAUCUUCGGGGCUCCAUGAUCAUCUUGUCACCGGCUUGACACCAUGAUCUCCAUCAUCAUGAUCUCCAUCAUCGUGUCUUCAUGAAGUUGUCACGCCAACGACUACUUCUACUUCUAUGACUAACGCGUUUAGCAAUAAAGUAAAGUAGUUUACAUGGCGUUCUUCAAUGACACGCAGGUCAUACAAAAAAUAAAGAAAACUCCUAUGGCUCCUGCCGGUUGUCAUACUCAUCGACAUGCAAGUCGUGAAUCCUAUUACAAGAACAUGACCUCAUACAUCACAAUUCAUCAUUCAUCACAACUUCUGGCCAUAUCACAUCACAUGAUCAAUCGCUGCAAAAACAAGUUAGACGUCCUCUAAUUGUUGUUGCAUCUUUUACGUGGCUGCAAUUGGGUUCUAGCAAGAACGUUUUCUUACCUACGAAACACCACACGUGAUUUUGUCAACUUCUAUUUACCCUUCAUAAGGGCCCUGUUCAUCGAAUCCGCUCCAACAAAAGUGGGAGAGACAGACAGCCGCCAGCCACCUUAUGCAACUAGUGCAUGUCAAUCGGUGGAACCGGUCUCACGUAAGCGUACGUGUAAGGUUGGUCCGGGCCGCUUCAUCCCACAAUACCGUUGAAGCAAGAAAAGACUAGUAGAGGCAAGUAAGUUGACAAGAUCCACGCCCACAACAAAUUGUGUUCUACUCGUGCAUUAGAGAACUACGCAUAGACCUAGCUCAUGAUGCCACUGUUGGGGAACGUUGCAGAAAAUUAAAAAUUUUCCUACGGUUUCACCAAGAUCCAUCUAUGAGUUCAUCUAAGCAACGAGUCAUGGGAGAGAGUUUGCAUCUACAUACCACUUGUAGAUCGCGUGCGGAAGCUUGCAAGGUGAUGAUGGAGUCGUACUCGACGUGAUUCGAAUCACCGAUGACCAAGUGCUGAACGGACAGCACCUCCGCGUUCAACACACGUACGGCACGGGUGACGUCUCCUCCGUCUUGAUCCAGCAAGGAGGAAGGAGAGGUUGAGGAAGACAGCUCCACCGGCAGCACGACGGCGUGGUGAUGGUGGAGAAGCAGUACUCUGACAGGGCUCCGCCGAGCACAAAACGGAGAAGGAGGAGAGGUGUUGGGGAGGGGAGGGCUGCGCCUUGGCUUGUGGUGCUGCUGCCCUCCCCUCACCCCUCUAUUUAUAGGGGGAAGGGAGAAGGGGGCCGGCCCCUCUAGAUCCCAUCUAGAGGGGGGCGGCGGCCAAGGGGAGGAGGGGAGAGGGUGGCUUGCCCCCCAAGCAAGGGGGGGCGCCUCCUCUAGGGUUCCCCCCUCAACCCUAGGCGCAAGGGCCCAAGGGAGGGGGUGCGCCCAGCCCACCAGGGGCUGGCCAACUCCCCACACAGCCCAAGUGGCCCCCCCGGGAGGGGUGGCCCCUCCCGGUGGACCCCCGGAACCCUUCCGGUGGUCCCGGUACAAUACCGGUAUGCCCCCAAAACUUUCCGGUGUCCUUUUAACAACUUCCCAUAUAUAAAUCUUUACCUCCGGACCCUUCCGGAACUCCUCGUGACGUCCGGGAUCUCAUCCGGGACUCCGAACAACAUUCGGUAGUCACAUACUAGUCUUCCUAAUAACCCUAGCGUCACCGAACCUUAAGUGUGUAGACCCUACGGGUUCGGGAGACACGCAGACAUGACCGAGACGACUCUCGGGCAAUAACCAAUAGCGGGAUCUGGAUACCCAUGAUGGCUCCCACAUGCUCCUCGAUGAUUUCAUCGGUUGAACCACGAUGUCGAGGAUUCGAUCAAAAACCCUGUAUACAAUUCCCUUUGUCAAUCGGUACGUUACUUGCCCGAGACUCGAUCGUCGGUAUCCCAAUACCUUGUUCAGUCUCGUUACCGGCAAGUCACUUUACUCGUACCGUAAUGCAUGAUCCCGUGGCCAACACCUUGGUCACCUUGAGCUCAUUAUGAUGAUGCAUUACCGAGUGGGCCCAGAGAUACCUCUCCGUCAUACGGAGUGACAAAUCCCAGUCUCGAUCCGUGUCAACCCAACAGAUACUUUCGGAGAUACCUGUAAUGCACCUUUAUAGUCACCCAGUUACGUUGUGACGUUUGAUACACCCAAGGCACUCAUACGGUAUCCGGGAGUUACACGAUCUCAUGGUCGAAGGAAGAGAUACUUGACAUUGGCAAAGCUCUAGCAAACGAACUAAACGACCUUUGUGCUAUGCUUAGGAUUGGGUCUUGUCCAUCACAUCAUUCUCCUAAUGAUGUGAUCCCGUUAUCAACGACAUCCAAUGUCCAUAGCCAGGAAACCAUGACUAUCUGUUGAUCGCAACGAGCUAGUCAACUAGAGGCUCACUAGGGACAUAGUGUGGUCUAUGUAUUCACACGUGUAUUACGAUUUCCGGAUAAUACAGUUAUAGCAUGAAUAAAAGACAAGUAUCAUGAACGAUGAAAUAUAAUAAUACUUUUAUUAUUGCCUCUAGGGCAUAUUUCCAACAGGCAAACCCAACUAUUGACCCAAGACAUGAUUCGGAGCCGAUUCAUAUAAUGCUAUAAGUUCGGGGUGCCGCACUUGUGAAAGUGUUCGGACUUAUCACACCAUAAUGCGGGGAACAUAAGCCCCUGGUGUAUUCGGCCGUACCAAAAUAUACGGGUUCAAGAUGUCAUUAGUGAACAUAUACGUAAAGUAAUGCAAUUACAGGCAAAAAGUGCUGCAUUAUUUAUUCAAGGAAUUCUGCUAUAAGUGCGGAAGGAUACAAAUAGUGCGGUAAGCAAGGGAUUGGACUAAAUAAACAUGUCCCCCUCCAUGGGUGGGCUGUGGACUGGUGUAUAUAAUCGAAUUUAAUGCUUGUAAUGGAAACCACCUGAGUGUUCGUCGCAGCCUUUUUCCCUCCCUGGCUAUUGCAUCGUGAGUUCGGCGGGUUCGCCGCCGGACAGGGCCUCUGAUGAACGGAGUCCUGUGUAUAUAAAGAAGGAAAGUAAUAGUAAAAAGAUUGACACACUUGUGAGCCCCUGGUGUGGUCGAGCCACACUAUGGGUCUGUUGUGGUCGUGCCCCUCCUCCUAGGCCCAUGGUAUCUCCAAAGCGUAAUGAUGUACGCGGAGGGUUGGUCUUGCGAUUGUGCAAGGGCUGGGGUUGGGGCCGCAUUGCUACGCGUGCUCGGAACGUGCUACGUGGUCUUGGUUGAUGUUGCUCCGGGCACGUUUGGCCGUGUCCGGCCAUUUAGCGGCCGGACUCGAAAAUUGCCUUAGAAGGCUGCUCUAUACUUCUGCCGCGAGAGCCGCUGUAUGUUCCUCCGUUCGGAGGGAGCGUUCCGUAUUUCCGUUGACCGUGAUGACUCCACGAGGGCCUGACAUCUUGAGCUUGAGGUAUGCGUAAUGCGGCACCGCGUUGAACUUUGCAAACGCGGUUCGUCCGAGCAGCGCGUGAUAGCCGCUGCGGAAUGGGACUAUGUCGAAGAUUAACUCCUCGCUCCAGAAAUUGUCCGGGGAUCCGAAGACCACUUCCAGUGUGACCGAGCCUGUACAAUUGGUCUCAACACCUGGCAUGACGCCUUUGAAGGUCGUUUUUGUAGGUUUAAUCCUUGAGGGGUGAGGGAGUCCUGGACUAGGAGGUGUCCAGACAGCCGGACUAUCAUCGUCCGCCGGACUCCAAGACUACGAAGAUACAAGAUUGAAGACUCCGUCCCGUGUCCGGAUGGGACUUUCCUUGGCGUGGAAGGAAAGCUUGGCGAUACGGAUAUGUAGAUCUCCUACCAUUGUAACCGACUCUGUUUAACCCUAGCCUCCUCCGGUGUCUAUAUAAACCGGAGGGCUUUAGUCCAUAGGAUAACAUACAUUACAACAAUCAUACCAUAGGCUAGCUUCUAGGUUUAGCCUCCUUGAUCUCGUGGUAGAUCCACUCUUGUACUACCCAUAUCAUCAAUAUUAAUCAAGCAGGACGUAGGGUUUUACCUCCAUCGAGAGGGCCCGAACCUGGGUAAAACAUUGUGUCCCUCGUCUCCUGCUACCAUCCGCCUAGACGCAUAGUUCGGGACCCCCUACCCGAGAUCCGCCGGUUUUGACACCGACAUUGGUGCUUUCAUUGAGAGUUCCUCUGUGUCGUCACCGAUAGGCUUGAUGGCAUCUUCAACCAACAACGCUGUCCAGGGUGAGACUUUUCUCCCCGGACAGAUCUUCAUAUUCGGCGGCUUCGCACUGCGGGCUAAUUCGCUUGGCCAUCUGGAGCAGAUCGAAAGCUACGCCCCUGGCCGUCAGGUCAGAUUCGGAAGCCUAAACUUCACGGCCGACGUCCACGGAGACUUGAUCUUCGACGGACCCGAGCCACAGCCAAGCGCGCCGCACUAUUGCGAUGGGCAUGAUCUAGCUCUGCCGCCGAAUAGUGCCUUGGUGGCCGCACAUGAAUCCGCUCCGGCCAUUAGUCCGGAGCCGAUCGCCCGGAUAGAGGAUCGGUGGAUAGACACCGCCUCGGGGGCUUCAACUUCCACGGCGAUGGAGCCGAACAAUAAUCUUGUCCCCCGCGAAAUUUGUGAUUCCGAGGUGCCGGACUCCUUGCCGGACUCCGAACCUCCCGCGCCCCUACCCAUCAAAUCGGAUUGGGCGCCGGUUAUGGAAUUCACCGCCGCGGACAUCUUCCAAUACUCGCCUUUUGGCGAUAUCAUGAAUUCACUAAAGCAUCUCUCGUUAUCAGGAGAGCCCUGGCCGGACUAUGGCCAGGAUGGUUGGGAUACGGACGACGAAGAAAUUCUGAGCCCACCCACCACCCACUUUGUAGCCACUGUCGACGAUCUAACCGACAUGCUAGACUACGACUCCGAAGACAUCGACGCUAUGGACGAUGAUGCCGGAGACGAACAGGAACCAGCGCCCACAGGGCACUGGAAGACCACCUCGUCAUAUGACAUAUACAUGGUGGAUACCCCAAAAGAUGGGGACGGCGAAGAAACAGCGGAGGCAGACUCUCUAAAGAAGCAGCCCAAACGCCGGCGUCAGCGGUGCCGCUCUAAAUCCCGCCACAGCAAGAAUGGAGAUUCCGGCAUAGGAGAUAAUAAUACCCCAGAGAGUGCCGAAGACAAUCCCCUCCAGCAAGACUCAGCACAGGAGGAUGCAGAAGCAAGCCCUCAUGAGAAGGCGGCAGACGAAGAGGUUGAGGAUCAUAACUACAUGCCUCCCUCCGAAGACAAAGCAAGCCUCAACGAUGACGAAUUCGUCGUACCUGAGGAUCCCGUCGAACAAGAGCGUUUUCAACGCAGGCUUAUCGCCACGGCAAACAGCCUAAAGAAAAAGCAGCAGCAGCUUCAAGCUGAUCAGGACCUGCUGGUCGAUUGAUGGACCGAGGUCCUCGCGGCCGAAGAGUAUAAACUCGAACGCCCCUCCAAAAGCUAUCCAAUACGCAAGCUGCUCCCCCGAUUAGAGGAGGAAGCAUACAACCUCCAUCACCAGCGCACGAUAUGGCUGACCGACCACCGCGUGGUCGUGACAGAGAGGCAUCCAGGCCCCCAGCCAAGACCGUACCCCUGCAUCGCUCCAAAAGUACGAAGCCAAGAGGGAAUGCGCCGGACUUGCGAGAUAUAUUGGAGGACAAAGCAAGGCAAUCCAGAUCCAUCUACGGAUCACGUGGGUGCCCCACGACCCAUGACGAAUACCGUCGCGGCGAACACAAUAACCCCGGCCGGGCCGAGCACAGCAGACAGCGCUCUCUCGAGCUGCGUUGCGAUAUUGCUCAAUACAAAGGCGCCGCACACCCACUAUGCUUCACUGACGAAGUAAUGGAUCAUCAAAUCCCUGAAGCGUUUAAACCCGUAAUCAUUGAAUCCUACGAUGGCACAACAGACCCCGCGGUUUGGAUAGAAGAUUAUCUUCUCCACAUCCAUAUGGCCCGCGGCGACGAUCUCCAUGCCAUCAAGUAUCUCCCACUCAAGCUUAAAGGACCAGCUCGGCAUUGGCUUAACAGCUUGCCCGCAGAGUCAAUUUGGUGUUGGGAAGACCUGGAGGCCGCAUUCCUUGAUAACUUCCAAGGCACGUAUGUGCGACCACUAGACGCCGAUGACCUAAGCCACAUCAUUCAGCAGCCAGACGAAUCGGCCAGACAAUUCUGGACACGGUUCUUGACGAAGAAAAAUCAAAUCGUCGAUUGUCCGGAUGCAGAGGCCCUUGCAGCCUUCAAACAUAACAUCCGGGACGAAUGGCUAGCCCGGCACCUGGGGCAGGAAAAGCCGAAAUCCAUGGCAGCCCUCACAUCGUUAAUGACCCGCUUUUGCGCGGGAGAGGACAGCUGGCUAGCUCGCAGCAACAAUCUCCGUAAAAAUUCUGGCAGUCCGGAUACUAAGGACAACAACGGCAGGUCACGUCGAAACAAAAACAAACACCGCAUUAACAGCGACGAUAAGGAGGAUACGGCAGUCAACGCCGGAUUCCGAGGCUCUAAACCCGGUCAGCGGAAAAAGCCAUUCAAAGGAACCACUCCGGGUCCAUCCAAUCUGGACCGAAUACUCGAAUGCUUAUGCCAGAUACAUGGCACCUCUGAAAAGCCAGCUAACCACACUAAUAGAGAUUGCUGGGUGUUCAAGCAGGCCGGCAAGUUAAUUGCCGAAAACAAUGACAAGGGGCUAAACAGCGACGACGAGGAAGAAACCGGACCGCCGAACAAUAGAGGACAGAAGGGUUUUCCCCACAAGUGCGGACGGUGAAUAUGAUAUACGCGACCCAUAUACCCAAAAGGGAAAGGAAACGCGCAUUAAGGGACGUCUAUGCGAUGGAGCCAGUCGCCCUGAAGUUCAAUCCAUGGUCCUCUUGUCUGAUCACUUUCGAUCGAAGAGACCAUCCGACCAGCAUACGCCAUGGCGGAUUCGCCGCAUUGGUUUUGGACCCAAUCGUCGAUGGAUUUCACCUCACGAGAGUCCUGAUGGACGGCGGCAGUAGCCUAAACCUGCUUUAUCAGGAUACAGUGCGCAAAAUGGGCAUAGACCCCUCAAGGAUUAAACCUACAAAGACAACCUUUAAAGGUGUCAUACCAGGAGUGGAAGCCAACUGUACAGGCUCAGUCACACUGGAAGUGGUCUUCGGAUCCCUGGAUAAUUUCCGGAGCGAAGAGUUAAUCUUCGACAUAGUCCCGUUUCGCAGCGGCUAUCACGCUCUGCUCGGACGAACCGCGUUUGCAAAAUUCAACGCGGUGCCGCAUUAUGCAUACCUAAACCUCAAGAUGUCAGGCCCUCGCGGAGUCAUCACGGUCAAUGGGAAUACGGAACGCUCCCUCCAAACGGAGGAACAUACAGCGGCCCUCGCGGUAGAAGUACAGAGUAGCCUCUUAAGGCAAUUCUCCAGUCCAGCCGUUAAACAGCCGGAUACAACAAAAUGCGCCCGAAGCAAUACCAACCAAGACCACCUGGCGCGAUCAGAGCAUGCGUAGCAAUGCGGCCCCAACCCUCGCCCGCGCAUGAUCGCAAUAAUAACACUCCGCGUACAUCAUUACACUUUGGAGAUACCAUGGGCACAGGGGAGGGGGCACGAUCGCAACGGACCCAGAGUGCGGUUCGACCACACCGGGGGCUCACAAGUGUGCCCCCCUUUUUUAUAUUUUUUAUUUUUCUUCUUUUAUGUACACAGUACUCUGUUAACCAGAAGCCCUACCCGGCGGCGAACCUGCCGAACUCAUGAUGCAACAGUCAGGGACUAAAGAAGUCUGCGACGAACACUCAGGUGGUCUCAAUUACGAGCAUUAAAUUCGAUUAUAUACACCAAGUCCGCAGCUCACCCCUGGAGGGGGACAUGUUUACUUAGUCCAAAUCCCUUGCUUACCGCACUAUUUGUAUCAGUCCGCUCUCCUAGCAGACUUUCUUUCAUAAAUAAUGCAGCACCUUUUUGAUUGCAAUUGCAUUACCUUAUAUAUAUAUAUAUGCUCAUUAUAUGACAUCUUGCGCCCGUAUAUUUUGGUACGGCCUAAUACGCCAGGGGCUUAUGUUCCCCACUCUAUGGUGUGAUAAGUCCGAACACUUCCACAAGUGCGGCACCCCGAACUUAUAGCAUUAUAUGAAUCGGCUCCGAAUCAUGUCUUGUGUCAAUAGUUGGGUUUGCCCGGCUCCCACGUUUUGGUGCCUUACGUUCCGUUCUGUCGGCUAAGGUGGCACUGGGAGAACCACUGCGAUUGUGCCCCGGUUGAGUCGGGCGAGCGCCUCAGUGGAGAAAGCUAAAACUGGCCGGCAUGAUAAGGCGAGAGACCGGUCGCUGUUCGAGAGGUUUUUUCGGGUCCUUAAAGACUCACGCCGCUUCGAGCGAAGUUCCGGACAAUGUCCGACGAAGGCGUGGAUAGCGCCCCGGAUUCGGUCUUCCGAAUACCAGGGGCUUCACCGAAAUUUAAAAUUAUAGAAUUCUAUGGCUAAGUGAGAGUGUUCAAGCAUUAUAAGUCCGGUUGCCUUGUUCAUUGUGUUGAGCGCCUCCCUCGAUGGAGCCAACAAUGGGAACAAGAGUGCUCAAGUUUAUCCCGAACACCCCAGCACUCGUGGCUUGGGGGCUGAAGUGUGACACCCCAAAAUUUUGACCUUGUUUCAUUAAUUAAAAUUUUGCCAGGAAACUAAAACUUUGAUUUUCUGGGCUCCCUUUUUGAUUUUUGAACCUUUUCUCCCUUGCUAUUAUGGAGUUUUCCCCAAAGAGAAAACUUUUCAAAUAUGUUAUUGGACUUGUUUAACCUCUCAAGAAAAACUUUUCUUUUAUUAGUAGAACUAAUUACAUAAUUAAUCUGCUUGAUCUUUUUUUUCUUGAAAAAUAGUUUUUCAAGGUUAUAUGGCCAUAUUUGAACUACAACCAUUUGAUAUAUUUAUCUAAAAAUCCAACCAAAAUUUGGAGAUGUCAUGUGAUGUUUUUGAAUCACUUUUAUACAAAAAUAUCUCUUAUUCUUGAAAUAUUUUGAGCUCUACACCCAAUUUUCUUCUCUGGUCCAGAGAGCAACCUUGCACCACAACCCUUUUAAAUAAUUCUUUCUAGCCUCCACCAAAAUUAUGGGAUGUCAGUAGAAGCAUAUUAUUUAGCUUUAUGCAAAAACCCAGCUAUGUUAUUUGAAAAUUUUGAGUGAAUCAUCCUCAUUUCCAUUCUGGUCCAACUUGAGGUUUUGUACUACAACUAUACUUUAACUUGCUCCUUUUGCUGUGAUUCCUUUUCCUACUUGUAGACCACCCUACUAAACCCCUAAGUCCAGGAGAGUGGACCCAUUGGAUGAUUCUAAGUGCUUGCAACAAUGCCUUUUGCUUUCUGUACAGAAUUGAAGUUUUGCAAAACUUGCACUAGCAAGUGUCUCCUUUAUGCAAACUAACUUCACCACUCCCUCUUGCGUCCAAGGAGACACUGACCUGGAAGAUUUGGCCCCUCCAAGAAUAGCCUAGGUGCCUUUGGCAUUUUGACAAACACCUAGAGUGCAUGGGCUGAAUUGGCAUGAUCUCAAGCCUACACUAUGAACUUGCACCUCUGAUCAGACCAGCAUGUCCACUAGACUCCCCGUUGCUCCUAACCUCGAUCUAGUAAAUCCCAUCCUCACCUGCGACUUGUAGCAUGCCUCGGCAUUGUGUCGAACACCUGGUGUGCGUGCACUGGACGCGCCCAGAGCGCGCGUAUUGUAGCCGCGCGCCCGAGCCGACACGCUGGCCCCCACGGCCUUGGCCCGCUCUGCAGCACCACGCCACGCGCUCCCCUCCUCGCAGCAACGCGCCAAGCAGCCCCCGCCGCGCCCGACAGGCCAAGAGCUAGCCGCCGCCGCCGCCCGACAGCCCCUGCUCCGUUCAGCACCGCCCAAGCCACCCCGGCUCGCCACCUGGCCCCGGCACAGCCCAAGCUCAUCCUCAACCUUGUCCGCUAGCUCUUGUCGUCGCCACGACGCCCCGCGGCUACAGAAAGACGGUCGCCGGCGACCUUAUCCGCGGCCACCGUCGGAACCGACCCCGAACGCCUAUUUAAGGAGGCCCCCGAGCACGUUCCGUUCACAGGCGGCCUCAGUACACUCCCCUAGUCUCCCCAUUGCAGCCAAUCGACCUGAGGAGGUCGUCUUCCCCACCUCCGGCAGCAGCGGCCGCCGCCAUGGCCCCAGCUCUCCCAGCGCCACCAGGGCCUCUCCCUCCCAAUUCUCUUCGCCAAGAACACCUCCUCCCCUCCAGGAACCCAACCCCCCACUUGAUUUUGAUCGGGAACCACAUUCACCCCAAAACCACUCCGUCACCAAAGCUCCCUCCGCCGCGGAGCUCGCCGCCGAUGAACCCCUCCGUCCCCGCCGGCCAGCCGACCACCGGGAGAACCGCCUAGGAGAGGUGGAUCCGUCCCUGGCCUCGGAUGCCCUCGAGGAGCCUCCCUUUGCCGGCGACGAUCGCCGGAGCCCCGCCUCGCUCGGGCAGAGGAGGGAGAAGGGGCGCGGCGACUGGUCAAACCUGACCAGUGGGCUAGGCGGGCCCACUGUCAGCGACCCACCCCGCCGCCACGCGUGUUAAGUGAAAGCAUAAAACCACGAAGUACGUUCCCUCCGCUCCGAAACGUUUUCUUUUCUAUUUUUAUUUUAAAAACAGAUUUUGACCAAAUCUUUGACUGGCUUUAUCUUUUUAAAUAUAACUCCAAAUGAAUUAAUUCUUUUUCCUACCUCUCUCAAAUAUUGUCUAGUUUAUUUUAAGAUUUAUUUGAAAAAAAUUUAAAACAACUUUUGGUGCUGUUUUUAUUUUGUGUGUUAAUUCUUUAUAUUGCUAAAAUAGGAUUUUUGAAGAGAGGAGAAACUUUCAAAAGUUUUGAAGUACACCUUGACUUACCACACAUUGAAGGCAAGCAUUCUGAAUCCCGGCAUAAUAUUUUGGUGUGAUCGUUGAUACAUUUUUAACACCACCGCAUUUCGAAGGACUUGUUAUUUCAUGUGAUAUGAUCAUAUGCAUGAGUGCAUAAUAGUGAUUUCCAUGUUGUUGGAAAUAAACACACUUAUGAUGAUAAUCAUCCUCAUGUGUCUUGCAUGCAUGCCGGAAAGGAAUCCGGGAAAGCCUCUGCCUUGGGUAGGUGUGAGCUUGUCGCCGGCCUCCGUCGGGACGGGUAUGUCCGGUAUGGCAUAGUAAGAUAUAAUGAGUGUUGAUUGGAUUGGUUGAAGUAUAUUUGUUAUACAUGUUAUGCAGGAAACUAUAAACCUCCUGAGUCGACCGUAGAUCGAGUCUUGUUCCAGCAACCCCCACACUUGUUUCGUGCUACCACUUGUCCCUGCCACAGGUAGGGUACGGUUCAGUAAUUUGUCAUCCCCUUUCGAGCACACACCGUACAGAGGGGCCGGGAUGAGGGUACCACGGCCAUGGAUUAAAGCCAGUCAUCCGGUCAGGGGGCAUGGGUGUUUCGGUUGUAGCCGAGGGGGUAGCUCCCCCAGUUUUGCGCGCGGUAUAAAUUUUUUUGAUCCCAUGCUAAUCGAGGUUGUAGCCUCCCCACUUAGAGUUUUGCUUAACGGGUGUCGUGGGUGAUUCCAGACACCGGUAAGUUAAGCUGGUGUGUGCAAGUCAGGUGUGUUUUCAUUUAAAAGACCGUAAGCGGAAUUAGUCCCGAUGGACUAAAGGAAAUCCGUUACUUGUGGGUAAAGAGUACACCCUCUGCAGAGAUUAAAACCUAUUCGAAUAGCCGUGUCCAUGGUUAAGGAUUACAGUCUGGGACGGGUCAAGUGUCGGUCUUAGUGUCGGUCUUCGGAGGUGAUAACUGUUAAACCAGAACUGGAAUACUACUGGUGACUUGUGAUAAUUAUGAUUAUUAUUAUUGUUGACUAACCCGUGAUAUUAUUGUUAUUAUCGAGUAUCUCCGGGAUGGUUCUACCUCCGGGAUAUUCACUAUGAUUGUUUAUUUUAAAGCCCUUUAUGCGGUGUCGCUCAGACGCCCGACUGUGGCAUUUCUUUUAAAGCCCUUUAUGUGGUGUCGCUCAGACGCCCGACUGUGGCAUUUCUUUUAAAGCCCUUUAUGUGGUGUCGCCAAGACGCCCGACUGUGGCAUUGCUUGUUAUUUGUUUCAUAUAUUUUAAUACUACUAUGUAAUUGCAUUGUUAUAAAUAACUUGCUUGCAUGCAUCAGAGUUUUAUUUAUCUUUUGUGACUGACAUCAUGAGCAUAAAUAUUUUCAGCACAUCAUGGUUAUAUUAUACCUGUGUUCAUAAUGUUUGCGAGUACAUUCAAAGUACUCACUGGCUUGUCCCUGGCUAUUCUCUUGGCCAGAUUUUCUUGCACGGAGAGGAGUGACGCGAUGACAGCCCCGGAACCUAAGCAAUGGAGAUAGCAGCCUCGCGAAGAUAGGAGUUAACCUGGUCAGCUGUUCCUGUGGGAAUUGGAGUCCCAUAGACACUGAUGAUCCACGAACCGCUUCCGCCAUCAACCACUAGAAACCAUUUGUUGUACUCACAGGCCAGAAUGGUCUUGUACUGCAUAUUUUGUAUGUUGCUUGGAAUUUUUGUAUCAAGUUGGAGCCUCAUCAGCUAACAGUAAUCCUGGGGCUGAUGAGCAUGACUGUCUUUUCUGGAAAUUUAUUACCCGGAAAACCGGUCGUGACAGACUUGGUAUCAGAGCCAGGCUGACCAUUGGCUAAUCCUAUCUUAGCCAGCUCGAAAAACUUAGGCAAACCAACCCAUCAGACCCUAACCAAAAACCCCAGCCAAGCUUCCCGUGCAAGGUAGCCACACAGAGACCCCGACACUUUUGGCAGUCGGUGCCCAGCCUAUCAACCUAGCCUGUCAGUCGCGCGCUAGUAAUCUGUCUUAUUCGCAAGCGUGCGAGGGAAGACUUCGUUCUCUUUUUCUCUAAAAAGGGCACGCUAGCCUCAACACAGCACAGCCCCGGCCAUCAUCCAAAAUACCUUGAUGACCCCAGAAAUACUUCGUCGUCUUUGGGGAGCACACUCCAACGGGAUUGUGGCCAACAAUCCCCACGAUGGUCAUCAUCGCUGCCCCGAGCCUGCAGCCCCUCAACCCUCUCCAGCUGUUUCCGACGGUGUAAACCAUGGAGAAACCUCGGCAUCCGCGAAGCAAGCCCUCUUAGAUAUGAACGAGGUAGACUAAAAUCGCUCGAAGGAUACCGAGCCUUAGAAUGAUCUCGCCUUGCAAUCUUGUGACCCUGUGUCACCAUAAUUAGAUGUUGUCUGCUUGUGCACUCCUGUUUUUAAUAGUAGCCAUGCAUGAGUAUGUUGAUGUGCGAUUGCAUUUUUUUUAUCCCGGGCGUAGCUGCCAACCUCGACGACGCAAGUUUGUGCUAUGGAUGAAUCCUUUGGUUCUAGCUCACAGGAAAGGUAUUUUCAAAACAACUCCUAACAAAUCUCGAGGACGAGAUUUUCUUUUAAGGGGGGUAGUGUUGUGACACCCCAAAAUUUUGACCUUGUUUCAUUAAUUAAAAUUUUGCCAGGAAACUAAAACUUUGAUUUUCUGGGCUCCCUUUUUGAUUUUUGAACCUUUUCUCCCUUGCUAUUAUGGAGUUUUCCCCAAAGAGAAAAUUUUUCAAAUAUGUUAUUGGACUUGUUUAACCUCUCAAGAAAAACUUUUCUUUUAUUAGUAGAACUAAUUACAUAAUUAAUCUGCUUGAUCUUUAUUUUCUUGAAAAAUAGUUUUUCAAGGUUAUAUGGCCAUAUUUGAACUACAACCAUUUGAUAUAUUUAUCUAAAAAUCCAACCAAAAUUUGGAGAUGUCAUGUGAUGUUUUUGAAUCACUUUUAUACAAAAAUAUCUCUUAUUCUUGAAAUAUUUUGAGCUCUACACCCAAUUUUCUUCUCUGGUCCAGAGAGCAACCUUGCACCACAACCCUUUUAAAUAAUUCUUUCUAGCCUCCACCAAAAUUAUGGGAUGUCAGUAGAAGCAUAUUAUUUAGCUUUAUGCAAAAACCCAGCUAUGUUAUUUGAAAAUUUUGAGUGAAUCAUCCUCAUUUCCAUUCUGGUCCAACUUGAGGUUUUGUACUACAACUAUACUUUAACUUGCUCCUUUUGCUGUGAUUCCUUUUCCUACUUGUAGACCACCCUACUAAACCCCUAAGUCCAGGAGAGUGGACCCAUUGGAUGAUUCUAAGUGCUUGCAACAAUGCCUUUUGCUUUCUGUACAGAAUUGAAGUUUUGCAAAACUUGCACUAGCAAGUGUCUCCUUUAUGCAAACUAACUUCACCACUCCCUCUUGCGUCCAAGGAGACAAUGACCUGGAAGAUUUGGCCCCUCCAAGAAUAGCCUAGGUGCCUUUGGCAUUUUGACAAACACCUAGAGUGCAUGGGCUGAAUUGGCAUGAUCUCAAGCCUACACUGUGAACUUGCACCUCUGAUCAGACCAGCAUGUCCACUAGACUCCCCGUUGCUCCUAACCUCGAUCUGGUAAAUCCCAUCCUCACCUGCGACCUGUAGCAUGCCUCGGCAUUGUGUCAAACACCUGGUGUGCGUGCACUGGACGCGCCCAGAGCGCGCGUAUUGUAGCCGCGCGCCCGAGCCGACACGCUGGCCCCCACGGCCUUGGCCCGCUCUGCAGCACCACGCCACGCGCUCCCCUCCUCGCAGCAACGCGCCAAGCAGCCCCCGCCGCGCCCGACAGGCCAAGAGCUAGCCGCCGCCGCCGCCCGACAGCCCCUGCUCCGUUCAGCACCGCCCAAGCCACCCCGGCUCGCCACCUGGCCCCGGCACAGCCCAAGCUCAUCCUCAACCUUGUCCGCUAGCUCUCGUCGUCGCCACGACGCCCCGCGGCUACAGAAAGACGGUCGCCGGCGACCUUAUCCGCGGCCACCGUUGGAACCGACCCCGAACGCCUAUUUAAGGAGGCCCCCGAGCACGUUCCGUUCGCAGGCGGCCUCAGUACACUCCCCUAGUCUCCCCAUUGCAGCCAAUCGACCUGAGGAGGUCGUCUUCCCCACCUCCGGCAGCAGCGGCCGCCGCCAUGGCCCCAGCUCUCCCAGCGCCACCAGGGCCUCUCCCUCCCAAUUCUCUUCGCCACGAACACCUCCUCCCCUCCAGGAACCCAACCCCCCACUUGAUUUUGAUCGGGAACCACAUUCACCCCAAAACCACUCCGUCACCGAAGCUCCCUCCGCCGCGGAGCUCGCCGCCGACGAACCCCUCCGUCCCCGCCAGCCAGUCGACCACCGGGAGAACCGCCUAGGAGAGGUGGAUCCAUCCCUGGCCUCGGAUGCCCUCGAGGAGCCUCCCUUCGCCGGCGACGAUCGCCGGAGCCCCGCCUCGCUCGGGCAGAGGAGGGAGAAGGGGCGCGGCGACUGGUCAAACCUGACCAGUGGGCCAGGCGGGCCCACUGUCAGCGACCCACCCCGCCGCCACGCGUGUUAAGUGAAAGCGUAAAACCACGAAGUACGUUCCCUCCGCUCCGAAAACGUAUUCCAGUCUGAAACGUUUUCUUUUCUAUUUUUAUUUUAAAAACAGAUUUUGACCAAAUCUUUGACUGGCUUUAUCUUUUUAAAUAUAACUCCAAAUGAAUUAAUUAUUUGUCCUACCUCUCUCAAAUAUUGUCUAGUUUAUUUUAAGAUUUAUUUGAAAAAAAUUUAAAACAACUUUUGGUGCUGUUUUUAUUUUGUGUGUUAAUUCUUUAUAUUGCUAAAAUAGGAUUUUUGAAGAGAGGAGAAACUUUCAAAAGUUUUGAAGUACACCCUGACUUACCACACAUUGAAGGCAAGCAUUCUGAAUCCCGGCAUAAUAUUUUGGUGUGAUCGUUGAUACAUUUUUAACACCACCGCAUUUCGAAGGACUUGUUAUUUCAUGUGAUAUGAUCAUAUGCAUGAGUGCAUAAUAGUGAUUUCCAUGUUGUUGGAAAUAAACACACUUAUGAUGAUAAUCAUCCUCAUGUGUCUUGCAUGCAUGCCGGAAAGGAAUCCGGGAAAGCCUCUGCCUUGGGUAGGUGUGAGCUUGUCGCCGGCCUCCGUCGGGACGGGUAUGUCCGGUAUGGCAUAGUAAGAUAUAAUGAGUGUUGAUUGGAUUGGUUGAAGUAUAUUUGUUAUACAUGUUAUGCAGGAAACUAUAAACCUCCUGAGUCGACCGUAGAUCGAGUCUUGUUCCAGCAACCCCCACACUUGUUUCGUGCUACCACUUGUCCCUGCCACAGGUAGGGUACGGUUCAGUAAUUUGUCAACCCCUUUCGAGCACACACCGUACAGAGGGGCCGGGAUGAGGGUACCACGGCCAUGGAUUAAAGCCAGUCAUCCGGUCAGGGGGCAUGGGUGUUUCGGUUGUAGCCGAGGGGGUAGCUCCCCCAGUUUUGCGCGCGGUAUAAAUUUUUUUGAUCCCAUGCUAAUCGAGGUUGUAGCCUCCCCACUUAGAGUUUUGCUUAACGGGUGUCGUGGGUGAUUCCAGACACCGGUAAGUUAAGUUGGUGUGUGCAAGUCAGGUGUGUUUUCAUUUAAAAGACCGUAAGCGGAAUUAGUCCCGAUGGACUAAAGGAAAUCCGUUACUCGUGGGUAAAGAGUACACCCUCUGCAGAGAUUAAAACCUAUUCGAAUAGCCGUGUCCAUGGUUAAGGAUUACAGUUUGGGACGGGUCAAGUGUCGGUCUUAGUGUCGGUCUUCGGAGGUGAUAACUGUUAAACCAGAACUGGAAUACUACUGGUGACUUGUGAUAAUUAUGAUUAUUAUUAUUGUUGACUAACCCGUGAUAUUAUUGUUAUUAUCGAGUAUCUCCGGGAUGGUUCUACCUCCGGGAUAUUCACUAUGAUUGUUUAUUUUAAAGCCCUUUAUGCGGUGUCGCUCAGACGCCCGACUGUGGCAUUUCUUUUAAAGCCCUUUAUGUGGUGUCGCUCAGACGCCCGACUGUGGCAUUUCUUUUAAAGCCCUUUAUGUGGUGUCGCCAAGACGCCCGACUGUGGCAUUGCUUGUUAUUUGUUUCAUAUAUUUUAAUACUACUAUGUGAUUGCAUUGUUAUAAAUAACUUGCUUGCAUGCAUCAGAGUUUUAUUUAUCUUUUGUGACUGACAUCAUGAGCAUAAAUAUUUUCAGCACAUCAUGGUUAUAUUAUACCUGUGUUCAUAAUGUUUGCGAGUACAUUCAAAGUACUCACUGGCUUGUCCCUGGCUAUUGUCUUGGCCAGAUUUUCUUGCACGGAGAGGAGUGACGCGAUGACAGCCCCGGAACCUAAGCAAUGGAGAUAGCAGCCUCGCGAAGAUAGGAGUUAACCUGGUCAGCUGUUCCUGUGGGAAUUGGAGUCCCAUAGACACUGAUGAUCCACAAACCGCUUCCGCCAUCAACCACUAGAAACCAUUUGUUGUACUCACAUGCCAGAAUGGUCUGGUACUGCAUAUUUUGUAUGUUGCUUGGAAUUUCUGUAUCAAGUUGGAGCCUCAUCAGCUAACAGUAAUCCUGGGGCUGAUGAGCACGACGGUCUUUUCUGAACGUGACAUGAAGCCAAUGACUUGCCAUCCCUCAGAUUUUAUAAACGGCCGCACAGAAGGUAAUAUUUUAAAUUAAAAAAGCGUUGCUCAAAGUGCACAUGAACAAAGUUUCAGCGCACAGGAUAAUACAUAGCAAAUUUACUCAAAGAUUACAUUUCUGGGGCACUCAUCCGCAAUAUCACAGGCUCCCUUCAGGACAGAUUUAUAAUACAUUUCCGGUGGCGGUGGGUCCGUGAGAAGCUUCUCCGCAUCCAACCUUCCCCAUUGCACCUUUGUGCGGGCGAGGGCCCGGUGAGCGCCUUCAAUACAGGCGGAGCACUUGAUGACAUCCACCCAGGGGCAUGCAUCCACCAGCCGCCGCACGAGGCCAAAGUAGCUCCCAGGCAUGGCUUGUCCAGGCCACAGCCGGACUAUAAGGCCCUUCAUGGCCUCUUCAGCUACCUUGUGGAGUUCGACCAGCUGCUUCAGCUGGUCGCUUGGGGGCACCGGGUGUCCGGCCUCAGCAUACUGAGACCAGAAGACUUAACGUCGAGCUCCCCUCCUCGCCACGAUAGAAUGCGGCGGCAUCGGAGGCACUACGCGGCAGAUCUGCAAACGCCCCUGGAGAGCUUCGAAUGCGGGUAAGUAUCAGGUAUUUUACAUUAACAUGCUUGCUUUGCAUGAAAAAUGCCUUACCCGCCGCUAUUUUCUUUACAUCUUCAACCUCCUGAAGGGCCUUAUGGGCUUCGGCCUUGGCGGACUUGGCACUUUCGAGAGCCGAGGCAAGCUCGGACUCUCGAGUCUUGGAGUCACGCUCCAACCUCUCAUGUUUCUCCAUGAGAGCCUGGAGCUCUUGCCGUACUUCCGCCACCCAUGCCUCCUGCUUUUCUUUCUCCGCCCGUUCCGCGGCCGCACUGUGUUCGCCGCGGACACAGCCUCCUUCAGGGCUGCCACCUCGUUAGUGGCCCCUGCAAUACACAUAUUAUCCUUGUUAAUUUUAUUGCAACCAAAAUCCUUUUCUGUAAGGUAACCAUUCAAAGUGGUGUUACUCACCGUCUUUGUCCUCGAGCUGCUUCUUCGCACGACCGAGCUCUCGCUCGAAUCGCUCGAGAUCCUGCUUUAGCACAUCGACCUCCGCCGUUAGUGUGGCAGAGGUCAGCAGCGCAGCCUGCAAACCCAUAUUGACAUAUUUUAAGCAACCUUGCGUAUAUCUUGUUAGAUCCUCAGUCCGGCUUUUCUUUCCGAACACCGAACUGAGCAUCAGGGGCUACUGUCUAUGCGGUAUUACAUUACAUAAUUUUAACUUCUUACCUCAAAGCCUGUUAGAAGGCUGCUGCAGGCUUCGGUCAGCCCGCUUUUGGCGAGCUGAACCUUUUGAAUCACCGCACUCAUGAUAGUGCGGUGUUCUUCCUUGAUGGAAGCGCCUUUGAGCGCCUCCAACAAGUUAUCCGACACCUCCGGUUGGACGGAGGCCGCCGGUAUAACGGUCUUGCCCUUCUUUCGAAGUGGCCGCCUGCCGGACUCUGGAACCACUGCGGGUUCCGAUGUAGAGUCCGGCACAAAGUCCGGGAGGCUGCCUGACGGCGCCUCCGGAGCCUCCUCCUGAUGGGUCCCUUUCUGGGAUCCCACCUCGACGUCCUCGUCGGCGCGUGGGGUAGAGGCAGUAAGAAGUGAAUCCACAUCUGACGGGGCCAACGACCCGCUCGAUGAGUCGGGGAGAUCGUCAUCGGCCGGACUACGGACAGAAUGGGGCAUUAAGGACACUACGCGACACGAAAGAAAUUGCAUAUAAAGGAUCCGGAUACUUACGAUCUUGCCGGACGCCUGGCCCUGGGAGGCCAUUCAUCCUCGCCAACGGUGGUGUUGGCGAAACUGUCCGGGGGGAUAGUUCUCCCCCUCUUGGACCCUUCGGCCUCCCCUAUUGGGGAAGCCUUCCUCUUCUUCUCUCCCUCUUCUGGGAGAGAACCCUCCUCGUCUUCGGGGGAGGAGUCCGCCUCGUCGUCGGACACCUGAUUGCGGGAACUCUUUCGAGUCCCCGCGGCCACCUUCUUGGCCUUCUUCUCCGGCACCACAUGCGGUGCCGGAACCAGCAGCCCUGCUAAACGGGCGUCCACUGGGUCUUCUGGCAUGGGAGCCGGGCUAAUAAGCUGCUUGGCCUUCUCCAUCCAUUCCUGUCAAAGGAAAGGGAAGAAUGAAACCCUCUUAUAAUCAAUUUGAUUACUACAAAGUGUCCCGUAAUGGGGUUGAAUCACUUACCUCGUCAGUUGGAUGCUGCGAGCUGAAUCCGUGAUCUUCCGUCGCGGAUGCGGGGGCUUCGGCGCCCUUAAACAGCACCCUCCAGGCGCCUUCGUAUGUCGUAUCGAAGAGCCCGCUCAGCGCCUGGUGCUUUUCCGGAUUGAACUCUCACAGAUUGAAUGCCCGUUCUUGGCAUGGGAGAAUCCGGCGGAUGAGCAUGACUUGGACCACGUCGACGAGCCUGAGCUUACCGCUCACCAGCUUCUGGAUGCAGGCUCGGAGUCCCGUCAGCUCCUUCGAAUUGCCCCACAACAAGCCCUUCUCUUUCCAGGAGGUGAGCUGCGUGGGGACGCCAGAUCUAAACUCGGGGGCCGUCGCCCAUGUGGGCUUGCGCGGCUCGGUGAUGUAGAACCACCCUGAUUGCCACCCCUUGACGGAGUCCACGAAGGCCCCUUCGAGCCAAAGGACGUUGGGUAAUUUACCCAACAUGGCGCCUCCGCAUUCCGCUUGCGUGCCCAGCACAACCUUCGGCUUGACGUUGAAGGUCUUGAGCCACAGGCCGAAGUGGGGCCGGAUGCAGAGGAAGGCCUCGCACAAGACGAUGAACGUCGAGAUGUUGAGGAUGAAGUUCGGCGCCAGAUCGUGGAAAUCCAGGCUGUAAUAGAACAUGAGCCCCCGGACAAAGGGAUGGAGCGGAAAGCCCAGUCCGCGGAGGAAGUGGGGAAGGAAGACGACCCUCUCGUGAGGCCCGGGGGUAGGGACGAGCUGCCCCUCGUCGGGCAGCCGAUGCGCGAUAUCGCCGCAAAGGUAUCCGGCGCUGUGCAGUCUGGUGAUGUGCUCCUCCUUAACGGUGGAGGCCAACCAUUUGCCUCCCACUCCUGACAUAUUCGGAGAAGGUCGAGGCGAGAUGUGCGAGCUUGGGCGUUGGAGCUUGAGUACGCGGAGGUGGAUAAGCAAAGGAGGAAGAAGGCGUAGGUGAGAAGGUAAAUCCUUAUCCCUUAUAUGUAGGCGGACGAAAACUAUGCGUCCCACUGGCCUGAUAAAAAUCGCUUAUCUCCCAAGCGCCACCAUCAAUGGCGCGGUUGGGUUACCCACGUCCGUAUUGAUGAGAAUCCCGGAAUAAGGGGAACACGAUCUCUGCUUCAACAAGACGUGCCAAGGAAACCGCUUCGCUAAACGUGCUGAGGUGGGAUAGUAAAAAACGAUUCAAACAAAGGCUUGGUAGCGGUGUGAUGUCACGCCGCAUAAUACGUCAGCAGAUUGGACUGGUGUACAUUUUAUUCUCUCUACGGUGGAAUGUGGAAUUUAUUUUGCAGAGCCGGACACUAUCCUGGUGUUCAUGAUCUUCCUCUGGAUUAUUCAAGGGAGGAACCCGCCUUGCAAUGCCGAACAUUAUGCGUGCCGGACUUAUCGUCAUUGAAGCCUGGUUCAGGGCCUACUGAGGGAGUCCUGGACUAGGGGGUGUCCGGACAGCCGGACUAUCAUCGUCCGCCGGACUCCAAGACUACGAAGAUACAAGAUUGAAGACUCCGUUCCGUGUCCGGAUGGGACUUUCCUUGGCGUGGAAGGCAAGCUUGGCGAUACGGAUAUGUAGAUCUCCUACCAUUGUAACAGACUCUGUGUAACCCUAGCCUCCUCCGGUGUCUAUAUAAACCGGAGGGCUUUAGUCCGUAGGACAACAUACAUUACAACAAUCAUACCAUAGGCUAGCUUCUAGGGUUUAGCCUCCUUGAUCUCGUGGUAGAUCCACUCUUGUACUACCCAUAUCAUCAAUAUUAAUCAAGCAGGACGUAGGGUUUUACCUCCAUCGAGAGGGCCCGAACCUGGGUAAAACAUCGUGUCCCUCGUCUCCUGUUACCAUCCGCCUAGACGCACGGUUCGGGACCCCCUACCCGAGAUCCGCCGGUUUUGACACCGACAAGGGGUCUAUGCCCAUCUUGCGCACUGUAUCCUGAUAAAGCAGGUUCAGGCUACUGCCGCCGUCCAUCAGGACUCUCGUGAGGUGAAAUCCAUCGACAAUUGGGUCUAAUACCAAUGCGGCGAAUCCGCCAUGGCGGAUACUGGUUGGAUGGUCUCUUCGAUCGAAAGUGAUCAGGCAAGAGGACCAUGGAUUGAACUUCGGGGCGACUGGCUCCAUCGCGUAUACGUCCCUUAGUGCAUGCUUCCGCUCCCUCUUAGGUAUAUGGGUUGCGUAUAUCAUGUUCACCGUCCAUACUUGUGGGGGGAAACCCUUCUGUCCUCUACUGUUCGGUGGUCGGGUCUCUUCCUCGUCAUCGCUAUGCAGCCCCUUGUCAUUGUUUUUGGCAAUUAACUUGCCUGCCUGCUUGAAUACCCAACAGUCUCUGUUGGUGUGAUUAGCUGGCUUUUCGGGGGUGCCAUGUAUCUGGCAUAAGCAGUCGAGUAUUCGGUCCAAAUUGGACGGACCCGGAGUGGUUCUUUUGAAUGGCUUCUUCCGCUGACCGGGUUUAGAGCUUCAGAAUCCGGCGUUGACUGCCGUAUCCUCCUUGUCAUUGCCGUUAAUGCGGCGUUUAUUUUUGCUUCGACGCGACCUGCCAUUGUGGUCCUUAGUAUCCGGACUGCCAGAAUUUUUACUGAGGUUGUUGCUGCGAGCUAGCCAGCUAUCCUCUCCCGCACAGAAGGGGGUCAUUAAUGAUGUGAGGGCUGCCAUGGAUUUCGGCUUUUCCUGUCCUAGGUGCCGGGCUAGCCAUUCGUCGCCGAUGUUGUGUUUGAAGGCUGCGAGGGCCUCCGCAUCCGGACAGUCGAUGAUUUGAUUUUUCUUUGUUAAGAACCGUGUCCAGAACUGUCUGGCCGAUUCGUCUGGCUGCUGAAUUAUGUGGCUUAGGUCAUCGGCGUCUGGUGGUCGCACAUAUGUGCCCUGGAAGUUGUCGAGGAAUGCGGCUUCCAGGUCUUUCCAACACCCAAUUGACUCUGCGGGCAAGCUGUUAAGCCAAUGCCGAGCUGGUCCUUUAAGCUUGAGUGGGAGAUACUUGAUGGCGUGGAGAUCGUCGCCGCGGGCCAUAUGGAUGUGAAGGAGAUAAUCUUCAAUCCAAACCACGGGGUCUGUUGUGCUAUCGUAGGGUUCAAUGUUUACGGGUUUAAACCCUUCAGGGAUUUGAUGACCCAUUACUUCGUCAGUGAAGCAUAGCGGGUGUGCGGCGCCUCUAUAUUGAGCAAUGUCACAACGUAGCUCGAGUGAGCGUUGUCUGCUGUGUUCGGCCCGGCUGGGGUUGUUGUAUCCAGCGCGACGGUAUUCGUCGUGGGUCGUGGGGUGCCCACGUGAUCCGUAGAUGGAUCUGGAUUGCCUUGCUUUCUCCUCCAAUAUAUCUCGCAAGUCCGGCGCAUUCCCACUUGGCUUCGCACUUUUGGAGCGAUGCCGGGGUACGGUCUUGGUGGAGGGCCUGGAUGCCUCUCUGUCGCGACCACGAGGUGGUCGGUCGGCCGUAUUGUGCGCAGGUGAUGAAGGUAUGUAUGCUUCUUCCUCUAAUCGGGGGAGCAACUUGCGUUUUGGGUAACUCUUGGAGGGACGUUCGAGUUCAUACUCUUCGGCCGCGAGGACCUCAGUCCAUCUGUCGGCUAGCAGGUCUUGAUCAGCUUGAAGCUACUGCUGCUUUUUCUUUAGGCUAUUUGCCGUGGCGAUAAGCCUGCGUUUAAAACGCUCUUGUUCGACGGGAUCCUCUGCCACGACGAAUUCAUCGUCGUUGAGGCUUGCCUCGUCUCCGGAGGGAGGUAUGUAAUUAUCAUCCUCGACCUCUUCGUCUGCCGCUCUCUCGUGAGGGCUUGCUUCUGCAUCCUCCUGCGCUGAAUCUUGCUGGAGGGGAUUGUCUUCGGCACUUUCUGGGGUGUUGUUAUCUCCUGUGCCGGAAUCUCCAUUCUUGUUGUGGCGGGAUUUCGAGCGGCGCCACUGACGUCGGCGCUUGGGUUGUUUCUUUAGGGAAUCUGCCUCUGCUGUUUCUUCGCCGUCCCCAUCUUUUGGGGUGUCCACCAUGUAUAUGUCAUAUGAUGAGGUGGUCUUCCAGUGCCCUGUAGGCGCUGGUUCUUGAUCGUCUCCGGCACCGUCGUCCAUACCGUCGAUGUCUUCGGAGUCAUAGUCUAGCAUGUCGGUUAGAUCGUCGACAGUGGCUACAAAGUGGGUGGUGGGUGGGCUCUGAAUUUCUUCGUCGUCCGCAUCCCAGCCAUCCUGGCCAUAGUCCGGCCAGGUCUCUCCGGAUAGCGAGUGAUGUUUUAGCGAAUUUAGGAUGUCGCCAAAGGGCGAGUGUUGGAAGAUGUCCGCGGCGGUGAACUCCAUGACCGGCGCCCAAUCAGACUCAAUUGGCAGGGGCGCGGGAGGUUCGGAGUCCGGCAGGGAGUCCGGCACCUCGGAGUUACGAGCUUGGCAGGGGACAAGGUUAGUGUUCGGCUCCAUCGCCGUGGCAGUUGCAGCCCCCAAGGCGGUGUCCAGCCACCGGUCCUCGAUCUGGGCGAUCGGCUCCGGACUGAGGGCCGGAGCGGAUUCGUGUGCGGCCACCAAGGCACUGUCCGGCGGCAGAGCUAAAUCAUGCCCAUCGUGACAGCGCGGCGCGCUCGGCUGUGGCUCGAGUCCGUCGAAGAUUGAGUCCCCGCGGAUGUCGGCCGUGAAGAUUAGGCCUUCGAACCUGACCUGACGGCCAGGGGCGUAGCUUUCGAUAUGCUCUAGACGGCCAAGUGAAUUAGCCUGCAGUGCGAAGCCGCCGAAUACGAAGAUCUGUCCGGGGAGAAAAGUCUCACCCUGGACGGCGUUGUUGUUGAUUGAAGAAGCCAUCGAGCCUAUCGGUGACGACACAGAGGAACUCUCAAUGAAAGCACCAAUGUCGGUGUCAAAACUGGCAGAUCUCGGGUAGGGGGUCCUGAACUGUGUGUCUAGGCGGAUGGUAACAGGAGACAAGGGACACGAUGUUUUACCCAGGUUCGGGUCCUCUUGAUGGAGGUAAAACCCUACGUCCUGCUCGAUUAAUAUUGAUGAUGUGUAUUACAAGAGUGGAUCUACCACGAGAUCAAGGAGGCUGAACCCUAGAAGCUAGCCUAUGGUAUGAUUGUUGUAAUGGAGGUUAUGUCCUACAGACUAAAGCCCUCCGGUUUAUAUAGACACCGGAGAGGGCUAGGGUUACACAGAGUCGGUUACAAUGGUAGGAGAUCUACAUAUCCGUAUUGCCAAGCUUGCCUUCCACGCCAAGGAAAGUCCCAUCCGGACACGGGACGGAGUCUUCAAUCUUGUAUCUUCGUAGUCUUGGAGUCCGGCGGACGAUGAUAGUCCGGCUGUCCGGACACCCCCUAGUCCAGGAUUCCCUCACUACACACAAAGAGUAUAAUUUUGAUUACAUGAUCUGACAAUUUCCCUCAUUUCAGACACAUGAUUCUAGUGCAUCAUCAAUUAAUGCUUGCUUUCAUGGUCUGCUUAUUGGUGCCCAAGAUGAUCUGCCUAUGGAUGCCCAAGUUACAGGUAUGAUAAUCUUCUGAUCCAUGUCCAAGCAAAUAAGAGUCACUCCACAUAUUGACCAUGUUGCUGCUUUGUCUAGAGGCCUGACACUACAUAAUUACUAACCUCCCUUGACAAUUGACUCAUUCCAUACCAUACUAUGUGCAUUAUAUUAUUAUGGAGGUAAUUAUACAAUGAUAACUUUACUUCCAUGUCAUGCUUUCUCCACAAUUUUAGAAAGUAAAAUCUGUCUCUAGCAUGCAUGUGAUUCUUGCAUUGAUAUUUAUUUAUUUGGAUAACCUAAUUAACUUCUUCCACACUCGUGAAAAUUAGAUAAGUGCUUUUUCAUGUGUGACUUAUUGACUGUGUUGUUGCUCUAAAUCAGGUUAGUGCCAUAAUGUAUGAAAUCAACAUUUUGAUGUGGGAGUUUAGUGCUCGUCAUGUGGCUAGUCAGGCAAAGACCUCAGAGGAGCGAGGAAUGUUAGAAACCCCAAUUCGUGCUCGGCAAAUAGUCCUGCGUAUUCGUGGCCUUUAUGGGAUGGACAUUCUUACAAAGUGAACGAUCGGAUGAGUCCAUAUUUGGAUUAUGGGGCACGUCCGCUGUUGGCAAGACACGGCUUCUUUCGCUUAUCGCUGAUAGCUACGCUGACUCAUUUCAUCACGUCAUAUUUCUUGAUGGUGGCAGUUGCCUGAGAGUCAUGCAAAAUCAUUUCGCAUAUUUUUUGAAAUUGGAUUGGGAGACAAUCUCAUUGUUAGAGGAGCAUUACCGAGCUAAAAUCAUUAUGGAGUACCUAAGAGCAUGUCAGUUUUUUGGUUCUGUUAGACGAUGUGCAAGAUGAAGUCUACCCAGAUUUAACAGCUCUUGGUUUGCCGAUGGCUCUUGGGCAUCGGCAAAAAGUUGUUCUUACGUCGAGGAGUCAGGUAGUAUGUGUUCGCAUGGAAUGCACCAUAUCAAACACUCUGGAGAUGAAGUGUCUUGGGGAUGAAGAUGCUUAGAGUCUUUUCAAGUAUAAUGCGGGAGUAAAAAUCACAGAAGCUGAUACUGAAAUUUAUGAAUAUGCAAAACAAGUAUUAUAUAUUUCUACAUAAUAACUUUUCAGAUAUACGUUUAACCUACAAAUAAAAACUGUGCACUAUAAUUUAUAGUUUAUAUUGGUUAUUAGAUGGUUUCAGCAUGUGGAGGGUUGCCUAGAGCCAUAUGUGCUAUUGGCCUGGGCAUUUGGUUACACCGAACCGAUCGGUUCGGUGCCUCGGUCUAUUUUUAAUUUCGGUUUCCAAAUUUUAUGGACCGAUCGGUCUUUUGAGAAUUCACUAACCGAGGCUUUCGGUCCAGCGAGAAUUCGGCUCGGUCCUCGGUUAUAACCGAAGGGGACUUUUUUUCUACGGAAACACUAACGCCCACAUGUGUGGGCGUUCUCCAACUCGCCCACACGUCUAGAUGGUCGUUGAUUGUCUUUUGCACGAAUCUGGACACAAAAAGAUGGAUUUGAUGUGCCACGUAGGACGGGGCUAGUGUGUGGGCGUUGGAGAGUUUGCCCACACGCCCCGCAUCACGCUGUUGCGAGCUGCGAUGUGUGGGUGAACUAGUUUCUGCCCACACAGCCACCACCUAGUCCAUGCACGUGUGGGCGAACUGAUUUUCACCCACACGACACUCCUAUGUUGUGGAUGACAACUGCAGUUACGUGAACGUGGCAACUAGGUAAACAAACAUGGUAACUGUGAUUCUUUUGCUAGACGGCAACUGCAGUUGCACGUGUGUGGCAAACAGAUAAACACACAUGACAACUGCGAUUAACUAUGCAUGGCAACUAUGGUUGGACCACACGUGGCAACUAGGUAAACACACAUGGCAACUACUGUUUGAGCAUGUGUGGCAAGUAGUUAAUCACACACGGCAACUACGAUUUUGAUUACACGCGGCAACUACCAUAAAUUAGACAUGGCAACUAUAAUUGAUUAAAACGGAUAGAGUUGUCAUGCUUUUACAACUACACUUGCCAUCGCGGAUAACUACAUCUGCCAACCAGGAUGGCAACUAAAUCGUCAUCCCGCGGGUACCUAACGUUGCUGCGCUAGGACGUGUGGGCAUUUUUGCUUCGUGCCACACGCGUGGGGUGGAGAUGAGUAGUACUUGUUGGGCGUGUGGCACGAAGUAGCCGCGCCCAUACGUGUGGGCAAUUCUAAUGUCCGCCCACACACAACCCGUGUGGCUGCCUCCUGCUCACACCACACAUGGUGUGUGGCCAGACCCUUUAACGCCCACACGUGUGGGCGUUAUCGGUGUCCUUUUUCUAACUUGAAGAGAGAACAUACUGGAUUGGAAGGAAUAAAUCGGGAGUCAAAUUCUAAGCGAGAAACAAGUUCGGAAAAGGAAUCGAUCCAAACAUGCAUUGUGCUGCCUAAUAUGGCUCAAUCAGGCCGCUCGUGGCAACCUUUGCAUAGCAUACAUGAAUGGUACAAGGAAAGACAUACAAUAGGAUACUAGAUAGGGAUCGCGCCGUGGCGUGAGGGUGCUGAUCAAAACGUUUGUAUCCACAUAAUAAGAAGCUACUUAACAAUGCAUGAACAUAGAAAGCAUGUUUCACGAUAGGUUAGCACCAAAUAUCUUAGGCAUAGAAGAUAUGACAACACGUCGCUUAAAGACAAUUUACAACUAUGCAUAGAUAACUUUAAGUUUUAGGCAUAACGUAGAUGUUUAGGCAUAGAAGAUACGACAACACGUCGCUUACAGACGUUUUAGGCAUAGAAGAUACGGCAACACGUCGCUUACAGACAAUUUACAACAUGGGUCUUGCCGUCCUCAUGAACAACGCGUUCAUACUGAGCUGGUGAUAGUCCAAGGUGUGCCAGGAGCAUGCCAAGAACUGCCGUGUGUGGGAUCCUAAGCACUCGCUUGGUGUCCUGUAGUUCCCAAUAACAUAAAACAUAAGGCCUUGGAGAAUUGCCCAAAACAAUUGCAUUACAGCAUGGGAAAAGAAUCAGAGAAAUCAGUUGCGGAUAAAAGCAACCAUAGUGAUAAAAAAGAUAUGCCAAGCCUAUCCUUUAAUCAGGAUUUUGUUUAGGAUGUGCCAAGCAUUUAAAAAAAAGAGACUAUGAAUCAGGAUUUUGUUGCAAACAGACUGAAUGAUGGAAUGAGAAGAGGAAUAUAUUCAUGAAAUAAAGCAAGAGAGAUAAAGUUGAAAGGAAAGAAGUGCAGAGCUUGCAGGUGAAAAACAUCAUAUAAAAGGUAUAAUCACCAAUCAGGCAAUUUCAAGAUAUCAUGACUUAUUGCUGUGAUUAAAACAAAGCUAGUUGAUGAAUGAUUGGAAUCAGCUAUUCACUGAAUAAAUAUAUUCAUGGCGUAGUUUCAGUUUUGUGCCAUGAAGAGAGGCCGCCGAGUGUGAUAUCUAGAACAGAGAUGACCAUAUAUAUCAAGAAUGGUGAGGUAUGAAGAAAACAAACUCUCUAAGGAACACAUGCAGGUAGGUAUUUUUUUUCUUGGAUUCUAUUGCUUCUACCUGAAUCUCAUGGUAUACAGUGACAUCCACGAUUAGCGGAAUUAAGCAACAAUGACAUGCUCUCUGAUUUCAAUGUAACAUGUUUCAAUUCCUCUAUAACCCCUGUGUUUUAUCAAAACAAGCGCACAAACAAGAUAAUCAUCGAAACAAUAUUAUGUUCUCAACAAGGCUAUGUGCAUUCUUCUCAAGUCUGAGAUAUGCACGUACAGUGGUCUUAGAUCGAUUGAUAAUCACCAUAACUAACUACAGUACAUAGUCUGUGAAUCAAAAGUGAGAAAAUACCAGGAAGAUGAUUUGUGUAGUUGCAAGAGCUCAGGGGAAAGGAGAGUAGGCGGACCUGCUUGCUGGAGCUCCUUGACUGGCCAGUUGAACGUGCAGCCACAGUCGAGAGAGUGCUACUACCUUACAUGAGAGCAUGUUAAAUGGAAAAAACCUCCAAACCCUAACAAGAACAUUUUUUGAAAGAUCCAUAAAAUCCAGAUCGGGAUAGGGGGACUAACACGAACUCAUCCUUCACGCGAGCACCGCCACUCGAUGGAGAUGGUUGGUACCCCACGCCACUCCACGCAUCAUCAUAUUCCUCCUUCACGCGAGCACCGCCGCUCGGCAGCCUCCACAUCCGCCGGCUCGGCUCCCUCGGCGGCCGCUGUGCCCCACGCCGACAUGAGCGCCCAUCCAAAGGGAAAUAAAGAAGUAGACAACAAAACAAAGAGCAAUGUUAAUAUAACCACAUCAUUCAAUUCACAUGUCAAGAUACAAUAGGAAGUCUUUCCACCAAGCGGCAUGAUACAUACAAUUAAACUCAGGAAAAUAAUUUUCACCACUCAUAGAUAAUAAGCAGCUGUAAGGGGGCAAGCAGACAACCGCAUACCAGUAUACAUCCAAAUAACUUCAAAUAAACGUAUGCCACAGGAAAAGUAAACUCCAACAUAUUACCAAAGAGACAAUAAAAGCUCUGAACCGAAAAAUCUAAGAAAUGCUCAAUUCAGUUUACUUAAUAGUUACGAAAAUAAUUAUUCUCGGUCAGGUGGUUCUGGUAUACUUAAGAAAACACUUGUAGACUUCAAGUACAGAUAAAUACUCAAGCUACAUGGAACUAUAGUCAACAACAUAGUUCUAUAAUAACAAGUGAUUCCAAUUAAACACAAGUGCUCAGAACCAUGGAACUGGAGCUUUAUAAAAUCAUGCUACUAAUUAUCUUAGACACCAAUUAAACUCAUAUGCGGACCAUGGUCAACUGUGGGUUUAUACACUCGUCAGAAAUAUUGGCCACUAAAAACAUAACAGCAUUAAUACAGUCAACACAUACCUCAAGUACUGAAGGACUGAGGCACUGAUCAUCUGUUUGACUCAUUUUCACUUCUGCAUAUGCUACUUUUAUAAAGUGAUCGAGCAGGGGUGCAACAUCGUUGAGCAGGGGCGGCGGCGACAGCCAGACCACCUUGAGCACCACGGUCUGGAAGCCAAGAGCAUGAGCAGACCAAAAUCAGAAUGGAUUAACCAGGAAACCCUAGACAAAUCCCUAAAAAACAACAAAGCCCUUGAUGAGCACAUACACAUCACAAAGGGAAAGACAAACAAGGGAGCAAAUAAUCACCUCAGCCAUCUUCGAAGCCCACUCGGUGUGCUCCCUCUCCGGCCGACCCGCAAGACAGCCCCAACGCCACGCCACCGUCCCAACCGUAAAACAGCCAGAGAAGCAAGGAAGAUGGUAAGAAACAAGCGAAAUAAAAGGUAGUGGGAUCCAAUACAAACAUUAACCAGCCUAAAGACGUUGUUAUUAGAAACAUGACACCGUGGUUUCUGAUGGUUUAUCAACAAAUUAAAACAAGCCAUUGAACCGAUGACUUGCUUACUCUUAACCAGAUGAAAUCAAGGACCAACAACAAACAAUAAAAGUCAAGAACAACUUAUAUGCAAUAAAGGUAUGAGAGAGAAGAAAUAUUCACAUAAGACGGCUAUAAACACUGGAGCAUAAAUAAGCAACACCUCUAAAUACAAAUAAAAAGGGUUCAGGGUUCAAUGCAUAGUGGGCUCAGAUUUGCCUUUCCUCGAUCAUAUAAUCUACCCCCGCCAUCUCUUGUCACCAGAUUAAUCUGUUUAUACAGUGGAGCUGCCCUGGUUAUCACUCAACAAGAAUGACCAUCCAAGGACAGAACAAUAAGUAUCACAUGAUCAAAAAGGAUUCUAGAGACAAGAGGGAGGACCCAACUUGAUACCCACAGGUGCCUUGAUUGCUCAAAGGAACACUUAUUUCAGCCACAGUGAAUCAUCAUCACCCUAGCAAGGAUGGCUUCCAACCGGUGGCACACGUGCGAAUAAAAUGGGUUCAGGGUUCAAUGCAUAUGGGCUCAGAUUUGCCUUUCCUCGAUCAUAUAAUCUACCCCCAUCAUCUCUUAUCACCAGAUCAAUCUGUUUAUACAGUGAAGCUGCCCUGGUUAUCACUCAAUAAGAAUGACCAUCCAAAGGACAGAACAAUAAGUAUCAGAGGAUCAAAAAGGAUUCUGGAGACAAGAGGGAGGACCGAACUUGAUACCCACAGCUAAUCAUCAUCGCCCUAGCAAGAAUGGCUUCCGACCGAUGGGGCACGUGAUUCAAACGCGGUGGCACGAGAUAUCUCAUUUUGGGAGUAACUAUUCAAUCCCGCGGUAACUUUUGUUAUCCGACGGACGAGGUCGUUACAGGGGUCGAUUCGACGGCCCAAGAUCCAUCAAGCAACCAGAUCCGACGGCCAGGAAUCCCAAAUCGCUGAGGAGCAGCCUGAGGAGCUUCUAUUCUUAUUUCUGGAUGGACUUAUUUCUGGAUUUCUGGAUGGAUCACCGGAUCAAUAUGUUCUUACGAGGGUUUAACUGCCCUGGUAUCACUCAUUAUAAAUGACCAUCCAAGGACAGAGCCACUAAAAUAAGAACGUGAUCGAAACAGCUCAAAGAAACAAGGGAGGAUCCAAAUUAAUACCCACAAGUGCCUCGACUACUUGAGAGCAUGCCUAUAUCAGCCAUAACUGCUCAUCAUAGCCCUGGCCAUGUCCCAUAUAGUCGUCGAAGCAGAGCAGGGGAAGAUGGAGCUCACAGAGGGAGGUUGUAGCCGAGGCAGUACUCAGAGGGCACCGGGGUUGCGCCUAAACGCCAUCCAACUAGUGAGGAACCACGUCGGAGUUGCGCCUUGCAUCAUCCCGCCGACGAGCACGAAAGCCAUGGCACCGAAGUGGCCAAGGAGGCGAGGAGGUGAUGUAUAGCACAUCUAGGAGCACCAUCAGAGACAACCGGGGCAACGAGCAGGCAGGGAGAGAGGCGAGGCGGCAGGGAGAGGAAAGGGCACAAUGUGAGUGCAGGCCUGCAGGGAGCGGAACAUCAGCUAUUUUUUUCUUUCAGAGUAUAUAGGAAGUAUCAAACAUAUCAUAUAAGUGCAAUCAUCUUUGAUAAUAUAAGAGAGCAUACAAAUCACAGAGCUUGUUUAAGAUAUUUUGUCACAUCAAGUAGUUUAGAUAAGAAAAGCCUAACCCAGAAUUACAAAUAAUUGGAGCGAGUGAUAGAUUUAUUAUUCUGAUAAUUUGGUAGUGACUAUACAUAAAUAGUUCAUUCGCCAACAGUAAAAAAUAUGCGAUGCAUUAUUUACACAAAACAAUAUUUUUUGUAUGGGGUCAGAAAGAUAUUUCAGCAUUCAAAUCAAUAAGGCUGAAAUAAUCUAAGAGUAUUAUCACUAUAGAGCAACAAUUUAUGAACUCGCUGUCAGUCAAAAGUAUUAUCACUACAGAGCAACAAUGAUUUACAGAGAAGGGGAUGAGUAAGGUUUGUUUGCUCAGGACUGUGCAUCAACUAAUCACCUAAAGUAAUUUCAAUAAAUAAAGAUUUACAUAUCGACCAAGAUAAACGUCACGGUUAAAAAAUACGUUGAUAAUAUAUACAUCAAUGACAUCUCAAAGCUCAUUUCACAACAAGACUACUGUAAACUUGAUAUAAAUAUAUAAUGGCCCCAUAAAGAUCCCCAUCUGUAGAAACCAAGUGAAAAAUCGUUUGGAAUAUGGUGUUUAGAUAUCACUGCCCAUAAAUAUAUAAUGUCGCAUGAAAAAUGGUGUUUGUUCUAAAUGGUCACUGAAAAUACUUGUUCUAGCGCUGCAAACAUACACAGAUAAAGGGCAAGCCAACAACCGUAGGUAUUCAGUAGGCCUAUACACAUACACCUAUUUUCUUCUAUUCUAGAAUCAAGAUGCACUUUCAUGUAUUGUUAGAUUAUUUCUCAUCGUAAAGAGGAUCGAGCCAAAGCAUGAUUAUAAGUAUGUAAGCGAACAAUAUGGACAGAAGGAACAAACAUUGGGUGUCAAAUGCAAACAGUAAGCUUCAGAGAAUUCACAUCUCCUAAAAUCAUUCAAGGGAUUGUAGCCUUUUGACUACAUGGUAGGUUGGUAGGUAGAAAUACGUUCAUAUACAUUGACAUCAACAUUUUUAACCUGGGAAUAGAUAAAAAAAACGGCAAAGAUGCAUCUCAUAUAAUCAAAGUAAACAUGGUAGAUCCAAAGCAAUGUAUCUAAGACUUAAAUUAAGGGGAAAAUGCAAACUAAUUAAAGAUUGAAGCCGUCAAUUUCACUCCCACAAUUUGCAAAUUGUAAUGGUCUCAGAUGAACUAACUGAAUAUAUUUACAUAAGGCAAGAGAAAUCAUCAUCACUGAUAUUCCCUACAGACCUAGGUCUCUGCCAAGAAUCACACAAGUUCCUUGAUGCUCCAAAAACCAAGCGAUGUUCGAGCAAGGGAAACACGAGAAGGCGUGAGGAGAGCUCCGUCGGGAGGGAGAGGGGUAGGGUUCGUUACAUGAGUUCACUGUAACUUCACCUCCGGAUCCAGGCGAGGUACUCUGUAAUUUAGAAACAGAGAUUCACUACGGUGGGUCAAUUACGGCACAAUCGCUGGUGAGAACAUCAGAAGAACUUAUUUUCAAACUGAAUUAAGGAAAAACAAUUGUUGCAAGUAAAUUUACCCUCUAAUUACUGAUAAAGCGCAACAACAUUCAGCUAAUGAGACAUGAGAAGGAACUUUUCAUAUUGUAAUAAGGAAAACUGGGCAACAUCAAAUAUCAUCUCAUUGAUUCUGCUAUAUAACAUAUAUUCACAUAAACCAUAAGAUAUGAUUGGAACUGCAAUCUCUAAACCAAAACGGCAACAAUAGAAUCAAAGUCCACUGUAUUACUAUCUAGAAAUUGAAGAGGACUACAGAAGUAUUUUUAGUGUACAUCAAGCUUACCAGGAAAAAAAAAGCAUAGCUCUUGAACUGCACAUACAUGCUUCACUAACAAAUCUUGGCCUAGCCAAAACAAAUUCACCACACCUGUACAUGAACAUUCAGGGAAAGAAAUGAAACACCACACGUGAAAAUGCAUCCUGAUAACUAAUUAACUACUCAGCAAAUCAAAUGGUAUGUUCGAAUGCCUCUUUUGAUCCUAUGAAACUGUAUACAACAGAUAAGUAAUUAUCUACUCGCCAAAUCCAGUAGUAUAUUUGAGUGACUCUUCUUAUCCUUUCUCUGAAACUAAUACAAAAGAGAACUUAUUAGCCACCCGCAAAUCGAGUGUGAUAUUUGAACGCCUCUUCUGAUCAUUUCUCUUAAACAGUUUAGUUUACACCAACUUUAGUACUGAGCAGAAUAUGUAUGUAAAUAAACCAGAGGAGACUGGAAUUUACAUCCCUAAUUAACAAAAUCAGCUAUGUUUUUAAAGGGCAGUGGCAAAGGAUAACCAUAUGCAGUUAAGCCUUGCUUAUCACCCAAUUUCAGAACCAGUCAGCCUUCUAUAAGUAUUAUCAUGCGUGCAAUCUGACACGAAGGCCAAAACAACACUAUCUAUCUUCACAAAAAUCCAUUAUACGCUUCGGUACAUCUGAGAGUUAAGGAUCUUCAUUUUUAUUUAGAUGAAAUUACUUGGUAGCUAACAAACAUACCUCGAGGGAUGUGCACACAUGAGAGAUCGCCGGUGCCCUUUCUAGCUUCGGCGGCAGACAUCCUCCCUUUGCUCUCCUUCCAAUAGAUAUUAGAGUACAUUAAACCAAAAACCAAAAGGGAACAAGGGAGUGGAAGACCAGGAAUUAAUCGGACCACAAGAAAUCUAAGGGAAAAAACUAAAAGAAGGCCAAACAAUACUUGUGCAGGACCAAAUGACGCAUCACAUAGCAAUGAAACUGGAGGUUAGAAAACUACUCAGACUUUCAUUCCAUCAUGGAUUCAAUCUGAUCUAAAUGUAACCAAAUAAUGCAUCGGAACCAUAUUGACUACUAAAAGGGCAAGCACAAGCUUGCCAAAUUUACCACAAAUGUAGCAUUGCAAUCAAAUGGGUCCAAUCUUGAUGAAAGCAAAAAUGUAUCAUAUAGCACGCACGCACACGAACAGUCACAUUAUCCUCAUCUUGCUGAAAGCAAAAAAUGUAUCAUGUACUGUAAAUUCAUACCUUGACCUGCAAAGGGUAUGGUCCAGUUUCAAUCAUGUUGGCCUUUAGAUAAGUUUUUGAACAACAAUUUCACCACCUGCACUAAAAGCAGAGGAAUUCAAGGCCUUGCACGGAUGCCUUCUUCAUGAUGGUGAAGGAAAUCAUUCCAGAGAUUUCUUAACAUCAAAGUUUAGGAAACCAUUCAGAUUUAUGUCUCUGAACAGUUCUUUGUAAGCAUUUUGCCAUUACCUGCUCAAAUCCCCAGGUUGGGCUUGAGACCAACCAGCCCCUGGGUAUCCUCAGUGUCCAAUGGACAUGCAUCCUCAGUGUCCAAUUGGGGAUUUCCUUUUUAGAGCUUCAGGAGUUGCAUUUGGUAUCAGCUUUUUUUUGUUGAUAUAUUCUUCUUGAGGACAAUUCAAGCCAUUAGAUGUAAAACACUGAGAGACCACAUAACUGAAUAAUCUGUGCUAGGUAUAGCUGUAACUUUAGCUGCACCAGUACUGCCAGGAUAUGACUCUCUAAGUCUUGCAUCUGAGUCCAGCGGAUAGACUUUGAUGGAAGAAUUGCUCGCACAAGUUGUAGUAUUAGGCGGCACAUUUUAUAUGGCUGAGUGUAAAAUGGAGUAGAUAGCACAAGCCUUGGGAUUUGUGUGACAUCUGCAUAGCAAUCAAAGAGGAAUCAAGUGCAUGUAAUUACUAUUUACUUCCUUUUUAAACUAAUAUAAGAUCUUUUAGAUCACUAAAAUAGUGAUCUUAAAAAGAUCUUAUAGUAUUAUCAGUUUACACUUGAUAGGCCUAGCCUCUGCUUUAGCUUUGCAGUUGAUUUCACUCUGGUAGUGUGCGUUUUCCUCGAUAUCUCUUUUAUGCCUCCUCAUGUGAAGGACCGCUGCCCUGGUUUCAGGCAACUUGUGCGUGGCUGGUAGGAGCUGUGGAGACAUGGUUGGACUUCAUUAUUACUUGUUGCUGCGACAAUCAAGAGUUGGAAGAGUCCAGAUGGCGGCAGUUUUGAUGUUUACUUGUGAAUAUGGUGUGAUAUGUUUGAUGAUAAUACUUUCUAGCAUGUGUUUUCUUGACCUGUCAGUCUUCUGAUGCGUAAACACAGAGCAGAACACCUUGAUGCUCCGACGGAAUGCAAGAGAAGAACAGACUUGUUGUGGAUGCUAAAUUCUGUGCUUGUUUGUUUUGCUGUCUGUCUCAUUCUGUCAUUCGCCUUAAAACUUUUGCCCAUAAGCACUCUCCGCUGUCUGACAUGCCAGCAACGUUGCACACCUGCAUGCCUGCAGCGCGAAAUGGUCGACGGCGAGCAGGCGAGGAUUUCUUUCAUGAGCCUGAUCUGGCGAGGGAUUCCAGCACGCACUCUCCAGGGGGCUGGGCGCCUAACACAUUGGAACUUUUUUA
rnacentral:lncRNA from 1 species